AAAAAAAAAAAAGUUUCCACCUCUCGAUUAAAAAAUGACACACAUUUAAUUUUUUUUUGAAGUAUCUAGAUCUAAUAGUUUCAGUUUGAGACAUGUUAAAGAUGUCUGUUCAUAAUCACCACAUCAUAAUCAUCCACCCUAAUAGAUUCGAUUUGAUCCCUGCUAAUAAUCUGUUAGUUGAAGCAUUUGAUGAGGAAUAGCCGUAUUUUGCAUGAAAUCUAUGAGGAUACUACUAAUUGGUAGAGAUUUAUUGAACCAUCUUAAAUCAUGUACAAGGUAAUUGACAACCACACUUCUCUUUAUUCUUAUGGUCAGUAGAGAUGAUGCCUCUGGUUGUCUGUAUGCUCGUGUUACUUUUGUUAGAGGCCCUUUUUUACUUGGGUACUUCUGGCAUAUGAUGUGCGCAAAUGGUGGGAUCUAAAUCAUAGCUUGCUCCGAUUAUAUAGAUGUUAUGCUAUUCUCUUUCUCAGAUCUACACUUUUUCCUCAAUCUUCUUAUGUCAUAAUUGCUUGCUGUUUGAUUUCAUUUCAUCUCUCUCUCUGUCUACUUAACUUCUUUGUUCUUUUAAAUAUGUUAAACCUUGUCUGAUUGUUCCCUUCUGGGAUUCUGAUUAUUGAAAUACCAAGAAUCUAUCUUCAUUUUAUUCUUGCAGAAUAAUGCUAUAUUAGCUAGACGCUUCCUUAAUAAAGAGUUGGACCCAGUUGUUAUCUUAACCAUGUCUCCAAAUGAGCUAAAGGUUUGCUCUGGUUUCCAGUUACUUCUUCAAAAUUCUUUUAACUGCAUCAGUCAAUAGUCAAUAGAGAUUAUAUCUUUGGUAGCUUGUUAGGAAUAGCCAGUAGAUACUUGACAUUAAUCAUCGAAGAAGAAAGAAUGUUUAAUUUAUAAUCCUUUGCUUGAUUUAUGGCCCGAAGUUGGUAGUUUGUUGGGAUUCUUUUUAGUUGUUAAUGGUAAGACUCUUUCGUAUACUUUCUUUCAGUAUGAAGGACCAGAAGGCCAUGAAAGAUCAUCAGUACAUAUGAGAGAGGCUGUUUUAUUGACAUAGUCGUAGGAAACAUCUGAGUAGGAACUUUUGACUAUUGCUAUGUAGCUUGCAAUUUUUUGUUGCCACAUUGAGAAAAGUUUAUCUAAGGGAAAGGAUUCCUGUAUCUCCAAUAUUUUCAAAAAUAUGGCAUGACAUGUAUAUGUGGAAUUUCUUAUGCAAUCCAUGCACAUCUACAACAGUUUAGACUUUGACUUCAACUAUUGAUUGCCAUCUUAUGAAGUGUGAACCCUUUUUUAUCCAUUUAGCCUUUUGACUUGCAUAAAAUACUUUUUCAAUCCAAGCCUGUCAUGCUUUUCCGUUAACUCUAGUAUUUUUGUGCUUUCCUCCUGCUAAAAGUGCCUUCUUUUUUAUAUUUCUACUUCUAGUGGUGCACGUAUCUAAGUGUUUCUGGGUUUUCUCUCCUUUGAGCUUAUCAGGAUGGGUUGACUGCGGAGGAGAAAACAACAAAGGAACCUGAAGAAUCAAAACAGUUGCAGGUAAUUAAGCUUAUACCUAUAUCUUUAUGAUAUGAGCUGAAUUUUUCAUUUCAUAUCCGCAACUUUAUAUACUGCGAUACAAUUUUGCAUCUGCUUAUCUACGUAACAACUAUGCUGAAUAUGAAAUUCUAUUCAGCUGUUAAGUUGUAGCAUUUCUAAGCAGGUUUCGCGUGGCUUGAUGCACGAUGUUCAAUAUGUGCGGAUAAGAAAGUAGGAAUCUCUGAGAUUAUUCGCGCCGGUGUCAUGGGGAUCAAAAUCAGGUAUCCAACAUAUUGUAAUUACUUUCGUCGGUUCUGGUGCAUUUGUCUCGCAGUUCUCCUUCCAUGAUUUUAAUAAAGCUAGUAGUUUAAGGGGAUAUCCAAUUUUUGUGCACAAUCGACCUUAACUUGUCCAUUGUGAUGAAUUUUCUCAGCUCGAGUGCAUAGCAUGUGGUCAUACAUGGUACACUCCUCGAGAUGCCAUCUCAUCACUAACCAUCGACACUCCAAACAUUGUUGGAAAUGCGGGCACAGCGCCAUGGGCCACCGCCGAAUUCGAGGACGUCGAGAAGAAGCUGGUUAGCCCCCGAGAAGCAGAGAAGCCUGCUGUUGACAUCUUUCACAAGUCAACUGCGGCUUAUAUGCCUGUUCUGGAAACCCAAAAAUCGUUCAACAGAUCAAAGACAGAAGAUACUGCUAACAUACAUGCAACAAAUCGUGAAUAGCUUAUCGAUGGUCUUCUUUUUUUAAGGGCCACUUUGUUUCUUGGGGGCCACUACGGGGAAAUUGGAGGUUUUAGUUGAGCAAUCUAUAGAAUUAGCAUCUGUACAGCACUCACAUCAAACUUCUGUUGUAUCUACGAUCUUAUGCCACCAUUGUGAUAGUUUUCUUUCGUGUACUGCUUCUUUCUGUGUGUACCCCCUGGAAAGAUGAAAUUUGCUUGUAUGACUUUCAUGCGGAAUUCGACAUCCCAAAAUAAGUAUUUGUUAUUGUAGUGAAUAUACUCAAUAGAGUUAGACUUUAAAAUUUAAAUGUUUUAUAUAUUUGAUAAAAAAAAUUAUUCACUUUAUUUUAAAAAAGAUCUUUUGAUUUUAAAAUCGAAUAAUUUAAUUAUCCAUUUUUGAAGGGUCAUUCUAAUUUGGUUAUAUAUAAUUUAAAUCCAUUUGAUAGACUUAAGUGUAAUUUUUAAAAUUUAUGAUAUUUUGCUUUAAAAUAUUUUAAAUGUUCUAAGUCAUUAUUAGCAGUUGUCUCGUUAUCUAGAGGUUUUAAAUCAACAAAUUAAAGGCUUUAAAUCAACAAAUUUAUAGGUUGAUAUAUGGCAUUUGCAAGAUGAUCCAAACCAAAUAAAAUUUUUAAUAGGAAAAGCCUUUUAUUGUUCAUACAAGAUCAAUGCACUUGGUUUGAAAUUCAAUAACCAUAUGAUUGAUUUUUUUUUUUUUUUUUUUUUUGCUAUUCAUUUCGAGACGGCUCAUUUAUAAAAUUGAUGAAUGAUGAAAAUUUAUAAAAUUUAAAUUUUUAGACACUUUUAAUAUUCUAAAUCAAGUUUGAUAGUAUCGACCAUCAAAUCAGCUGUUUUAUUAUUGAAAUUAAAAGUGAAAAAAGAGAGGUCUCUGUGUUUUUGCAAGUACUCUAGAGCUAAACUCAUAAUCAAGUUUAAGUGAGAGAUUGAAAUACAUUGAAUUUUUUUACAGCCUAUUCACAUAAAAUCUAUGAAUUAUGAAGGGAAGGAAGAAAAGCUUUUAAUUGAAAAAUGCUACGUGUACAUUUCUCAAAAAAGUGUAAAUUUUAUUCCUCUUUAUUGUAAAAUUCAUAAUUUUUUAAAAAUUAUUAGUACUUAUUAAAAAAUUAAUAAAAUAAAAAUUAAAUAUUAGUCCGGUCUAUUUCGUUUGGUUUGGGAAUAGGGAUAGGGAUAGGCCCUUAUCCCCCCUUUUAUACCCAAACGCUAAUUUUUUACCCGAGAAUAGUAGUUCUCGGUUAUCCCCACCAACACCUCUAUUUUCUAUAUAAAACUUUCUAAUAUUUUUCUUAUCCUCGGGAACAACCCAAUUUUCAUCCAAACGCUAUUUUGCUUAUCUCCAUACUUGUACCUAUCCCUAUAAUAACUAGUUCUUGCUUAUACCCGAACCAAACGGUACCUUAGUUUAUCCAAAUCAUUCGAAAUAUUUUGUCUCUCACGAAAAAACAAAUAUAAACUGACGCUUCUGGCACGACGAACGGUGGGACCAACGCGGCACGUCAGAUUACGGCUUAUACUUAGUUGCUCGAAUUGCGGAAAAAAAAAAGUCGGAAAUUAGCGCCGAUUGAGGGACUUUUUUCGAAAAUAACCCUCUGAAAUUUCGUAAUUGGCAAAAUAACCCUGUAAAACUUUUAUUUGUGAAACUAACCCUCCUCUCGCCACCUCAGCUGCCACAUCAGCAGUUCUCACAAAGACGGUGACUCAUUCACCGACUUUGGCGCAACCUUUUGAAGACGGUGAAUGGUUCACCGUCUUCUCAGGCCUGCACCAUUCACCGUCUUCUCAGCAAUUCCCGGGGAGCUUAGGGUGCCUCGAGAAGACGGUGACUCGUUUACCGCCUUCACAAAGGCGGUGAAUCGUCUACCGUCUUAUCGAGGCCACCGCCCACUCAGCAAUUCCCAGCGCGGCGCAAGACUUUCUCAGCAAUUCCCCGCGCCUACGGAAGACAGUCACUCGUUUACCGCCUUGACAAAGACGGUCAAUAGUUUACCGCAUUAUCUGAGGGAGUUUACCGUCUUCAGUGUAGAACUCCACCCAGCCUAAUUUCGCUAAGUCCUGGAGAGGGGGGCUAAAACACAGAUAAGACGGUGACUCGUUCACCGUCUCGUUCAGCGUCUCAUCUGGACUCCACUCAACACGGUUAACACCGUCUUUAGUGUUGGACUCAUCGAUAAAACGGUGAACGGUCUACCGUCUUCAUUAGGCGGUGAACGAUUCACCGUCUUAUGAAGACGGUGAACCGUUCACCGUCUUCAUUAGGUUACCCCACACCACCUAGCGUGGCAAAGGACGUGAAGAAAACCGCAGUAUAAAUCAGAACGGAAGUAAUUGCCCUCUUAAUGAACUGUAUACUCUAAACUUCAUGUUAAUGCUACGCGGCGUGAAUCGUAACCUUAUUGUGUUCAUACAACUGGGCGCAUACAGAAUUGAGACUUUAUACAACGUAGGAAUCCUUGGCUACGCACAUUGGAGGUCCCUGUAGGGAGUUGACACGUAAAGUGACAUAUUCAACAAAACCAUCUAAAGUGUUGAAAGUAGACUUGUAACACUCNNGUUAAAUUAGGUGGUAGCACUAGUAGAAGUUACAGUUGCCGAUCUAGUAAGGUUAGCAGCAGGAGUACUUAACCACGUAGUAGGACUAAUGACAGUAAUAGUUACCCACGUAGGAGGACUACUGGUAGUAAUCCUUAUUCAAGUAGCAGGACUAAUGGCAGUAAUUGUAGAGGAAGUAGCUGUUAUAAUAGUUCUUGAAGUAAGGUUAAACAUAUCCCACAUCUAUCGGACGUUAUCCAGGGCUUACAAAUGAUAUAAUCUAUUUUAAAAUAAAUGAUAAUUAAUUUAUUAGGUUUAAAAGAAAUGGGGGUUAGCAUUAAAAGUAAUCCACAUACUUUAUAGGACCGAAGCAGUGCACUGUAGCUCCCAACGCGUGCACUGCAGCUGCCAACGCGUGCACUGCAGCUCCCAAGCCGUGCACUGCAGGUCCCAACGCGUGCACUGCAGCUGCCAACACGUGCACUGCAGCUCCCAAGCCGUGCACUGCAGCUCCCAACGCGUGCACCUCUGACUGAGACAGACGUCAUAAAUAUUAAUAUUAAAUAGUUUUAUAAAGUAUUAAUUUUCUUUAUAAGUGGAUUUAGAACUCUAUAAAAUGACUGGAACAGUAAGAAUGCAGACCAAGUAAUGGUUGAAGUGCCAGUGGUUAAUGUCGUAGGCCUUUUGGGUGUAGCUACAGUAAAACAUCGUCCGAACACAUUAUUGGAACGCUGACUAUAACACAGAGGCUGCCUAUAUUUAGAAAGAGCUACAUAUCGCUGUGUGUAGGUAUUACAAGUCUGUUAGGUUAAUUUGGGAGGUUACUAAGUAGUAGAUGAUAUAGUACUAGUUAUAUAAGUAAGCGAGGGUAUCCCGUAGCUUAAAACAUAAAUUCUGUUGUAAGAAGAGAUAAUGUUAAAUGAUUUGCUAUGUAAGAGGAAAGUUUUAAGCAUAUCCAGCAUAGACUUGCUUAGCGCUAGUUAAAGAAAGCUGGUGGCUUUAUAGUCCCUGGUAAAGGUAGGUAUUGAUUGACAGGUAGGGUUACUUGUGAUUCUCUGUAGGCUGCUGAUCGGUAAAAUUGAUGUGUCCUUUUUCUUAGGAUUAAUAAAGGUUGCUGAUCGUUAUUUGGAAGUUUUCUCCAAAGAUAUCAUGUCUUAAACUGAGUUUGAAACUGUGACUACGUGUUAUUACACCGAACUACACGUAACUUUCCACUCAUUUUCGUAGUAAAACAUUAUGACAGGGUAACGUGUUUUAGUAACAUACAUGAUUCAGGAUCAAACUAUUACACUGCUCAAUUUAAGAUCAGAUAACCUGGUUUUGAGUAGAGGUAAGAUAUAAAAAAAGUUUGUUUAUUAUGUUUAUAUCUCAGACUGAUGAUAUAAAAGCCGGCACUUUAAGGGGCGCAUCAGACUUAAGAUAUAAAAGCUGGCACUUUAAAUGGGAAACUAGUAAAAGUGGGCAAUCUAGUAUGAUAAGUUGGUUGUUGAGUAAAUUGGGAUCCCUUGGUAUUAAUGUCAAUGUAAUUUGGAUGUAAUUUGGAUGUAAAUGUAAAUGUAAUGUAAUGUAAUUUUGAUCUAAAUGUAAUGUGUUAAUGUCAUGUAAUUUGGAUGUAAAUGUAAUUUGGAUGUGAUCUUUUGUGUGGACUCUCUCCCUACCCGUCGCUGGAGCCGUUCCCGCCGCCGCCGCUGCAGCCGCUGUUACCCGCCGCUGGAACCGUGCCCGCCGACGCUGUCCCCCGCCGCUGGAGCCGUGCCCGCCGACGCUGUCCCCCGCCGCUGGAGCCGUGCCCGCCGCUGCAGCCACUGUCCCCCGCCGCUGGAGUCGUGCCCGCCGCCGCUGUCCGCCGCCGCUGCAGCCGCUGGAACCGUGUCCGCCGACGCUGUCCCCCGCCGCUGGAGCCGUGCCCGUCGAGCACCUCUCUCUGUCUCUCUAUCUCUCUCUUUCGCACUCGCCCUUUAUCUUCCCUCUCCAUAGAGCCCGAGCCAGNAUUUUUGAUUUAGAUAACUUAGACUUUGUAUAAUAUUAUAUAAUACUGAAUUUAGUGCAUAUUUGUAUAUUUCUCGGGGUUUUUUUUUAUAUUUUUAUCUUGUUGAUUGUAUCUUGUUAUUCCACUCGUGAUCUUGUGUUUCUUGUUGAAAAAUUUGUUAUCGUGAAAAAACUUGCGUCAAACUUGUUGAAAUUUUGUUUAAAAUCAAGCUUAAAACAGUAGGUGGUGCUGUUUGCCCUAAAGACGGUGAACCAUUCACCGUCUUUAGUGCAAAUACACAAAACCGGAGAAAAAAAGGGCUAAGUCCUGGCAUUGGUUUACGCCUAGAUAAGACGGUAGACAAAUCACCGUCUUUAUUAAGACGGUGAACGAAUAACCGCCUUAUCUGUGUUUUGGCCUCUUCACCGUCUUUAGUGCAAAUACACAAAACCGGAGAAAAAAAGGGCUACGCCUAGAUAAGACGGUAGACAAAUCACCGUCUUUGUUAAGACGGUGAACGAAUAACCGCCUUAUCUGUGUUUUGGCCUCUUCACCGUCUUUAGUGCAAAUACACAAAACCGGAGAAAAAAAGGGCCAAGUCCUGGCAUUGGUUUACGCCUAGAUAAGACGGUAGACGAAUCACCGUCUUCCUUAAGACGGUGAACGAGUCACCGUCUUAUCUGUGUUUUGGCCUCUUCACCGUCUUAUCUGUGUUUUAGCCCAACCACAACUUGGCCAAUUUACUCUGAAGACGGUGAAUAGUUAACCGUCUAAUGAAGACGGUAACCCAUUCACCGUCUUAUCUGUGUUUUAGGCCCGCUCUCAAGGACUUGGCCAAAUAGCUGUUUUAGGCCCCCUCUCAAGGACUUGGCCAAAUAGCUGGCUAGGGAGAUAAGACGGUAAAUUAUUUACCGUCUUUGAGAAGACGGUAAACAGUUAACCGUCUUAUAUAGGCACCUUGUGCCACGCGGGGAAUUGCUGAGAAGGUGGUAGGGUGCGCGGGGAAUUGCUGAAAAGGCGGCAUGCUACGCCUAGAGAAGACGGUUAACGAUUUACCGUCUGAAUAAGACGGUUAACCAUUUGCCGUCUUCAAGAGGUACUUAUAGACGGUGAACGAAUCACCGUCUUUAUGAGAAAUGCUGAUCUGGCCGCUGAGGUGGCGAAAGGAAGGUUAGUUUUACAAAUAAAAUUUUCACAGGAUUAGUUUGGCAAAUAUGACAUCCUUCGUAUUUAGGUAAACAAGUACUAAACAAACAGAGAAAAUGAAAAAAGAAAAAAGAAAAAGAAAACAAACAACAUGCCCCACCCAGUCCACUCACACUUUUCCCCGCCCUCCCACCCCAAUUUUGUUCCAUUCCAUUCUUGUUCCACCCCAAUUUUGUUCCAUUCCAUUCUUGUUGCUUUCACUAUUCCGCUAUCAUCCUAAUAAUAAUUAACCAGCUAAUUUCAAGAAGAGAAGAAAAAAGGAGGGAGGAGCAGCAGCAGCAGCAGCAGAAGUGAAGUGAGAUCGGUCGGAGGACGGAGAGGGGCUUAAGGGGAUGGGAUCGGUGGGGUCGCAGAAGGAGACGGAGGUGGUGGUGAGCCAGGUGUGCUUCGGCGGCUUCGACGAGGGCGUCUCCGCCAGAGAGCUCACCGACUUCCUGCAGCAGCAAGUUGGCCUCAUCUGGCGCUGCCGCGUCAAGACCUCCUGGACCCCGCCCGACUCCUAUCCCGACUUCUUCUUCUCCUCCUCGGACGACGUCGAUGAUGCCUCAUCAUCAUCAUCAUCAUCAGCUGCAGCAGCCUUCUCUUCUUCAUCGCCGACUAUUGCUCCUACUACUGCUUCGGUCAGGGACAAGGAUGACUACCCCAAGGUGGUCCCCCACGCCUUCGUCCACUUCGCCUCCCCCGACGCGGCCAAGCGCGCCAUGAACGCCGCCGGCCGCUGCGACCUCGUGCUCGGGGGCCGCCCCCUGCGCGCCCACUGCGCCGCCGAGAGCUCCUUCCGCGUCAGCCGCCGCCGCACCACCGACCCCUUCAAGUUCUCCGACGUCCGCCUCGACAUCGGCUCUCUCCUCGCCCGUGACGACUUCUGCGCCAGCUGGACCUGCCCCUCCGGCUCCGGAGCCGCCGAUUUCGUCGUCGACCCCUUCGACGGGCUGUGCAAGAUCCUCUUCGCCAGGGAGACCGCCUUCGCCUUCAAGGGCACGCGCGACGCGGCGACGAUCCGCUGCGAUUUCAAGAUCGAAUUCCUGGCGAGGGACAUCGCCGAGGUCAGGCUGUACACGGACCGAGCGUCGCUCGCGAUGCUCCUGCAGCUAACCUCCGCGCCUUACAUAUCCUACCGGACCGCCGACGACGACAUCUAUACCUCCGUGCCCUUCAACCUGCUCGACGACGAGGACCCGUGGAUCCGCACCACCGACUUCAGUCCUACCGGUGCCGUCGGCCGAUGCAGCUCGUACAAGAUCUCACUCUCCCCUCGUUUCGGUGGGAAGCUGGAGAGAGCGCUGGAUUAUCUGAGGAAGCGCAGAAUUCCGGAUUACCGGCCCAACCGUCAGCUAGUGGUUCGGCCGGAGCCCGACUUCGGCUUCUCGCCGGCAACCGAUCACUUCUUCUCCAUCCAUCACGCAGAGGGGGUCGGCUUUCCAAUACUGUUCCUGGUAAAUGCGUUGGUUCACAAGGGUAUCGUCAACCAGCACCAGCUCUCCGAUCAGUUCUUCGGCUUGUUGAGGGGCCAAAACGGUGUGGUAAAUGAGACCGCGCUGAGACAUAUAUGGUCUUACAAGCGCCCUAUAUUUGAUGCCUAUCGAAGACUGAAGCUUGUCCAGGAGUGGCUUCUGAACAACCCCAAACUCCUCAGAAGCUCCAAGCUAGCCGACUACUAUGCGGAGGUGAGAAGGCUUGUUAUAACUCCCACUAAAGCGUACUGUAUUCCUCCGGCAAUUGAACUCUCCAACAGGGUGUUGAGAAGGUAUAAGGAGGUCGCUGAUAGAUUCCUGAGGGUUACGUUUACCGAUGAAGGAAUGCAGCAGCUUAAUAACAGCGUUCUCAACUACUACGUUGCGCCCAUCGUCAAGGAGAUCACGUCAAACUCGUAUCAGCAGAAAACUACUGUGUUUAAGAGGGUGAAGAGUAUUCUAGAGGAUGGUUUCUACCUGUGCGGGCGCAAGUACUCCUUUCUUGCAUUCUCGUCCAAUCAGUUAAGAGACCGCUCCGCCUGGUUCUUCGCAGAGGAUAGCAAGACGACAGUUGCAGCCAUAACCAAAUGGAUGGGCAGGUUUAGUGACAGGAAUGUGGCAAAGUGUGCAGCUCGAAUAGGGCAGUGCUUCUCGUCCACAUACGCAACUGUAGAAGUGCCGUUGAGGGAGGUGAAUCCAGUGCUGCCUGAUAUUGAAGGAAACAGAUAUAUCUUUUCUGACGGGAUCGGGAAGAUCACUCCUGAUCUGGCAAUGGAAGUAGCUGAAAAGCUGAAGCUGACGGAUAACCCCCCCUCUGCAUACCAGAUAAGGUAUGCCGGCUGUAAAGGUGUUGUCGCUGUUUGGCCAGGAGAUGAAAUUGGCAUCCGGCUUUCUCUAAGACCGAGCAUGAACAAGUUCGAGUCCAACCAUACUGUAUUGGAGGUCGUCUCAUGGUCGAGGUUCCAACCUGGUUUCUUAAACCGGCAGAUCAUAACACUGCUCUCAUCCUUGAGUGUUCCCGACUCUGUGUUUGCCCGAAUGCAGGACUCGAUGAUCUGCAAGCUAAAUGAGAUGCUUGUGGAUACUGACGUUGCAUUUGAGGUCCUGACUACUUCCUGUGCGGAGCAAGGGAACACGGCAGCAAUGAUGCUGAGUGCUGGUUUCAAGCCUCAGACUGAGCCGCACUUAAAGGCAAUGCUCUCUUGUAUAAGGUCCGCACAGCUUGGGGACCUGUUGGAUAAAACCAGAAUCUUCGUUCCCAAAGGAAGGUGGUUGAUGGGUUGCUUAGAUGAACUUGCAGUGCUCGAGCACGGACAGUGCUUUAUUCAAACGUCGAGUCCCUCACUGCAGAACUGUUUUAUUAAGCACGGCACUAGAUUUUCUAGUACAAAAAUGAAUAGGCAAAUCAUUGUAGGUGUGGUGGUCAUAGCCAAGAACCCCUGUCUUCAUCCGGGUGAUGUUCGGAUCCUUGAAGCUGUCGAUGUGCCUGAUUUGCAUCAGCUCGUGGAUUGCCUUGUUUUCCCUCAGAAGGGAGAUAGGCCCCAUGCGAAUGAGGCAUCGGGCAGUGAUCUUGAUGGCGAUCUGUAUUUUGUCACAUGGGACGACGAUCUUAUUCCUCCAGGGAAGAGAAGCUGGGUGCCGAUGGACUACGCUGCGGCUGAAGCCAAAAAACUGCCACGAACAGUCUCUCCACAGGUAAGUCUUCGCAUAGGCUUAGCUUCUUGUUGAUCUUUUUCCCUUAGCACAUAUUAAAUUUUUUUCUCUCUCUUAGAAGGAUUAAGCAAGUUGUGUUGCAUUGUGUUGCUUGCGUUGUUGCUUGCAUUGUUCUGUUGAAAUGUGAGUACUUUAUGCCUAGUUUGCAAGAAAUAGCUCUUAAUUAUGUUUCAGGCACUUGAUUAAAGUCGAUUGGUAUAUUUGAUGAAAGUAGUGGGAAACACUUUUCCUUAUGAAGAUUGCAGUGGCCUACAAAUUUGGGUCUUUUGAUUGAGGGUGCUUGUAAUGUUAGUUGCAUUAGAUAGUGGAGAAAUUUGACCGGCUGCUGGAGUGCUGGGUACUAAAUAUAUUCUUCAUUAUUUUGUGCAGCAUCUGAUUGUUGUUAUUUUUGUUGUAGUGCACUAAUUCUUAUCAGAAUUAGCACUAAUUCUUAUAAGAAUUACUUAUUCACGUUGAUCCAUUGGGCCGUAGAUUAUAUCAUUGUACGUUGGUUUCCAUGUAUCUCACCUUCUGUGACUGGAUGAUUUUUUCCUUUUCAGCCCGGAACAAUUCAUUGGCUUCAUGUCUCUAUAUAUUUCACACAUAUAAUGCUAUAUAAGUAAAAAUGAUUUCAGUAACAGAAAUUCUAUGUUGUGGCUAACAGGAUAUUAUUGACUUCUUCCUGAAGAAUAUGGUCAAUGAAAAUCUCGGUGUUAUUUGCAAUGCUCAUGUUGUCCAUGCUGAUCUAAGCGAAUAUGGAGCUAUGGAUGAGAAGUGCCUCCAGCUUGCUGAACUGGCUUCUACUGCAGUGGACUUCCCCAAAACAGGCAAUUUUGUUACUAUGCCGCCGAAUCUCAGACCUAAACUCUACCCCGACUUCAUGGGGAAGGACGAUCACAUGUCCUACAAAUCAGAAAAGAUAUUAGGAAAGCUGUAUCGUGAGAUCAGAGAUGCCUCUUGUGAUGAUCCAUCAUCAUCAUCAUCUGCUGCACAAGCUUGCUCAUGGGAGGACGUAUCAUAUGAUAUGGAUCUCAAGGUUCCUGGGGCAUCAGAUUACCUGUUUGACGCCUGGAAUUGCAAGUGCGCCUACGACGGGCAGCUAAACGCAUUGUUGGGCCAGUACAAAGUUUUCUCAGAAGGGGAGGUUGUUACGGGGCAUAUAUGGUCGAUGCCUAAAAAUAAUAGUAGGAAGCAGGGAGAGCUCAAGGAGCGCCUCAAGAAUGCCUACGCUGCGCUGCGCAAAGAAUUCCGUAAUGUAUUUGAGACGGCGGGACCACAUUUUGACGAACUGUCGGAUGACGAAAAGAGUGUGUGGUAUGAACAGAAGGCGUCUGCGUGGUACCAAGUCACUUACCACCCCAAAUGGCUUAGAAAAUCGUGCGAAAUGCAAGAGCCAGAGGGGGAAAUGGUCCCUGCAAGGCUGUCGUUUGCCUGGAUCGCUGCAGACUAUUUGGUGCGCAUCAAAAUAAGAUGCCAAGACAAAAGCAAAUUGGAUCAACAAAGACCUGUCGAUGUGCUUGCAGUUUAUCUCUCUGAGAGGAUAUGAGGAGUUGCUUCUGUUUUUGAAACAGUUCCUCCUUUGGUACAGCAAGACCCCUCUGCCAUUUUUUGGGUUCAACGUAGCAGUGAACCUUGCGAGAAUACCUUUGUUGCGAUAUUUUGGAUAAACUUAAACAUUCUUUUUGUAUGUUGGUCUACCGUAACAAGUAGAUAUUUCUGCUCUGUUGUGUAUUCAGCUGUUCUAUCACCGAUUAUAGACAAUAAUUUAGUUCUUAUUUGUGGGUGAUGUAAUUUAUUGAGAGCUAUGAGUGUGCUUUAAACUAUAAUCUAUUACGCUAUAUUAAUCCUCAAAAUUUUAUUCACGUGGCAGCCCUACCUUCCAUUGCACUCUCCCUGAACCGACUUUGCCCUUUCCUUCGGUCGUUUCUCUCCACUUCCUUGGGCCGUUUCAUUUCUCUUCCCCGUGCGUUGUCGUUUCUUCUUCCUUUGCUACUGCUUCUUAGUCGCCAUUUCCUUUACCAUCUUGUCUUUUUCAGUGGAGAUUCACUCAUGCGUGGAUCGGAAUACCCGAUCGCGGUGGUGACUGCCUGAUUUGGUGCGAUCCAAGCCGAGGGCGCCAACUCUACAGGCUCCUCUUUGGCUUCGGCCAACUUCGCCAUUUCUUCAGGAAGAUUGUCUAUCAGUUCAAAUCUAAGGAUGCAAAUUCAAUCGGUCCAAAUCCAAGGAUGUAGAGGUAAUCCUAGCUCUUGAUACGUGCUAAUUGUUUAUAAUCGUUUUUCAAAUUUACCAUUUUUUUUGUUCUUUGAUCAUUUUCAUCCAGUGGGAAUCUGGAACAUAGCCCAAUUUCUUCUCUAACCAGGUAAUGGUGACGGCGCGAGUGAGAGAGGCUAAAAUGCCCACGAAUGGAUUGAAGCUCACAUGUUCGAUGAAAUGUCUAAGCAAACAAUCAAAUUACUUAGCGUUAGGUAUUUUCCUCUUCCCUUUGUUAAUUUAAUAUUUGAUUCAUCUUUUGAUGUUGAUAUCUUGUAGCAAUUGAUUCAUCUGAUUGUUUUGCGAAUUAAUGAGAUGAGAGCCCUUUUCUUCAACUUCUACAUAAUUCGAAAUUUUUAAGGCCAAAAACUUUUAAUUAAAGGAUGGAUGAAAGAAAAGGAUUGAAGAAAGAAAAGGAUUAGAGAAAGGUUGAGAUGGUUUCGCUCUUCUCCUACUCUCCCAACCUUUUUAAAAGGUCUCCUCAAAUAUCUAUUGAAUGAGUGGUAUCUUUUGUUGCUGAAUUUCAAGCGUUUGAUGAAAUGCUUUCUUUUGUGAUGGGCCAAAAGCAUCACUGACCCUCUAUUUCCUGCUGCACUGGGUCACCCGGUAAGCUUUUCUUCCUUCCGGCAGUGUGCAAAGAGAGCUCCAAGCGAGUUCAAUUUGUUUUUUUUGCCAAUUUCAGUUCCCUCUCCUCACAUGGAUUUGAGCUGUCCCCGAUUUCUUUUGAAUAUAUGUAGUAACGUCUAAUUUUUUAAAAUUUCUCUCUUCAUUUUACCUUCUUUUUUUUUAUACAUUCAUAUAUACAUGUCUAGCACUGCAUAUCUAUGACUAUAUAUUAAUCCCCAAUAUAUAUUAUUGCUGUACUAAAUGUUUGAAUAGAUAUCUCUAUAAAGCUCUAGCAUUCUUACGACUACGCUGUGUUUUCUUUUUUCUUAUCUUUAUUUUGCUAUUUGCCUUCCCCAAUCUAUCAUUUGCAAUAUUAGAAGACUACUCAUACUCUAUAUCUCAUUCUCAUUAGAAUAUCAUUUAUUGUCACAACUAUAAAUUUAUAUAUGAAGCUAUUUAUAUCUUAUAUUUCUUUUGAUAAUACUUGGUUAGUUAUAGCUAUAAUUUUCUGAAGUGCUAUCUAAAUUAGCCGUUUGCACCUUGAAUGUCACUUGAAUUAUAGUUUUGUAUCAAACAAUUUCUUCAUUGGUUAUUGUGCAUCAGUGGCAAGAGCGUGGGAGUGCAGGAACCGAAUUGUUUGCCAAAAGAUCUUUUUUUCCGAUGCCUUUGCUUACCAAACAAAUAAUAUGCCCAGAGUAGAUUCUUUGAAAAAUAAGAAAGUCAAAUAAAUUUUAAAUCUAAAUUUCUUUGUGUGUGAUGUGACUAUGUCUCUGUAAUGGCCCAGACGACCCGCAACCCGUCGACGACGAGAUGUUGCUGAGACGUGGACGGCGGGGAGGAUGAGGGGCGCCCGAGCUGGAUUGCUUCUACUGGAUUCGGGUAAAAAAGGGGAAAUUGGGAGGACUUGAGGAAGAAGUCUGGAGAGUUGGGGGAAGUGAGGGAAGUUGAGAGCACAGGAGAGGGUUACGGAUAGAGUUAAGAGAGAGGGGAGAAGAGGAAGAAUUGGGGAAGAUGAAAUUUGUAAUAUAUUUCUUCACAUCUGCAAGUUACAUGGCAUUCCUAUAUUUAUACUACUUAGCAUAUUCGUACUGAAAUGUAGUUAACUAGUAUCUGAAGGUUAACAACAAAAAAAUGGUAAAUUGGAGUGUGGGCUGGCUGGACUGCUAUUUGAUGGUUGAGGGGCCUCCGCCUGGGCUCGCCUGGUCCAAGAACGCCUGAUAACGGGUAAGUGGGUCUCGGUUUCUUCUUCUCCGCACUAUCCAGUGCCCAGCGGGUCUUGGGCUCGCCUUUUCCGCCCGAUCCGAGAUGUGGAUCGCCCGAUCCGCCAGUGAACGGGCAAAAGGGUACCGGUUCGCGCCUUUUCCCUCCGAUCCGCGACUCGGACGCUCCCUCCAUCAGCACCGAAGUGUUACUACUUCCUCCACUUCCUAGAUUCGGUCGGAUCUCUCUCUCUCUCUCUCUCUCUCUCUCUCUCUCAAGAUCUCCACCUCCUCUCCACUCCAAGUAUGCCCUAAUUCCCUUUCUCGGUUCAUCUCUGUCGGCUCGCCGGAACCCUCCUUUCGACCACUCCGCUCCACCUCUUGCUGUCAACAAUUAUUUCUACUUAGUAAGCUACCUCAUUUUCCACCCCUUUCUACUAAUUACUAUUCUGUUUAUUUGCAGGCCUUACAGUCUCCCUCUGCUUAUAUGACUGCUGUUGUAUGAAUAUUGGGCGUUGAAUCUCUGGUAACCAAGAGGGCUUUAGACUGCAUCCGAUACUUUUGGUGUCCGUCCUAGCCUGCGGAUUCGUUAAUCUGGUAAGUUUUCAUAGAGGUCCAAUUCUUGCCAUUUCCAUUGAACUACAGUAUAGUUGCUGCAGUAUAUACUAUCACUAUUCUCCUGCAAAGAUCCCAAUUUUGCGGAUAAGCAUGCACCAAAGCAAUCAACAAAGACGCCUAAAUUACUCUGCUCCCUGUACCAAAUAAUGAGCCUCAAAUAUAAGUGCAUUUGUUGUAGGGAUGAGUAGAAGCAUCGAUGUGUCUUAUGUAUACAAAGUGCCUAACAGCUUUAAUUUGGAAGCAAAGUAAAUGGAUGCUCAUGUUGUGGUGUCCCUCCUCGUGAGGGAGUUAUGUGCAAAAUUGCACAUAUUUUGUUGGACCUAUUUUAUUGGGUUAUGUUGAAGCCAUUUGGGCUCAUGAGUCAUUUGGGCUUCUGGGCUAAAUAGUUGGGUUAAGAUUUAUUCUUCACUUACUCAUAUGUACAUUGACAAAUGGAUAAAGAAAUAGGGUUAAUUACACCAAUGGUCCCUAACUUUUACACUGUUUUUUAAUUUGGUCCCUAAUCUCUUUUUUUUUUGCAAUCAAGUCUCUAAUCUCUUGAUUUCAUUUCAAUUAAGUUUCAAUCGUUAGAUAGUUGUUAAAAUUGACGAAAAAUACCACGUCAGUAUCCUGUCAGUGUCAUGGAGGCGCCAUGUCAGCGCCAUGGUGGUGCUGUGUCAGUGGAUUGUAAAAAAAAAAAUUCGGGACCAAAUUAAAAAACGGUACAAAGGUUGAACACCAAUGGUAUAAUUAGCCCAUUAAAUUUAUAAAUUUUUUUAAAAAAUAAAUUUAAGAUUUAAAUUUUGAUUUUGGAUCCAAAUUUAAAUUGGAAUUCAAAUUUCAAUUUUGUAUUUUAUUUUAAAUUCAAAUUCACAUUUGGAAUUCUAAAUUUUAAUUUAAUUUCAAACUCCGAUUUGAAAUUUCAAAUUCAAAAUAUGAAUUUGAAUUCGAAGUUUAAAUUCAAAUUUAGAAUUGAAAUCAAAUCUUAAAUUCAAAUUUAAAUUUUGAAUUCAAAUUUAAAAUUUAAAAUUAAAAUUUUGAAUAUGAUUUUAAAUUUANUUCGAUUUGAAAUUUCAAAUUCAAAAUGUGAAUUUGAAUUUGAAGUUUAAAUUCAAAUUUGGAAUUGAAAUCAAAUCUUAAAUUAAAAUUUAAAUUUUGAAUUCAAAUUUAAAAUUCAAAAUCAAAAUUUUGAAUAUGAUUUUAAAUUUAAAUUUAGAUUUUAAAUUUAAAUUUUGGUUUCAAAACUUUCAUUUUAAAUGUAAAUUGAAAUAUCAAAAUCAAAAUUAAAAUUUUAAGUUUGAAUUCAAAAUUUAGUUUCAAUUAAAAAUUUAAAUUUAAAAUUUGAAUUUCAAUUCAAAAUUUUAAUUCAGUUUUAAAUUCGAAUUCAAAAUUCUAAUUUCUCAUUAGUUUAAAAUUUUAAUUUUAAUAUUAUUUUUGAAUUUAAAUUUAAAAUUUUGAAUUUUUAUUUUUAGGGACUAAAAUAAAAAAUGUGCAAAGUUUAGAGACCUAAAUUGACAUGCAAAAGGUUGCCAAAUAGACGCUAACGUGGCGAUUUCGUUAAUUUUAACAAUUUUUUAACGGUUGGGACGUAAUUGUAAUAAAAUUAAAAGAUUAGAGACUCAAUUGUAAAAAAUAAAGGUUGGAGUUUUAAGUGAAAAUUGGUGCGAAAGUUGGGGAUUACUAGUGUAAUUAACCCUAUAGGAAUAUUAUAACUGAGAUGUGAAAUGAUUAAGAUAUUAUAUCAUUUUUAGAUUAAUAAUUUUUUAAUAUUUAACCAAUAAAAUUGAAUCGUGAGAUUUGAUUGUAACAAUUUAAAUAGUUUGAGUAAAAAAUUACAAGAAGUUAAAAUUUGAGAAUCAAAAUGUCAUGCGUCUCAUAUUUUGAAGAUUAAGAGUGUUACCUUUUUUUUUAUUAUUUGGAAAAAAAAAAUGGUGAUGGCCAAACCGAUUUAUCUGGUGAUAACUGAUGAACCAUCAAGAUUGAACAUUUGCAGGCCUGUCGGCUGAGCCGGACUCUUAUCCGCCCAUGACCAUGAGUGCUGACUGCUGAGCCCAUUACACGGAUGCUAAUCUGGCUCCGCCCCCCAGAUGUGCGCGGCGUCGCGGGCGACCCUCGCCCUUCGCGUCCUCUGUCACCGCCAAUCCCCUUCCUCCGCUUCUACUCUGCUGUCUUCCCGAUCCCGAUUGCUUUCGCCGCUUUCCCGUCAUUUUUUUCUCCUCCUCCACAUGGAAUCUUCCUCUUCCUCUUCUUCUUUCCAUUCCAAACCCUUCUCUUCUGCUUCGGCCUCCGCCUCCUAUUCCUCCCGAAGAAGGUAAUCUCUCCUACUCAAUGAAGAAUAAGGCUUGUUAAAUAUACUCGGAGGCGUUUUCUAUCUGAUUCUAUUCUAUUCGAUCAAUCCUUUCGUGGAAUAUAUAAAAAUUAUUGCAUACAAUGUCCUCCGAUAGAGUAAGUUUUUAGAGGCCACUUUUGAGUAAUAUGGUACUGGCGCUGAAGCUAAAGCUAGUAUACUUCUCAAAAUAAAGGAUGCUGUUCACUUUCACGCCGUUCCUUGCGGUGGGGCAUCCGAAUAGACAAUCGACUCUUUUAAGUUAUUUUAACUUCAUAUAAAUCAUGUUUACUUCAUGUUUAACGGUGUUGACCUUUGAGUAGGAUGCUCUGCCGCCUGUAACAACAUGGAAGUAAAUGAUCCUGUUUACUUCUAGGAGUGUUCUAGCUUUACUCUCCGUGCUGAACUGUUUACUAUCAAAUUGGUAAUGGAGCUUUGUUUUAUUUACCAUGAUUUCUGUUAGGGAAAAAGCGCACUGAAAAUCCGAUCGUAAUUAAAAUCUAACUAAUUUUGUGAUAACGAUAAAAUUAAACUUACAGAUAAAUACUAAUAUCCAAAUAAAAGAUUUAAUUAUCCGGAAGCGUGCGAGGCACUGUUCUAAGAUGUAUUCCCGUCCAUACGUGCGGUAUUAAUCGAAAAUACCGUCCCAAGGUACGACCGGAAUUCCUCCUUCUAUGAGCACGAUUAUGAAGGAAGUUGACGGAAAUUCUUUCAACACCCGACGAUAAAAAAAAAAUUCAAGUGAAUGAAGAUAGUAAAAAGAGAAUUAAAACUAUUUCUUGAAAUUAUCUCUCUGUCAUGUAUGCAUUCACACUGACUAGAAAGCUCCAUUUGGACAUUAAUAUAUAUACAGUGACUAUGAUGUAAUUAGAACGUUGCUUCCAAUGUUCUAUCAGAAAUGGUUGCACGUAAAGCGCGUGAACGUGCGCGGAGUGGAGCGCGCACGGAGCCGGUGCGCACAAAGCGCAAGCUGAACCGUCCGCAUUAAAAUCUUAGAUUGAUUAAAAUAAUAAUAAAUUACAAAUAAUAUUAAAGAAAAUAAUAAUUAUAAUUUUGAAUUUUUUUACUAACAAUUUCUUAUCUGCCCUUCAACUCCUUGUUUUAUUUAUAGCGGGAGGGGAAGGGGAAGGGAGUCCGGCAUGAGGGAAGAUAGGAAUCGUGGGGGAGGAAGUGGCGGUGAUGCAGAAAGCGAGAGGAUUGAUGCUCUUGGCCGGCUUCUGUAAUCUCUUCAUCUCUUCUUAGUUUUCGAAUUGUGACAGAUGAUAUCAUAUUUCUUAUCAUUACUACUAUUCUAUGUGUUCCAUGUAUAUGUAUGUGGUCGAGUUUUGGUUAGAACUUGAUUUUCGGUUUUGCUGAGAAUUAUGUUUUUUUAUAGCAGAAAUUGUUCUCCAUUAACUUCUACAAAUUUGGUAUGUGGGCAACAAAAAUUUAACGAUUUUGAUUUAUUGCUAUCUGUGAUUUGAAUUGUGUUAGGACGAGGAUCUUGCGCCAUAUGGCCUCUGAGCUGAACCUAGAUAUGAGAAGUGAUGGUUAUGUUCGAGUUCGUGAUUUAUUGAAACUGAACAUGACAACUUAUGCCAAAGUUCCAUUGAGAUCCCACACAGUUGAAGAAAUCAAGAAGGUGAGCUGGUGACGCCUCUUUUAUUCGCUUUUUGUAAAUCCUUGGUUAGCUAUAAUUUUUGAGUAUGAAUACUACUUUUGCGUUAAGUGAAACACCGGUGGUCUGAUCUAAGAGACCUCUCUAUCCAGUUGCAAACUGAAUAAAUUGGCUUAGUAAUUUUUCAUACUUUGGUAACCUUAGGCCACAUAAAUUGGCUUAGUAAUUUUUCACCUUAAUUUUUGAUAUGUGAUAUAUUUGGAUUAGGUUGCGUAGUCUCUACGUAGAAAAUUUAAAAGCUUGUAUAUCCUAAUUUUAUUUGUAUAUUUAUGUGAGUGAAUUCUAGAUCUUCUUUAUUGCAUUGAAUAACGGCUCUAACAUAUAGACUACGCCACUGUCUACAUGUCAUCUCCUUUUCAUUAAUUGUGUUUUUUUUUAAAGUCAAAUCUUAUGAUGUUGUAGUUUUCUGCUGAAUGUGAACAUAAAUGAUGCAAAUUUUGGUAUUUUUUGCAUAUAAGAUGUAUUGUGAUUGUCUUAUCCAUUAGUACUCUAUUGUUUUCUCUUGGAUAAGGAUACCAAAAUAUAGUGAGGCACGAGGCUAGAGUCUGAACUGAAUAAUCUGGUGGAACAACAUUAAUAAUGACUUAUAGCAUAAUUGACUCGAGCACUUUUUCUGCAUGUAUUUAAAGACCCUUAGGCUGCGUUUCGUUCAGGGAUAAUGAAUUAGGGGAUAAAUUAUUUAAUUCCUGUGAUAGGCUGCUAUUCCGGGAUAGUUAGGAAUAUAAGAAAAAUUGUGUUUGGUUUGUAAAACUAUUGUUCUUUAGAAUAGCUGAAAGUGUGUUUGGUUAAUUUGUUGGAAUAGCCUAGAAUAGUGAGAAAAAGUGGUGGUUACAUUUUUUAAAAUACCAAUUUUGCCCUUAGCAUCCUUCCAUAUAUAUGCUUAAUAAUACAAAAUCAAGUAGCUGUGGACAUUUACAAUAAUAGAACGUUUGAUACACAAUUUUACUUUCGAUUUAAUUCUGGUAGUGACAACAUCUGAAGAGUACAGUGACAACAUCUGAAGAGUACAUAAUUAAACUAACGAACUUUAGCAAAUUAAUUCACUAUUUAAUUAUACCAAAGUGCUCAAAAUCUACAAGAAACUUUUUAAUUACGUAUAACUUAACAUUAUAACAAACCACAAUGCUAAGUAUAAAUUGUAAUAUACCUGCAGAUCGCAAGAAAGCAUGAAGAACAAACAUCAUAUUUAAGCUCUACAACUAUGUAACUCAACAUUUAACUUAAACAAAGUUUUUAAAUUGAAAUAUCUGUGAGCAACUCACGAAUGUAAGUAAGAAAACCAAAGAUAAGCAUCCUCCAGUUACAAAUGUUUCACUAACAGCACAAAUUAAGUUGCAAAUUUCGAGAAGAGAAAUAAGUUCAUACAAGUAGAACAAAAGCAUGUUCACGUAAAAUUUAAACGCAUCAUGUCCAUUAUUGCCUCUUAUCUGUUGUUCCAAACUUCUGUGAUCAUGGUGCGAAGGGUGUCACCUCGUCGAGACUCGUCUGGGCCAACAGUAGGUGACGAUUCAUCAACUUGGUUGUCCGUGGGCAAUGGGUCCAGUUGCAUGUUGAAGUAUCGGUCGGUCUCUUGGUGCCUCUUGAUGAAAUUGUGUAUGACACAAGAUGCAAGGGCAAUGCGACACUGCACUUUGUAGGAAAAGGGUGUUGCUUGUCGGAGCAUCUUGAACUGCCUCUUCAGGAUCCCAAAGGCUUUCUCAACUACAUUUCGCAAUUGAGCGUGAUGAUGAUUAUAUAAAUCGCGAGGUCCUCGUUGCCUUCGGGCUUCUGCGUUUACAUCGAAUUGGCUUAACUGAUAUCGCUCCCCUUGAAACGACGCAAGGAACCAAUCAGUGUUCGCAUAUCCUGAAUUGACUAGAUAAAAUUUUCUUAUACCAAUACAAAGCUUUAUGAAAAUUAGAACAAUAAAAGCUAUAUCACACAUUAACUUGCAAAUCGUUAGUUACCUUCCAGUACUGUGAAACCACCACUCUCGCAACACCAUCACAAUACCCUUAUAUUAGCCGCAGAACCCUCCCAACCGGCGCACACAAAUAAAAACUGAUGGUCGAAUGAACAUGCUGCCAUCAUGUUUUGAGAAGUAAAUCCUUUGCGACACCGAUAUCUUGGUUGCUUAGUCUUCCGUACAACCACCGGUAAGUGUGUUCCAUUAACUGCACCAGUUGCAUUCUGAAAUCAAUAGUUAAAUAAAAUAGUUAGCAUCAAAUAUUGCAUAACUCCAAAAAUUAAAAAUUUUGUUUCCACGAAGUUUUAACAAAUACUAAAAUAGUUGCCUUGAAUGGAUGAAAUAUUGAAUUAUCUUUAAUUCUAGGAUCUACUCCCAUAUUAGAUAGUGGGAGUUGGAUGUAGUCAUGUCUAAGCUCAACCACUCCGCGAGUACAUUUUAAUGCCUACUAAUCGUUUCUCUUGAAUGUUGAAAAGAAUCUGUCAAAACUCUAUUGGCCCCGCUAUAACCUAUUUUGAAUAGAAAUAUACCAAGCAGUUAAAUGCCUAGUGUUUUGUAUAAAACCCCUCCCAGCCAAUUCAUCGCGAAGCCUUAUGAACAUAGUGGUGGUCAUCCUGAAAUGUUGAUAACCUCUAUCAGGAUGUCCAGUCAAUAUGUCAUGAAUUAGCUGAUGGCCUGUGAACGGCCGAGUUCGACAAGGCUGCUUAUAAAUUGUGUCGUGGAGUGAAAAGUCCCCCCCUUUGAUAAGCAAGGCAUGCGCUUCUUUCCAGUAGUCUUCUUCCUCGUCUAAGAAUGCCAUGAGAUCUGCAACGAGUGUAGAUGAAAAAACUCGCCGAUUGAUUGCUCCAACCAUGACUGCAUUUGGAUAAAAUGAAUCUUUUAUAACCCAAUAAUAGUUUUUGUUGAUAUCUAUUGGCUUAGGUAGUAACGCAAAAGAGUAUACAGUGGUUUUUAUCCAUGCCUCCCUACCAUGUGUAUCUAGAGCCCUGCAUAUCAUCAUCACCGAAAGGAUGAAGCACAACACUCUGAUGCUCAAUAACAUUAGCUUAAGAACUUCAAAUAUGGCAAGAAUUGUAACAUAGAUACAGGUUGGUAAAUGAGCUGUAGAGAAGUUAUAAGUAAACUAUAUAGCUAUCGACAUGUGUUGGCUCAGGACGGAAUGAAGUCACACAUGUGCAUGGUGGCUGCAAUACCACAUGUACUGCCCCCCUACCAUUCACGCAUAUGUUUGAUUGCUCAUCAUUGCCAGUUUGAGAAAGCUACAAGUUGCAAGCAAAAUGAAGUAGCUUGCUGCAGUUGCAAGAAUUGUAAUGAAGAUGUGAAAAUCACCAAAGCAGUCACUUUAAAAAGCAUAUGAAAUAGUACCAAAGCAUGAUAGAAGUGACCAGUUGAAUGAUUAAUUAACUUUAAUUCCUCACUGAAAAUUAAAACACAAGCAUGGUAAUAACUACAAUACAACCAAACCAUGUCCAGUCAACAAAUAGAAGCCACAACUACAAUACAACCCAACCAGCAAUUGAAAAUCACCCAAAAGAUUUUAAAUUACACAAUGGUCGGUCGAAGAAUUAAGGUGAAGAUAUGAAUAUCAAGUACUAAACUGCAAUGGGAAAUAUAAAAUAUGCAAUCUUGACAUAGCAGAAAAGGCAAGCUAUUGUAAAUCAUGGACUAGUUCAUUGGUUUUGGAAUAAUUGUACUGCAUCUGCAACAGAAGAUUUCAGCAUAUCACAAAAUUUGCAACUUGUAGCUAUCCUCACCUCGAGUUUCAUUCACUUUGGAACCAGCUCAUUCAUGUGUUGGCUUAGGUCUUAAAGAGCACAAGUAUGAAUGGUGGCUGCAACAGGUUUCGUAUUGCCCCCCAACCGUUCACGCCUGCUGCUCUUUUGCUCAUCAUUGCUGGAGCGAGUAACGCACAGAUUACAAGUCGAGAAGAAGCAAAAUUAUACAUAGUAACUUCAACCAAUUAAUCCUCAAUUUGGUAAAGUUGUAUACCUUUUAUAGAUGGCCAAGAAUCAAAAGAUUCAGGUAACAUAGGAAUAAGAAGCUUGUCACGCCCGGGCUCCAACGGAAGCCCACCCGGCUCGUGCACAGACCCGUGUACACCUAGCACCCCCAGUGCAUACUAGGCGUCUACAAUAACUAUAGUAAGAAGUAGAAAUAAAUCCUAAACGCGGUGAUCAAAGUACAUAAUUCUACCAAAUAAACAAGUCUAAUACAAAUACACAAUCACAAGAUAUACAAUAAAUUUGAACAAAAGAUGCAUCUCGAGUACUAGGAGAUCUCUAAACUAAAGACAAUUGUACAUCUUUCAAAGUAAACCAAAAGAAAGAUGUCAAUGGGACCAUCUAUAGCAACAUCGAGGAGGCUCUAGCUAGUCGCUAACCUCUUGCCACGAUCCUUAUCAUCUCCCGCAGUGAAAGGCUCUGAAACGAAAACAAGCAAUCAAUGGGGGUGAGAACUAUUAAACAAUAGUUUCCAGUAGGUAAACCGCUGAGAGUGGCGAAAUACACCACUAGGUCAACUGAGACAAUAACAGUAUGUAACUGAAAUACAAAACAAUUAGGUAAAAUUUAAACUGAAAUGGUUCAACUGCAGUCACGCUUCUAUGUGACAAGGUCUACUAUAUGAAUGUAGUUCUCUCACUGUUAUAUGUACAAGUAUAAAUAUGCAAGUUUACAUGCAUGUUCAUCUUUAUGCUAUGAGCAAUAGUUAAAGAAAAAUUUUUCAUUAUCAUCGUAUGGCUACACUACUAUACUAAUCAACAUGUGUAUGGAUUUACUACUAUUAUGAUUACCAAUAUAAGUAAUGAUCAACAUAAAUGUCCAACUACUAUGAACGCAUCAAAUAGUGACACAAGGUAAUAACCAACUAGAAUGUCCAUCUACUAUAUAUACAUCAACUAAUUGUAAUGUACAAUGUCAUAAAGCAAUAAUCAACUAGAAUAUUCAUCUACUAUACAUGCAUCAGCUAGUUGUGAUGUACAAUGUUAUAUUUACCUGACUUUUACCCAAUCAGCGAGGGACUUACACAUAGUAACGUCCCGACUUGUACUAUACUUAAUGGCCUCAUGGUAGUCAACAUUCUUCCUCUAGGAAUGGGCCUCUCCCAUUGCAAUCCACUUUAUCAGCGCCCAAUCCCGCAUGGGCGAGCAUGUUGUCGUAAAGACUAAUUCCGAAGUGUCGGCUUGUAGGGAGUGACCCUCACAAACUUGUGUGAAUGAGCACAAAGGCAAAACAAGCGUGGUCAUAUGCAUCAUGUCCAAGGCAAUUAGUCUCCAUCAUCAGGUCUAAAACAUGAAAUCCCAAUCAUCGACUCAAGAUCGAGUACUAUAACAUAUUUGUCAUGUUUCUUUCUCAAUCAACUUGGUGGUCUGUCCCUAUCAAUAUGCAACAUGUCUCAAGCAUGUAAAGGUUUAUAUCUAAUUUAUCCUAACAAUGACGGUUCUAUAUCUCAUGGCAUGAUCCUAACGGGUUACAAAUGUAUACUAUUUUCACUAUAGUAUGUAAGAGAACAAUUUACUAUUGUCAUGUUUAAAGAAUAUGAGGAUGUCAACCAAGUUCAUUUUUCAUGUCAUGAAUGCGUCUUGCUUCAUAAGCCUCCACUAUAUGGAGUAUGAAAUUUAUUAUGCAAGUAAUUACCUCUCAUUUAACUAAGCAAUUAUAUAUAUUUGUCAUUUAUGUCAUAAUUAAGUAAUUCAAUUGAGCUUAAGGUGUUACAUGCAGAUGCUAGCCCAACUAUAUACGCACAUAUAGAUUGCAAACAUUAACAUGCAAUAUCAUAUUUUUCUUUAACUAUAGCAAAUAUGAAAUAUUGCCAUUUAAGUCCAAACACAAUUGCUUCACUAGUCAUAUAGUGUCUCAUAUAAUACUACCAAUCAUCUUUAACAUGCAUAUACAUAUAUAUACUUGAACAAGAGAAGAUUAAUAUUUUUAAUGCAUUGUCAUAUAUUUUGCUAUGCAUGUUAUAGUCACAAGUUCUCUACUACAUAGAGAAGAUACCCUUUCAUAUGUAACAUGUAUAUGUCAUGUAUCCAAAAAUUUUAUGAUGUCAAGAAUAGCAUGAAAAAUCAUCUAUUAGGUCUUAUAGCAAGAUAGGAGACAUAGGGGGAGUUCACCCAUUUCGAUGAGGUCAAACCCAUCGGAUACCCUUCGAAACUUAAUCGUUUUCCUGAUCGAAAUUGUCUACUAGACUUCUAGCACCUAAAGAAAAAUUUUCAAAGGGUUACAAGCUUAUAAAAAGCUUAUCACGAAAUUCACCAAAAAUCAAGGAGAAAAUAGGUGAAAAUUAACUUUGAUCAAGGAAAACUUGUUCAAGGUCCAAAUCAAAGUGAAGGAUCUUCAAAUCCAACCUAAAAGAGUAUUCUACACCCAUCAAUUCAACUCCAAAAACUCAAAAUCAAGAAAUCCCAAAAUAAAUCCUAGUUUAGGUUUUUCUACUAAAAAUUCUUGCAAAACUCAUAAUUGGAGAGAGUAAUAAGAUCACUAACCUCAAACAAGCUCCAAACCAAGCUUCAAGAUGCUAGGGUUGAAGUUUAAUCCACAAGCAAGCUCUUCUCUUCAAUCCCGAGCUCCCCUCCAAGGUCUAAUGGCAAGCUUCUAUGAAGAAGUUGAAGGAAAAGGAUCAAUUCCAAGAAAUGGAGGAGUUGGGAGGAAGAAAUCCAAUAGAGAGAGUGUAAGGGCUUACCUCCUCCUCUCUCUAAGCUCAGCACAAAGUGAGCAAAUGAGAAGGAUGAAGGGAUAUACUAUAUGUUGUAACAAUCCCACCCAUGCCCCUAAAAAAUUCAGAAAUUACUAACAGCACGAAACUACCUUUGCAGCAUUGAGUACCGGUACACGAAUUGGGGUACCGGUAGUCGGCAGUUCCGGUACUAGGGACCCAGGCCCGCAAAACUAGAACGUUGGUUAAAUUGGUUUUCCAUUACGUUCCGGUACUAGCCCGAUGCAGUAUCGGUAUACGGCUCAGUACCGGUACACAGAGCCGAGUUCUGCAAAACCUAAGAGCUGUCCAAAUCGGCACUCUACUGAGUUCCGGUACCUCAUGUUCAGUACCAAUACUCAACACAAAUACUGCAGUUUUGCAGAAUUUGAUCUUCGGAGUCCGUUAUCGCGCUUACUGAGCCUCGAAAACACUCCUAAGCUCUCCAAACUCUGUCAAAACCUUCAUAAUAGUAUAAAGCACUAUUCUCUCACCAGAACUCCGCAAUUUGCAGAAGUUUUGUGUGCUACAAAGCCGAUACAAUGGUACAACCAACAAUGAACACAAGUAUGGCAACAACUGAAGAAACACAGAUGCAGGUGCAAAAAGUGAACUAAAGAAACCAAUAUCAAGUGAUCCUCACUGUAAAAUAAAACUGCAAGCGUGAUAAAGAAGAGAGAGCCAACUUUUUGGUCAAUCAUGGAUGAAAUGAUUAAGUUCAAAAAUACUUCACUGCAAGUUCACAAAAACAAACUUAUAAAAUCAUGUAAUAUGAAACAUGUAGCCGCCACUUACCUCGAGUAAUAUCAAUUGAACCCAAUAGCUGGAGGUUUGAAGAGAGUUGGAGACAAAUACAUGCUGAAGCAGAACAAUCAUGUGUUGGCUUAGGUGAUAAAGGGCACAAGUCUGAACAGUGGUUGCAAUAGGUUACCUAUUGCCCUCCAAACCAUUCAAGCCUACUGCUUCUUUGCGCAUCAUUGCCGGAGCGAGUAACGUGCGUAUUACAAGUUGAGAAGAAGAUGAAGUAAUACAUACUCACCUAGAACCAAUUAAUCCUCACUUUGCUAAACUGUAAUACCUUUUAUAGAUGGCCAUAAAUGAAAAGAGACAGGUUAUAAUAGAAUAAGAAGACAAAACUGCAAGCGUGAUAAAGAAGAGAAAGCCAACUUUUUGGUAAAUCAUGGACCAAAUAAUUAAGUUCGAAAUAACUUCACCGCAAGUUCACAAAAACAAAAUUCUGAAAUCAUGUAAUAUGAAACAUGUAGCUGUCACUUAUCUGGAGUAAUAUCAAUUGAACCCAAUAGUUGGAGGUUUGAAGAGAGUUGGAGACAAUUUCAUGCUAAAGCAGAAUAAUCAUGUGUUGGCUUAGGUGAUAAAUGGCACAAGUCUGAAUGGUGGCUUCAAUAGGUUACCUAUUGGCCCCCAAACCAUUCAAGCCUACUGCUCCUUUGCGCAUCAUUGCUGGUGCGCAAACAAGUGCAAUUGUUCUUCACCCAUCUAAGCAUACUUAAUUUGGUGGGAAAGAUGGCCUUUCUGGUGGAAAGGAGGGUAAAUUAGAAGGGACAGUAGGCCCUGCUGGAGGAAAGGUUGGCGUGCCAAGAGGGAAGCCCGCAAUUGCUGGUGGAAAGAAGGACGGUACAGGAGUAAAGGAUGGAGAUGUUGCUGUUAAAAAAGGUCCAGUAGGUGCAGAUGAUGGUGCAACUGGCCUUUGUCCAGCAUAAACUGUUGCAUGGCGAUUUACCAAUUUAUUCACAUGUACAAGUAUACAACAGAUCAUCAGUCAAUGUCAUAAAAUAGGCCUACUGCGCUCAUCUUUUAGAACCUCACAUAAAGCAAGUAAACCAUCAGGAGUCAAGUGAGCAACAUUGCUAAGCCUUUCCAUACACACCUCUAUGGAAUGAAUUUUUGGCCGAGCUUGUAACUCACGUUCCAUUACAGCUUGUGCUAUUUCUGUUUUUUUUCCCAAUUCAACUAGCUGAUAAAUUGCUUGUGUUCAUCCGUCAUCUUUUCAUCUAUGGUUUGAAGUUGGUGUAGGAUUUGGUAGUGACACUCAAGGCCUCUUCAUUGACGAAGUGCAGCCAGAGGCACUACCGCAUAGUGGCUAACUACUUUAAUUGGAGUCGGAGUAGUAGUUGAAUUUGCGUCGUUAACUUUCUCCAAAUUCUUGCCUAAGUUCUCCAUGUCGAGUCGUUGCGUAGCAGGAGAAGAUGAAGACGUGCUACAAACAUCCUCGACAUUCAUUCGAGAAGUAAAUCCAUGUCUACCGGUUGCAGUAUCUUUUCCCGUCAAUAAUUCAAUAGAUUGAUAUGCUGGAAAUGGUUUGUCCCAGUACUUAGCGUAAACUGGAUUUUCCUAUAAAUGGAAAAACAUAGAUGAUAUGCAAAUGUUUACCUAAAAAAAAGCAAUUUUGGUUUACAAAAAAACAUAAAUGGUAAUAGAAUAAAAAACAUUUCGCUAUAAUGGCAUCCCAUUCACUAGGUCACCGGCAGUUGGAAUAUUUUGUGUAAUCCAUUCCCCUCCACUCUUGUUGGUUAAAGUUUGAUACAUCAAAUAUUGACGCUUCAAGACUUUUAAACGAUUUUGCAAAUGAACUUUGUUAAAGCCCAAUUUUGUCCUCUCAUUAAAGUCCCGAACCAUUCAAACCCAUGCCAAGGGGGUAAAACUCCCAUUGACAAAAUUCCCAAGAGCAUGCUCCUCUGUCAUUAGGUUCAACAUUGCAGAGUCCAUUAUUUCUGUCCAGUUAGAGGAUCUUACCUUGCUUUUCGUUGAAUCUUGCACAGGGCAUCUAAACUUCGGCUAUCAGCGGAGGAAACAUUAAUAAAUGAGCCUUUGUUUUUCAAAUUAGGCUGUAGCGACGUUUUUAGAGGGGCCAUCUGAGAUGAGUAAGCAAACAAAUCAAUCAUGUGUAUUAUUGCAUACAUAUAACACUGGUUUAGUAUAGGCGCAAUAUGAUAUAUUAUUUUGUUAAGUGGCUCAGAGGAUAAGGUUAUACAUGACUCCACGAUGGCUGCAGUAGUUACAAAAACCAUGCCACCCUGCCGUGGAUAUGUAACAUACCUUCCCUACAUUAUUGUUUUUUAAAAAACUUUCCCCCCAAACAGAUUCUGAUAUGAAUGUUGCUAGCUUCUUUCAAUUCAACAUACUUGACGGCCAAAUAUAUGUGAGUUCUCUUAUGUUCAUCAUUUUGUCCAACCUGGAGCUAUGUUAAAAAUCUUACCAUACUUUUGUCCAUGGUUGGAUUGUGAAGUAAUGAGUAUGUAAGAUAGGCUCUAGUUGUAUGAACUAUGAAAUAAUAAACAUUAGCCUCGGCUACAAGUGCAUGUAAUAACUAAAUAAGGUAAAAAAAAUAUAGGCAGAAAACAUUAUCAAAUUGCUUUAAGUGGUAUAAAACAGUGGAAAAUUGCUUUUAAAAUAAAAAACCUAAGCUUAUAACAUUUAAAAAGUUCACAAGAGAUAUAUAAUACAAAUUUCACCAACUGGCGACAGAUUCAACAAAAUAAGAAAUCAUCAAAAAAUCCCAAAUAUAUGUAAAUAUGCAAGAGUUUAUAGUUUUUGGUUUUCAAAAAAUAUAAACUAUAAAAAUAGUUGAACAAAAUAUUAAAUUUCAUGAGAUGAAGGUAGGAAUAGGGACUAUAGGGGGGUUGUUACAAAAUAUAGCAAUAGAGAUAUAAGACAUCAAAUAGAACCGAACAUCUUAACAUUAUAUAUAAAAAAUAAUAUUGAACCCCGAAGCUUUUAACAAAUUUCUUAAAUUGUGGGUUUCAAAUGUCACUUGAGUUUAAGAAAACAUACAUAUCAAAGAAAAACAGAGUACGAAUUUUAUGAAAGGCAAAUCUACAAAAGAUGUUAAAAUUAUGAGAUAAUCAAAUAACUCGAUGAGAUUAUUAAAAGGCUGAAAAUUCCAACAGUGAAUACUUCAACUCCAACACAGGUACAAUGAAGGCAACAAAUAGGAACAGAGAUAGGGUUUCAAGCACGUUGUAAAGAGAAGUCUACCUUCGAAUCCCACUCACUUUAAAGAGGAAAGGGGCACGAAAACUUAAUGGCUUUUACCUGCGAGGUUGCUGGUCGCACUUAAUGGGCGACUUGACAACACAGUAUAGUUGGCGAGGAGGAAAAAAGAGAUUCCUUGCAUUGGAAGCCCAAUUGGAGUUGAGAGGAGGUAGCCAUUAUUAAUAGUCAAAUCGGAAGGUUUGAGAGAGGAGUUAGGGAUGAGAAUGAAUCUUGGGUGAGAUCUUCCUCAUCAUUGCAGUAGUUGAGAGAGACUGCUAGAGGAGUACCGAGGAAGACAACAAGAGGAGAGAGGGCUUACCGAUGAAGGCGUCUCAUACGAGGUCUCACUCAUUCAUUAUGGUCGUUGCCGAAGGAGUCGAGAGAAGUAGAGAGGAGGAAGAAGGCGUCCGACACGAGGAGGCAGGGAAGCAGCGAAGCAGUAUUGAGCAAGGAGGAAGGUAGGUGUCACGCAUUAACGAAGAAGACGGACUAUCAUCGUAUUUUCCAACCCUUGCCCUUGGUAUAAACCAGCGAAAGUGGGCUCUUCUGCUAGUGAGGAGGGAUUGGUCUUAACGGGUUAUCCUUGGAUAACCCGUUGAGACCAAGAUAAAAUAAACCCCCAUAAUUAAUCAAUGUUUGGUUGAAUGAGUAGGAUAAAAUAGACCAUUCCCAUUUUAUUUUGCAAACAAACACAACCUUAAGGAAUGGAUGAUAUUGCUUGUGGAGUUAGCAAUAAGAAAGCCAAAGAAGAGAUAAAUAACAGAGCUAAAUGGAGGUAGAUGACCAUUUGCCACUAGCAUAAACCUUCCUUUUCUUAAUGUGUCUAGUGUACAUUUGCUGCUUCUCCUCUUCCCUCAUCUCUCAUUUUCCGUUUUAUAUUUGUUGAGUUGACCUAUCAGUUGACAUAGCAACUGUUGCAAGUAGAUGCUAUUGCUUACCAUGUGUAGUUGAGAUUGGCUCCAAAUGCAUGAUCAACCGUUAUUAAUGUUUUCAAGGCUGGAAGAACACGAUCUUUACAUGUCGGUGGGAUACAGUAACUGAUAGAUGCCUUGUUGUUGCCUCCAAAGCUCAACCUUUUGUCAUGUUCCUUCGGGCUCAGAAUGAUUGAAAAGUUUGAAGUUCUUUUCAUAGUGUAGCAUGUUAUUUCUUGCUUGAUACAUUGACAGAUCUUAUACAGAUUGUAAAGUUGAAUUAAAAUUUUGAGAUCCUUGCUGCACAAGGAAAUGGAAUUGCCACUGUUAUUAGGAAGGUAGUCAAGUGUUCUCUAGGCAGAAAGUCUAUAAAUGCAUUAAGCUGUCAACUUUUACGAAUGUCAAGAUAUAACUAAUAGGGUUAAUAUCAUACAGGUCUCGGCAAACAUAGUGAAUUGCAAAUAUAUCUCUACAAAGUUCAACUUUCAUAUGUUGUCCCUACAAAAGUCCUGAUGUUUGCAAAUAUGCCCCUGCCGUUAGGAUCCGUUAGAAAAAAUUAGUUAACUAUAGGUAAAAUAGUUAACCCUAAUUAGUGAAUAAUGUGAAUUGACUUUUUUACCCCGCUUUACUUAACAAUUGAGACUUUUGGAGGGACAUAUUUGUGAUGGCAAAAAGAUCAUUUCACUUAUAAAAUAAACAGUGCUUUAACGGUAACAAACCAGAGGGACAUUUGAAAAUAUUAGGACUUUUGCAGGGGCAACAUAUGAAAGUUGAACUUUGUAGGAAUAUAUUUGCAAAUUACUAUGUUUGCAGGUACCCGUAUGAAAUUAACCCUAACUAAUAAUAGCUUUAGGUUUGUCUAACAUGCAAGUAUACUACUAACACAGUUACUUGAAUUGUAUCCUGUCUCCACCCUGGUGCACUCUAUGAUCAUUUCAUGAAAUUUUUAUUUGAUCUUUGAAAAUUUUCUCUUACCUUUUGUUGGUGUUAACAACAACAGAUCACAAUGGAUUUUCUGACUUACAAUCUUUUUUUUUUUCUUUCCCCCAAUUCACUACUAGCUUGAGUAUUUAUCCUUGUUUUCUCAUUUUCUACUGCUGGCAUUGCCAAAGACUGCCUAAAAUUUUGGCCUCUCAAACGUCUGUAGUCCUUUUGUUUUAUAAAUACUUUGCACUUCUAUUUUCUUAUAGAUAUUAGUUCCCUGUAUGUAUUAUAUUUGUUCUAUUUGUAGAUUUAAUUAUGUAGUACUUGAUAAUUGAUAUCUUCUGUAGCAAGAAUGGUACUCAUGUAUAGUUUUCAUUCUGCCCUCUGGGUCUGUGCCCUUAUAUUUUUCUCUAAUUUAUUACCUUUUGUAUCUCAUUAAUCAGAUUAUGCUUCAUUCUAUUAUAAUAGGACUUUAUCAAGUAUUUGGAAGUGUUUUUUACGUUCAAAACAUUAUUCUAACUGAAUAUUUUUUUAUUCUGUGUAUGGGGUGAGAACACAUGCCACUAUUAUUAUAUUUGUCUAUAUAUUUGUGCUUCAUUCUAUUAUAAUAGGACUUUAUCAAGUAUUUGGAAGUGUUUUCUACGUUCAAAACAUUAUUGUAACUAAAUAUUUUUCUAUUCUGUGAUACAAUAAAGGCAGUGAAGAGGGAUAAUAAGCAACGCUUUAGUCUAUCGGAGGAAGAUGGAGAGUUGCUGAUCCGAGCAAACCAGGGCCACACAGUAAAGGUGAUGUAUCUAUACUACUUGUACAUUCAUGAAAAAAAAAGAGAAUAUUUUGCUGUGCAGGUAGAAAGUGGUAGAGUUAUAUGUCCAAUCGCAGUGUUUGACGUGUGCUUUAUUUUAUUCUAAUUAGCCAGUAAAAUGGGACUUUCAUUUCUUGAAUUUUGUAAAUUUACUCAUGAUAGAUACAUUCGAUAGGUAAAAAAAUAUUCAACAAUGACUAAUAUGUUCAGUAGAGAAAAACAAACAACUUAUUUUAUGCGCACAAUAACUUAAUGAUUUCAUUUUUUUUUUUUUUAAAUGUCCAGGAAAUCAACGUACAUGUUAUGAAUUUCAGCUAGGUAUAGAUAUCCCAUAAGUUUGCUUAUACAGCUCACCUUUUAGGAUAUUAUUGUAUCUAGCCGUGGACUUGAGAAAUUCAUCAAUCUUGGACUUGAGAAAUUCAUCAAUCUUCCCCUCUGUAUUCAAUUCUGCUACAUAAAGUUCAUGUAGUCUAAGUUAUUAUUGUGCAUGAAUGAUGCCUUAAAUACUUAUUUAGGCCUUUAUUUACUAUGCUUUUUUUUGUUAUUUUAAAUUAUAUGUGAUUGAAUGUGCCGGCAGAUGGGCUUUUAUGUUCUUAUUGUUGUUGGUUAGUUUGCAGUGCAGCCCAGCUAGAUGUAAAACUGCAUCAUUAAAUAAAACAAAAAUGUGGAAAAAAGUUACUGCUAAGUUUCGGUUUUUGUUGUCAAACAAAAGCUUAGGUGCAUAGAUUGCAAGCAAUCUCCAAUCCUCCGGCCCAUUCAAUCACAAUAUUUUAGUGUAAAUAAAACUGAGAACAGAAGCAUUACUUAAUUUCUGGAUUCUCCCUGUGGUUGUGCUAUAUAGAAGUCUUUCUGUUUGUACAUUACUUGUGAUAUAGAUGGCAAGAGUUUGAGAUUGAAACUUCAGACUUAAAAUUAGUGCCAUUUCCAAUAAAUUAUUUAAUCAGAACAUUGGACUAGAGUUUUGCGGCUCGCAUGGAAUUUGAUAAGAGAUUUUAUGGGCGUAGAUGUUAGAUUCCAAAGUUACGGUUAACAGAAGUAACGUGUAAUGGAAAGCUAUGGAAGUCCAUAGUGAAUGGUAGGCAAAAAGUUGUAGACAAGUAUCAGGAUUCAGAAUUAUUACUUGACAGUUAUAUUUAACAGUUAUAUGUACAAAGCAAGUUAAAUGAGUAAAAAUAGAAAUGCAUAAGGGUGUUAGAAGAUCAACCAAAAAGAUUGCGAACGUGCAGCGAAAAAUUUUGAAUGUGUGGAACGAGAAAACGUUAACAAAGCAAGACAGGUCUGUUGAAUUAUUACAUCAGAAAUUGCAGAAAUAUUAUCUGAAAGUUCGUCUUUGAGACAAAUCUGUAAAGGUCAAAAAUGAAAUGAGCCUUUAGCUAUGUUAAUAGUGAAGUAAAACAUUGAAGUAUCUGAAAAUAGCGCAGCUAUUCACAUAAUUUAAUAGAAGGUAAGAGUUGGUUGUGCAACAUGAUAUUAGGAAACUAGGAAGUACGUAAUCAAGAAAUUGUAAUUUUAUCACUAAGAGAAACCUCAUUAUUAUGAAAAGAAAGUACAUAGAAACUACCACAUAGAAAAUCAUUAUCUCAUCUAUGGGCAAAACCAUGUUGAUGUUGCAAUUGGUGGCAAACCAAGAGUAGAGCGCAAUAAUUAGAGGAUAUCUAAAUUUGGGGUAAAGAACAAAUUCACAAUUAUCGAAUAAUGCUGAGGAAGGCAAAUAGUUUAACAUUAAAUUGUAACUUGGAAGAAGAGGAAAGUAAACUGUCUAAGGGCUUGGGCCUUUUCCAGCAAAUUAAGGUUAAUUCAUGUGAAGAGCUAUACAUUUCAUAAUCAGUAUUUAGCAAAUAAUUAGGAUCUAUUAUAAACAUCAUAUCAGCCUGUAGAGAAUUGCACCAUUCCUAAAUAAUUCAACUCCAAAUGAGAGAUGAGCCUUUGGAGAGGAUAGUUGAUAGGUAAGGAGCCCACCUCCUAGGUCCUUGAACAUUUUAAUCUUGUUUUAGGGGCAAGUUUUGACAGUACAAGGUUCUUGAGGGCUUGCAAAUUUUCUAUAUUAAGUAUCUUCAUCUUCCCAUAUCCUUUGUCAUAGGAUAAACAUGAAACCAGAACAUAUAAGAUUGAAGGUGCUAAGAUGGGAAACAUGCAAGGUUGGAUGUGAUAAAUAGAAAGCUGAUAAUUUUUUGUGUCACGAUAUGACAAUAUUUCAGUAAGGGGUGAACAUGCCAUGUGUUGCUGGCAUAGGUGCUGCUGCUUGUUUUGAUCAGUUACUAAUCUCAAACUUUUUUGUCACUUAAAAGAUGAGAAAAUGAACUAUGGAAUCAUGUCAAUCUCAUUUAAGAAGUUAAUAGAGGAGGGGAGAGUGGGGUCUUACACGUAGAAGCAUUGGUUGGAAUUAUUUAAUACCCCAUUCUAUGUUAGAAACCUCAUUGAGACUACGUGCUAUGGUGAGUUUGCAAGGUUAAAGUAGGUUGACUUGAUGGGUUCUGCUCAACAUUACUGUCGUAGAUUAUGACUUGCACUUUAAUUCAGUUGGUUUAGUAAUAAAUAUGUUGAUGUUCAAUUUUAAGGAGAUGCUUACUAUCUAUUAUACCUAAUUAAUCAUCAAGUCUAGUACACGUGUGUUAUAUUUAUGAACUCAAGAUUGAUUGCAUGUUUACUGAACUAAACACUCAUGCAGCUAACUCUCCUGGGCCUUUUUGGAGACCACAGAUUUAGGAAUUUAUGUUUUGCUUGACUCAUUAUCUUGGAUUUAUGUCACUAGUAUUUUCGCAUUUGUGAUGCUUGUUCUCGAUUUGAGCUAAAGAAGGAUUCAAUGAAUCUCUUUCAGACUGUUACCUCUGAAAGCCUGUUGAAGCCCAUCCUGUCAGCUGAUGAAGUCCAAGGUAAGAUUGUUGACCAGUUUAGGUUUUUUUUAUUUUCUUUUUGUAGUCCUAAUUUUUGUGUAUAUUAGUUUGUGUGCAUGGAACGUACAAGAGAAAUUUGGAGUCGAUCUUGCAAUCUGGACUGAAGCGUAUGACAAGGUUACAUGUACAUUUCUCAAGUGCCUUGCCCACAGAUGAGAAAGUAAUUAGUGGUAAGCUUUUCUUUACAAAAUCUCAGUUGCAAGACUUCUUUUUUAUAAUAGUAUACUAUAACCACUUGCUUGUAAUCAUUAAAAGUAAGGGGCAAUUGCUUAUAUAUCCCUGAAAAGUUUCCGAUUUUUCGAUUUACCCCUCUUAAAAGGCUAAUAUUGAAAAUACCCUCUUUACGUUCCAACCUAUUUCUAAUAUACUCCUAGAAUUAAAAUCUGUUAAUUAACUCUGUUAACUCUGCAAAAUUACUAUUUUGCCCUUUCAAAUAUACCCUUCCACCAUCACUGACUUUCUUAUUUGCCCUUCAAGUCAAGGGCACAAAAAGUAUUUUGACUUUUGGUCUUUUCCAAUAUACCCCUCUACCGUCACCAACAUUUCUUAUUUGCCCUUAAGUUAAGGGCAAAAUUGGCAUUUUAAAAUUUUUAAACUGUGGUAGAUGUUUAACUCACGUUUAACCCAAGUUAACUUAACAGGAGAUAACUGCGGGGGUAUUUUGCAAUAACAGUGGAACAUAUGAGGGGUAUUUUAGAAAGAAAAAAAAAAGUAGGGAUAAAUCGGAUAUUUUCAAACGUACGAGAGGUAUAUAGGCAAUUAUCCCUAAAAGUAAAAUAUGUGAAGAAAGGACAAAUUAUUAAAAGUAAAGUAUGUGAAGAAAUGGCGAAAUUAACAGAGCAUGAUUUCGUGUAAUUUUGGUUAAGGCACUUGAGUACAUUUCUCAGCUUGACAUUCUCGCUGUUGCCAUAAAUGCUAAAAAAUCACCAUCUCAAUGAUAACUUUUUUAUUUAUUUAUUUUUUUUGGGAAGCUAUCUUGAUGACGAGUAUGAAGCAGGUGGAACAAAGAGAAAAAUUAAACAAUUAUUAGCUUGUAAAGAAAUUGUUACUACUUUCAAGAAGUAAUGUCCAAAUAGGAGAUAUGUAGGACUAGCUCUGAUACUAACAGAUAAAUAAAAUAAUUGUCCAAUUGGGAGAUAUGUAGGACAAGCUCUGAUACUAACAGAAAACAAGAAGAUAGCAUAUGUAGUUCUUUAUCUGACAAAAUAAUGAAACAAGUUUAAUCUUUGAAGUAUAUUUGCUGCUGGAGGUCACGUAAGGUUUCUAUGCUACUGUCAUCCAACAUUCCUUCGUUUCCUUGUCUUUCCACUUCUGUAGUAUAUGCUGAUACAUUAUCUUCUAAAUUGGAUGGACUUAUUGAGUUCAUUAUUAACCAUCUCAUGCAUGUUUUAUUAUAAUUUAUUAAAAAGAACCUUCCUAAUUUCUUGCUUUAUGGUUGUACAUUUUCUUUGUUACCAAUAUGGCCUUUGAGCUUUUAAAUUUUUCUGAAUUGCUCGCUUAUGCUUGAGGGGUCCUCUUUGUUGCCAAACUUUCAAUUACACAAAUCUAAUUUCAGCAAAUUUCUGGAAAUUGGUUAGUGCAUGUUGUCUUUCUGCAUUGAUUCAAUGGUACUUUAUGAACUUUCUCUAAUCUAUUGGAGACAUGCUUGCGACAUUUUCGUUACCUUUCAACUAGAUAGGCAUAGUUUUGGACUAGUACUUGAACAUUCCUUGGUAUCAUUAAAGCACAUCUCAUGGCUUUGUUAUGUUAAAUAGUGUUUAUUGUCGCUGUGUUAUAUUUUAAAAAGCUUGUUACUUUUUGAUGGCAAGAGUUAUCAAACCACAAGAGUCUCACAAAUAAGAUAUUAGAAAGUGAAUGUAGCUGUCUAUGCAUGUAAGGUCUCGAGAUCGUUCUCCAUCUCCCAUUGUUAGCAGAGGACAAGAAUGUGUCGUAUGUAUUUGUGCCUUCGGAGCAAGCUUUGAUACCAUGAAAGAAGAGCAAAAGAGCUUGACCCUCUGGGGUUUCAUAAAUAAAUAUAAAUAGUACAUGAUGCAAGUAUACAAAGCAAACCGUCUCAUGAAUUAUAUCACAUAACCCUUACACUAUCUAUGGAGUAUGGACAGUAAUAUACAAUACUAAAUAUUUCAUAACAUAUUAAAUAUAUCCUAACACAUACAAAUCGACCCUCUUGGUUGCCAUACAAUCCGCAUUGUGAGCUGAGUGAAAUGAAAACUAGAGCCACGAUGGCAAUGGUCUGAUAGUUAUGUAUCCUAGGUCUCAGAAGAAGAUUUGGCAUAGAUUAUUGAGAAAUUGAAGGAACAAAAUUGUAGAACAGUUACAAGGUAGUUGGUAGCCUCUUGACCUCUGCUUGGAAAUAGGAAAUUAGUGAACUAAGAAAAUAGGCUAUUGGGCUUAAGUGGAUCUUGGGGAAGGAAGCAGUAAAACGUAAUAAUAAUGGGAAGGAGCGGUAAUAUGUAGGAUUGAGGAUGGGAAGUGUUUAGAAAUUGAAGAAAGGAACUUCCAUGGGAUUUUUGAGAGAAGAACAGAGAUAAAAAGAGGAAUAUUUGUUUCUUCCGUACAAGGCGAUAAUGUUAUGAUUGAGGUGCACAUAAGCAUUCCUGCAUGUAAAGCUCGCUAUGUCGGUAGCUUUUGCCUGGGUCACUGCUGCCCAUUCAUUUUGAUUCUCUCGGUUUGUGUGGACUGUGGAGAAGUAGAAGUAGAUGGGCUGCGUUUGGUAUGGUGCUGAGAAGCAUGGUGGUAGAGAGAGAAAUAGCUAGAAAGUAGAAGCUGAGGAAAAGGAGAAGAUAAGAACACGACAAUAGGGAAGAGAGAUGUCUACUCCAACUAACAGGAGAAGCAAAGAGUAAGCCCUUAAACCAGAAUCACAAUAUCAUAGUCAUAACCUGCAUACAAAUUGUCUCGUAGACCUACUAUAGAUCCUCUUAACUGCAAAAAUGUCAUUUAACUUGGGGAAUUCUCAAUUCUGUUAACUAUCACAGAUCAACCAUACAAAGAUAAUCCAACUACCCUAUUUCAACAAUAGUCAGCUUAAUCUAAAUUAAACUGUUUAAUUAAAUAUAGAAGAGUGAAAUUCUAACUCUGAUUCGAAGAAUGUUUAUUCCUAGUUUUCUUUAUGUGUAUUUUAUUGGCAUCUGUUAAUUUUUCAAUCUCCACUAGGUGUUGUCACGGAAACCUUUUCUUUGCUUUGUUUAGUUUUUUUGUUCUUGUAUGUUUGGAACAUCUUACAAUUCCUAUUAGGUUGGUCUUGUACGUUCGGAACGUCUAACAAUUCCUAUUAAGUUAAUGAGUCAAUUUUUUUGGGUUUAUUUGUCAAAACAACAGCCCCCUUAAAGUUACUUCCUUGACUUAAAGUGUGUUUGGUUGGCAGUAAAUGCACCGAAAAUUACUUUUCGGCUUGAAAAUUUAUUUUUCGUCUGUUUGUUUAGCUAUAAUUUUUUUUUUUUGGAAAACUACUCUUACAUAUUUGAGAAAAAUGGAGUGUUUUCAUUUUCUGCUGAGUUUCAGUAGGAAACGAAAACUCAAGCUGCGCAAAAUUUUUUCAUUAAUUUUUUCCACCGAUCCAGACAAAUGUGAUUUUUUUUCCUUUCAACCAAACAAUGUUGAUGGAAAACUACCUUUUUUUUCCCUACAAACCAAACACUACAAAACACACAACUUCUUUUCCACCAAAAAUUUUCUUUCCACAGAAAACUAUUUUUCACGAUUUUAUGUACAACCAAACACCCCCUUAGCCACUUCAUAUUUGGGCUGCAAUACUGUCAACUUAAGGAGUUGUUGAUUUAAUCUUUACCUUGAAAAUAGCUGCUCAGAAUGAUUUUAUUUCUUUGAACAGUAUUUUCUUAUAAUUAGUUGGUGUGAUUCUCUUAAUGUGACCUCAUACCCGUCUUCUCCGCUUUGGCACCAUUUAUGAUCUUUUACAACCAAGAUUGCUUUUUUUGUGUUAGGCAUGCGUAAGGAUGUCAACAUCUUAAUCUAUUUGGAUGUUAGAAAGGCAUUACAAGGUAUUCUCUAAACGUUAUAUUUCUCACCUUCCAUGUAACCGUUUACUGAUUUCAACUUCUUUUAUCUUUUUCAUUUUAGCUAUAUAUAUAUAUAUAUAUAUAUAUAUAUAUAUAUAUUUAUUUAUAUAUGAUACUAGCAAAGAAUUCUUUUCUUAGAUGGAAUGCAGCUCUACAUUUCUGACAACAAGGUGAUUUUGACUGAGGGUUUUGAUGGUAUUGUGCCUGUCAAAUACUUUGAGAAGAUCGAAACUUGGCCAAGAAGAGAAUUAGUACCUUUUGAAAGAUAGGAUGAUCAAGUUCCUUAGCAUUUGCUCUCUCUCUCUCUCUCUCUCUCUCUCUCUCUCUCUCUCUCUCUCUCUGUUUUUUUUUUAAAAAAAAAAAAUUUGCUAGACAUGUCACUUCUUGAGCAUUGCAAGUUGAGCAUUGCAAGUUAUCUCUGGAAAGGUAUGAUAAUCCUUUACCAAACAUACAAAGAAAAAUUUGAACAAGCUUUGCAAGAAGAAAUUGUUUUUUAUAUUAUAUUAUAUUUUGUUUUGUAGAGAAACUACAUUUGUUUACCAGCAUCUCAGCGGGGAGCAUUUGUUGUAGGGCAAUGUGCGCCAUUCCUCUCCAACCUUUACUCAAGUUUAACUUUGGCAUCCAAUCAUUUAAGUAUGUGAUUGGGCUCCUAAAGUCUAUUUGUUGUUCCACACAAUUCUCUUCCAUCAAAAAGCCUGUUCGCUGCUGAACUGAUAAUACACAUGGAAAUUGCUGCCUGAACCAUUAAUACUGGAUGGAAAUUGCUGUUGGAUAUCCAUUUGUCCUAAUUGGAUAUUUAUUAGUGCUGACAUGACAAUUCCAUCCAAGUUAGCAGGGAUUUUUGAUGGAAUGGUGUAUAUUGAAGCAACAAAAUAGACAUUAUAGAGAGCGAUUUGUACAAAUUACCUUUCUUUUACAAAUACCUAGGGAAGUAAUCUAAAUUAUUUUAGUGUAUUAUUAUAUGGACAUCAAUUACUUUUGAUUAUCAAUUUGUGCUGUUUGAUCAAUCAAACUAUUUAUCACUUAGGAAGCUACAAUAUCAUAUGAAAACUCUUGCAAGUAAAUUUUAAAAUUGAGGAUGAUUAACAACGAGUUUUAGACAAUUCAUUUGCUUUUUAAUACAUUGUUUGGUACUGUUUGUUUUUUGUUUUUCAAAACGUAAAUUUUGUGUAAUUGAAUGGCCGACUUGUAUAUUUUUUUAUUAUUGUCAUUAUUAGUUAGCUUGGGAUGUGCUUCUGUGGAAUGUGAAAUGCCAUUUUCUUCAAGAAGCAGCAAAAGAAAAGCCCUGUUUUGUUUGUUUUUUCCAAAAGAGAAAAUCCUUGUAAUGGAGUGUUGAGCUUGUGAUCCAAUAUCUCUUGGUCUAAUCAAACUGUUCAUCACUUGGGAAGUUACAUUGAGGACUUUUUUCGAAAAUAACCCUCUGAAAUUUUGUAAUUGGCAAAAUAACCCUCUGAAAAUUUUAUUUGUGAAACUAACCCUCCUCUCGCCACCUCAGCCGCCAUCUCAGCAUUUCUCAUAAAGACGGUGACUCGUUCACUGUCUUUACUAAAAACACUUGAAGACGGCAAAUGGUUCACCGUCUUCUCUAGGCGUGGACCCUUCACCGCCUUCUCAGCAAUUCCCCGCGUAUCAGCGAAUUCGACGAGAAGACGGUGACUCGUUUACCGUCUUAACAAAGGCGGUGAAUCGUCUACCGCCUUAUCUAGGCGUACACCAUUCGCCGCCUUCUCUGUUGCCCAAAUAAGACGGUGACUUGUUCACCGUCUUUACUUAAUCUUGAAGACGGUAAGUAGUUCACCGUCUUCUCUAGGCGUGGAACCUCCGCCUCCUCAGCAAUUCCCCGCGUAUCACCGCCUUAGCAGCAAUUCGCCGCAGAAGACGGUGAUUCGUUUACCUCUUUAAGAAAGACAGUAAGUUGUUUACCGCCUUAUCUAGGCGUAAACUAUUCACCGCCUUCUCAGCAAAUCCCCCCGACAGCUGGGGGCAUAGAUAAGACGGUGAAUCGUUCACCGUCUUACUUAAGACGGUAAAUUGUUCACCGUCUUUGGUGCAGGACACCCUUAAGACGGUCAAUGGUUUACCGUCUUAUCUGAGCAAGUUUACCGUCUUCAGUGUAGAACUCCACCCAGCCUAAUUUCGCCAAGUCCUCGAGAGAGGGGCUAAAACACAGAUAAGACGGUGACUCGUUCACCGCCUUAACAAAGCCGGUGAAUCGUCUACCACCUUAUCUAGGCGUAAACCAAUACCAGGACUUAGCUUUUUUUUCUUCGGUUUUGUGUUAUUUGCACUAAAGACGGUGAACCAUUCACCGUCUUUAGUGCAAACAGCAGCAAAUGCUGUUUUAAGCUUGAUUUUAAAGAAAAUUUCAACAAGUUUGACGUAAGUUUUUUCACGAUAACAAAAUUUUCAACAAGAAACACAAGAUCACGAGUGGAAUAACAAGAUAUAAUCAACAAGAUAAAAAUAUCAAAAAAAAUCCCGAGAAAUAUACAAAUAUGCACUAAAUUAAGUAUUAUAUAAUAUUAUACAAAGUCUAAGUUAUCUAAAUCAAAAAUAUACAAUCAGCCUCUCGAUCGUCCUCUCCCUCGACGUCCUCGGCCACGUCCUCGUGCACGGCUACAUCCACGUCUACGGCCACCCUCUACAACGAGAUCAGCAAUAGUAUGUCAUCAAUUGCCUCGAUAUCGGCCAUCGCAUCGAGAUCCCCAAUCAUAACGCCCUCGCGAUGCUCCGGUAUCGCCUGAGUCUCGUCGAUAGUGGCUGGUCUAGAUGUUCGGCGGGCUUGUGAUGAAGACGCGGCAUGACGUCGAGAAUAGACGAAUGUAAAGUGAUCUCUAGAGACUGGCGGCGGCAAAAGCAAGUCCAAGUCCAAUGGCCUAGUAGGAAAUCUCUCAGGGGCGGCGGGUAUAUCAGCAACAUCACUAGGAGAUGGAGAUCCAGCAGAUGUCGGUGUCUGACGGUGGUGAUGACCCGAUGUCGAUGCAUGUCCAAAAUCUCGACCUCUGAUAUCAGUGGCGACAGGUAUAGUAGGAAUGUACUCCAGUACACUAUCAAGAUCAAUAUCGAUACCCGUCAAUACCUCCAUCACCGCAUCGUAAGAAGGUCGAUCAUGAACUAGGCUCCUGAUGCUAUACUGUGUCUGUCGUAUAGCGUCCACCUGCAUUAUAGAUAAUAACUCACCUUUGGCAAUCUAUAAUAUACAAAAUAUUAAAAAACUAAUAAAUGGGCUGAGUGAUCGUACCAAAGCUCUCUCGGUCUGGCCACGAGGCUGGUAAGUCAAUGGUGGACGCUGUACUGGACGAGAAAUCCAUCGUCUCGUGAUCUGCCAGUACCACUCCAUAUAAAUCGAGGUCGCCUGUACUGGAUCAUCACCGACAAUCAGAUGCUGGUCAAUAAUAGCCUGUAAUCGCUGUCCCCAUCUCUCGAUGUGUGCAGCAUGAAAGUGGCCCCAAUGCUCAUCUGGCCGCCCCUGAGAUGUAAAGCGACGGAUGGUCUCCACAUGAAUAGGUAUAUGCUGCAGGAGACCAAACUGCCGAAGGACUCGAUCGGGCACGUGAAGCUCGACGAUAUGAAAACAAAUCAGCGUGGUCCGCGAUCGCCAUACCUCACUGCCCUGUACACAGAAUGCUGGUAGCACCUCUAAUACAGCAUCUGUGUACGGCCGCCAUGUAAUCUGUGAAAAAGCCAAUAAUAGUCAGCAGAAUGCAUUAAUACGGUUGAAUAUUGAAAUAAUGGUUGCAUUAAUACGUACCUGUGUCUCUCGCUGCUGAUCUAGCUCAUCUCUAUAGAACUCUAUAUCAGUCGUCCUAACGUUGGCCCCAAAACGUAAACCGCCGGCAUUCGUCCACCUGAUAUUUGAAAAGUAUGUUAGUUGCAAAUAUAUAGGAAGAAAUAUAAUAUGUAUCAUAUUUAAUUAUUAUACCGGCAACCCAAAGGGCAAUCAGCCAUGUCGGCAAUAGCUCCAACGCCAGUAGGUCGGCCGACAUGAAGAUGGUCCCAUGCCCAAAUCUAUAAAUAAAUUACAAUAAAUUAGACAUGUAAACUUAAAUAGGAGAAGUUUUAUAUAACAAUUAUUAUAUAUUACCUGUACUAAUGUCGCGAAACAACAGCAUUCGACCUUGUCCUUUAAUGACGCCGUUCCCAAUGCGCGAUAAAGGUAGGCCAAUGCUGCCGACCCCCAGGCUAAACCACCACAUGCGUCAAAAUCCGCCAAAAGUGGUAGCCACUUAAGAUGAACUCUAUAUCCGGUGGGGUUUGGAAACAGACUACAGCCAAUCUGAUAUAACAUAUAUGCACGGGCUGUGGCUGCAACUAAUCCAGCCGGAGCAUCCAAAUGUAUAUGAUGGAAGUGCUGGUAUAUCCAAUCUAAUCGAAUCUGACCAGCUCGGAUGCCAUCCGGCACAACCCCUAAAAGCUCCUGACAAAUCUCUAUCCACGGAUGCUGUGUAGUCCCCGUGACAGGCGCUCCAUCGACACGAAGACCUGAAAUAACCGCCACAUCCUGAAGUGUAAUCGUCAUCUCACCGUGGCGGAAGUGGAAGGUCUGGGUCUCCCGUCGCCAUCUCUCGACCAGAGCUCCCAAUAGAGACUGAUCGAGCUGCAGACGCCUAAGUCGAGAAAUGCCGUAGAAUCCUGACUGUCGUAGCAAAUCUAGCACCGCUGGAUGAUCCAUAUCCCACUGGUUCAAUUUGCGGCCAUGCUCUACGAACUGAACGCCGCGAUAUCCCUACAGUGACAAAAAAAUAGUUAGCACAACAUUUAUAUGCAUUAAUAAUAAACAUAAUUUAUAGAGAAAUAAUUCUUACUCUCACCUCAGUCGUGAUAAAUGAAGACCUAUGUAGAUGCUGCUCUGUCAGGACGGACUCAUCAACCGGUCCCGCCUCCUCUAGAUCUGCCAUCUGCAAUUUUAAAGAAUUUGUAAUUAGUAACAUAUUAGCAAAUAGCGCAUUGAAUAUUGGAAUAUUGAAAGUUUAAUAAAUACUAGUAAGUUAGGUAACAAGUCCUACGUCGACGUCCUUGUUGUGCGCUCUCUGUAUUCUGUGGACAGGUAUUUCUAUAAUGACCGUGCUGCUUACAAAUGCUGCAUUUUGUUCGUCGACCACUGGUUGCGUCCAUUAUAUUACGAAUACGUGUUGAUCGUGGUCGACCUUUCUUUCUUCUAACUGGAGGCGGUACAAUUGGUGGGCCCAUGGGUCGUGGCCAGUAGCGCCUGUCUGGAACUGGAUGGAAAAGCGGUGCGUAUGUCUGGCGAUAACACUCUACAGUAUACCAAUGGGAACAAAGACUAUGAUAAUCUAUUCUUAGUUGUGAAUUACUGCAAACUGCUAAAAUAUGCGAGCAAGGUAUGCCCGUUAGCUUGAAUUCUCCGCAAUUACAAUCCGCUUCUGUUCCAUUAAUGGUAACAUUGUAAUCAGAGUAUCCUGUUUGAACUUCAAACUCAAUAGUCCCAAAUCGAUAUACAAUGUGUCCCCGUGCCGUCACCAUAUUCAUCGUAAUUCGACUUUGUAUUUUUGGUGCUAACGUGGCCGUCAUACUUUCACCAUUUUCACGACGCUUUACAAAAUAACUAUUCAGUUUGUAAAAAGUUCCCGCGACAAAUGCCGUUACUGGAAGAGCACGGAUACCCUUAAGUACCCCAUUUAAACUCUCGGACAUAUUUGUAGUCAUCAACCCGAAGCGUCGACCUCCAUCAAAUGCCCACGCCCAAUACUCUUUGUAUACUUCGAGCUCAUCGACCCACUUCCACGCAUCCUCAUCUAGCGCGCGUAACUCAUCUUUCAGUUUAUAAUAUUCUACCGACGUUGGAGCACUGCCGAUACUAUAAAAUUUGUCUAAUAAUGAUUCAUUUUUAAACCGCUUAGCCAUAUUUGCUUUCAUGUGUCGAAGACACCACCGGUGUGCAUGCCCCUGUCGAGUAGGAUAUAACUCAGCCACUAUUUCCUUUAAGCCACUAAAUCUAUCAGAUAUAAAACAAACCGGUCGAUUGCGUAUAACAUAAUGGCCCAAGUUAUGUAAAAACCAACGCCAAGUUCCACCAUUUUCGCCUUCGCAAAUUGCAAAAGCUAAGGGAAAAAUGCUAUCAUUCGCAUCGACAGCCGUCGCUAUCAAUGCAUGGCCUUCGUAUUUGCCAUACAAGUGAGUCGCAUCAAUGCUCACCACCGGCCGACAAUGUGCAAAUCCAUGAAUAGAAGGAGCAAAUGACCAAAAAAGACGGCCAAACUGACAUAUUCCCUCUGAUGGCCAUCUAUGAUCAAGCCGCCAAUAAGUUCCAUGAUUAGUACUCUGCAGCAUAGUAAGAUACCGAGGCACGUCUGUGUAUGACUGCUCCCAGCUCCCAUAAAUAAUUUGUAAUGCUUUGCUCCUUGCCAGCCAUGCCUUCCAAUAAUUUAUUUGAACAUGCAAAGUGGAUCGCACCGUUUCCUGCACUUCUUUUGGCGUCAUAUUUAGUCUUGCCUUCAUUAACGGGAGAAUUAGUUGACAUAUGAGAUUUGAAGUACAAUUACGAUGCGCCGCAUUUAGCAUUGGAAUAACACAAGUAUGUUGACCCGCGUAUGUCUUAACUCUGAAAUAUGUUGCAUCCUUAGGAACCGAAGCGUGUAACCUCCAAGGACAUCCCUCAACUGUGCAUUUCACUGUAUAAGUUGUUUUGGUAGAUUUCACAACUUUCAUCUGAACAUUGUGAGUAAUGUGCCAUCGAUCAAGAGCGUCCACUAAAGAUGCCUUAUCAUUAAAGAUUUCACGGAGCCAAGUCCCGUCAAUGCUAGGUAGAUCGGAAUUGGUACGUCUAACAUCGAACUCACUCGAAUUCACAACAUACUGUUGUAUCCAAUUAUUAUCCGUAGGAAAUUGCUCCGGAUGGUCAAUAAAAUCAAGUUCCUCGUCAGGAUUGUCUACAUAAUCGUUGUUUACAUGCGGGUCGUCAUUCAAACUGUAAAUGGCAUUCGCAAGACAAUUUAAUCCACCAUCGUGAUCAUCUUCAAUGUCAACGGCUAGAUCAUUCCAAUCGUCGUCCUCAUCCUGAUUACCGUCAUUAUCAAUGGGUGCAUCCUCCUGAUGACCAUCAUUAUGAAUGAGUUCAUCGUCCUGAUUACCGUCAUUAUUAUCUCCUUCAUCGACAUAUUAUCAAGAACUUCAUUCCAAUUUGUAUAGGGUGUAGAUAGCCUGCAAUACGUCCCGAAUGUUUACUAUAUUAGGUAAAAUUUUAUUUACUAUUAAUUAAAUAAUCCAAAUUUUCUUUACCCCCAAUCGUAAUUUUCAUUAGGUAUAUGAAAUAUCCUGGGUUCGUCACGUGACAUCGAGGGUUGCGCACGUAACGUCGACGGUUGCGCACGUGACGUCGAGGGUUCGGCACGUGACGUCCAGGGUUGCACACGUGACGUCGACGGUUGCGCACGUGACGUCGAGGGUUCGGCGCGUGACGUCGAGGGUUGCGCACGUGAAGUCGAGGGUUGCGUACGUGGAGACUGACUCUGUCUGCAGUAUUCAUAAUUAUAAUGUAUGAAAGAAUUUCAUAAUUAAAAAAAUAUUCACCGCAAUCUUGAGGUAUAUUACUGACCUUGUCAUUCUUACGCCUUGUUCAUUAUCAACUUCACGGUCACCAAUUGGAUUCUCCGGAAAUUCCACAUCGAUAUCAUUAUGUAGCAGGCUUAUGUAAUAACCUUGCGACUGAUAUUGUGUCUCUGAAUGAUAUAAAUCUUUCUCUAUGUAUAGCGACACACAUCCAUAAUGUUCAAACAAUCCAAUUAAUCCCUCCAAUGAUUCAUCAUCUACUAUAUCAUGAGCAAUAUAUUCAUUUGCUCCCGUAGGGCAUCGAAUUGUGUAUUUAAGACAACAUUCUUCUCUAUUACAAUUUACUAAACGAUACAUUCUCCUCUCAAAAUUCGCAUAGGUCGUAUCUGAACGAAUUGCAAUCAAUUUCUUUCGACCACAGAAAUAUCGAGGACCAUUCCCAUCCAUAUCUAACUGUCCAUCCCAAUGAACACUAAGAGACAUCCGACGACUAGCCAUUUUAACUACACAGAAAAAUAAAUCAACAAUAUUCUCCAUGUUCUCAUCAGCGAAAACUAAACCUAAGUGAAAUGAUAACUAAAUGAUAGAAAAUUUGCAACAAGAAAAUAAAGGGAGUGUUACUAGAUUAAAACUUGGUAAAUUAGGUUUAAACAUAGUUUAGACAAGUUUAAAAGUGAAAAACUAGGUUAAAACUGGGUAAAUAUAGUUUAAAAGCCGGUUAUUUCAUUGGAAAUAAGAAAUUAGAACGAUUAGAAAAAUAGUGGGUUCCAUCGUUUCUAUGGUUACCUCUUAAACAGUGAGGUCCUCCCUAUACACCGGUGCCUCUUCUUUCAUUUAAUCAAAUGUUAUUGUUAACUUGUAUAGUUCACACUCUUUGGCUCUACCUAUCUACAGUAAUAGCUCUUUUCACAAAAAGAGUUAUCCAUACAGUGACGGCAUUUAAUUAUGAAAGUUGGCUAGGCAGCUGACCCUGUUAGUCUGUUCUUUCAAGAAGCGGAGCAUAACCUUUUUGCUUCUUAUGAUACUAUUUCCUCAGCUUAAUGGAUAACCAUUUGCUACCAAUGGAAAAUUGCUUCUUAUUACAAAUCUAGAUGAUUGGAUUUGCACCAAUGGAAACCAUAAAUUCUAUAUACAAUAUGGCUAUAUCUUUAACUAGGUCUAAACCCUAAACACUAUCCAAAUUUGGAUCAAAUUGGAUCAAAUUGGAUCAAAUUAGAUCAAAUUGAUCAUAUUUGGGAUUUGGGAUUUUAGGGAUUUGAUCAAAUCGAUCAUAUUUAGGAUUUGGGAUUUGAUCAAAUUGAUCAUAUUUGGGAUUUGGGAUUUGGAUCAAAUUUGAUCAAAUUUGAUUUGGGAUUUGGAUCAAAUUUGAUCACAUUUGAUUUGGGAUUUGGAAUUUGGGAUUUGGAUCAAAUUUCAUUGGGGUUUGGAUCAAAUUUGAUCAAAUUCGUUCAAAUUUGAUUUGGGAUUUGGAAAUUUGGAUCAAAUAUGAUCAAAUUUGAUUUGGGAUUUGGGAAUUUGGAUCAAAUUUGAUCCAANNNNNNNNNNNNNNNNNNNNNNNNNNNNNNNNNNNNNNNNNNNNNNNNNNNNNNNNNNNNNNNNNNNNNNNNNNNNNNNNNNNNNNNNNNNNNNNNNNNNNNNNNNNNNNNNNNNNNNNNNNNNNNNNNNNNNNNNNNNNNNNNNNNNNNNNNNNNNNNNNNNNNNNNNNNNNNNNNNNNNNNNNNNNNNNNNNNNNNNNNNNNNNNNNNNNNNNNNNNNNNNNNNNNNNNNNNNNNNNNNNNNNNNNNNNNNNNNNNNNNNNNNNNNNNNNNNNNNNNNNNNNNNNNNNNNNNNNNNNNNNNNNNNNNNNNNNNNNNNNNNNNNNNNNNNNNNNNNNNNNNNNNNNNNNNNNNNNNNNNNNNNNNNNNNNNNNNNNNNNNNNNNNNNNNNNNNNNNNNNNNNNNNNNNNNNNNNNNNNNNNNNNNNNNNNNNNNNNNNNNNNNNNNNNNNNNNNNNNNNNNNNNNNNNNNNNNNNNNNNNNNNNNNNNNNNNNNNNNNNNNNNNNNNNNNNNNNNNNNNNNNNNNNNNNNNNNNNNNNNNNNNNNNNNNNNNNNNNNNNNNNNNNNNNNNNNNNNNNNNNNNNNNNNNNNNNNNNNNNNNNNNNNNNNNNNNNNNNNNNNNNNNNNNNNNNNNNNNNNNNNNNNNNNNNNNNNNNNNNNNNNNNNNNNNNNNNNNNNNNNNNNNAGGUUAAACUAGGUUUAAAUCUAGAAAAUUGCUAAGAUAGAAUAUUACUUGCAAUGUGGGUUGCUGUGGCACGGGGGAAGGCUCGGUGGCUCGACAGCGACCGGCGGCGACGUCGGCUUGGGCGGCGGCGACGGCGGCUUGGUUGGCGGCGACGUCGGCUUGGGCGGCGGCGACUGGCGGGGUGCGGAGGGAGAGAGAGACAGAGAGUUAAGAGAGAAAGAGAGCGAAGAGUGAGGGAGAGGUGUCGGGGCUUCGGGUAUACCUAGGUAAGACGGUGAAUUGUUCACCGUCUUCAUAAAACAACAUUGGAAACGGUGAACGAUUCAUCGCCUUACCUUGGCCCAGGGUUCCCAAUGAAGACGGUGAAUAGUUAACCGUCUUUAGUGCAGCACAAAUAAGACGGUAAACAGUUCACCAUCUUAUCUGUGUUUUAUGUGGCCAAAGUUGGGGGGUAUUGUCCUGGCCGAAGUUGAGGGGUGUAUACCGUCUUAAGUAAGACGGUGAACGGUUUACCGUCUUAUCGUGGGCACAGCAGUUCCAAAGGGGUUGUAUUCGCUCUAAAGACGGAGAUGUAUUCGCUCUAAAGACGGUGAAUAGUUCACCGUCUCAUGAAGGCGGUGAACCAUCUACCGUCUUCAUGAGAAAUGCGCAUAGACGGUGAAUGAUUAACCGUCUUUACGAGAAAAAUCCGACCUGGCGCCGACGUGGCGAAAGGAGGGUUAGUUUUACAAAUAAAAUUUUCAGAGGGUUAUUUUGCCAAUUACAAAAUUUCAGAGGGUUAUUUUCGAAAAAAGUCCUACAUUGAUGUUAGCCUUUUCAUGAGUAAAUAAAUGAUGAUAAAACAGGAUCGAGGUGUCUCUAUGAAGUCCUAGAAAUUUCUCUUCCUGAAAACUAAUGCUCAUUGGAUUUUGAAGAGGAUUGAAAUUUGAAAUUUGAAAUUUAAAAUUUGAAGAGGAUUGCCGACAAGAUUUAGACAAAUUCAUUGGUUUUUGAAGACGUUUGUAUUGUUGUGUUUUUUGCAUUUCAAAACAUUAAAAAAAGAAGAUAACAUUGCUUUCUCUGUAUACUUGUAAAUUUGAUAAUUUUUUUAUAUAUCUUUUGUUUCAAAUAUACCCAUGAAUUUUUUUUUUUCCCCCCUUCUCAUGUAUAAAUGGACACUUUGCAUGGCUCCGGGCCGACAUUUUGUUAGGCCCGAUUGAUCCGAUGCUUUCUCAAUGGUUGCCCUCAUCGUUUAAUCAUUUCAACUGACAUCCUCUUUUACUUUAGAUAUUUUAAUAUUGAGAGUGUCAGUAAGAUAGAUUGAGAGUCUUACCAAAUUUAUUGAUGUUUUCAUAAAUAAACGUUAGUGACUAAUAUUACCGUUUAAUUUACGAGAGGUUUAACUUAACAAUACAUAGUAUUUAAGUUAAAAUAAAUGAAAGUUUGGGGAUCUCAAUAAUAAUAAUAAACAAAAAGGUUUCUGUAGCCUAUUUCAAAGUGGCCUAGAUUUGAGGGGACGUCCCCCCUUAAAAGAAAAGAAAAUAUUUUCUCCAUCUUCUGCUAAAGGAGGGAUGGGACAGCUAACAGCUUUGAGAUAGGCUUUAAUUGGGUUUUAGUUUGAUUCUUCGUUUUGGUUUACUAGGAAAUAGAAACUCUAGCAAAUAUUUAGUCCCCAUAACAAAUAGGCUCAAUAUUAUAUAUGAAGAUCUAAAAGAGCACUGAACUCAGGGGCAAAUGGACCAGCAAACGGCCCAAGCAUAGAAUGAAAUGGGCUUUGACAAAUCUAUUCACCAAGUAUUUUAGUCUUUGUCCUAAAACUAAAAAGUUUUUAAUUUACAAACCAACUUACCCGACAAAAACUAGAAUAUCUACUACUGUAUGGGCUAUUUGUUAUGCUAAGAAGACAAAUUUCAGGCUUGUCCGCUAAUGGGCCAGCCCAAUCGCGGCCUAAUAUUAGGCUGGAUGUAAUUCAAUAUGGGCCAUAUCAACGCAAAUGUUGCAACAUACGUUAAUGAUCCUACUCGGAACGCCGCAGACAAGUGGGCUUACGAAUGAAUGGCCCACAUAUUGGAGGAGAUAUGCCUUUUCACGAAUGGACCAUGCCGGUACUCUCUCUUCCAUCUUUUCCAUCUUUAACCGCCAGCAAUAAAAGACUCUCAAGGAACAUACAGAGGAGAAGAAGAAGAGUUAGAGAGUGGAGAAGGAAAUUUUGUUUUAAUCUUUUUUUUAAUAAUUAUCAAUGACUUGCGGACAAAAAUUCUUGCACAAUCUUCACCAUACAUAUGAAUGGAUCUUGUCUACCAAUUGACAUACAAUAGGACCAAAUAUCCUAUCAAAUAUUAAUUUAUUAUUAUUGCUAUUGUAUUUGAAACUAUAUANAUAUAUAUUAAUAAUAAUAAAUCAUCAGCAGACUACAAUUAAAGAAUACGUAACAAAAUUAAACCCUGGGCCUUAGGCCGGCCUUUUUAAAGCCUGCAUAAUUGUUGUUCGGCUUAUGGUUGGGUCUCGCACACUUGUUUCUCAUAUUGGGCCUAGUAAGAUCGGUCCAUUAAGCUGUACGGAAGGAGUCGGACUGGCCCAACGAGAGGGCUCUUUGGUGGUUGAUUGGUUAUUCCUUCCUUGGAAACUCGGAAGGCAAACUAAAACACACACAAUCAGAUGAUUCACACACAAUCAGAUGAUUCACAAUCUCUCUCCUACGGCUACGGACGUUUUCUCCACCUGACCUGAUUCUUGAAGGUCCCUCCCCUCCCUUCAGUCCGCAGACUCCGCAUUCCGCUGUAACAACCCUGAAAAAUAAAUGGUAGAAAUAGUAGUAAUAGGAGUUAGUAUGGGAGAGUAGUAAAAGUAACAGUUUUACUAGUUAAGAUGGAGAAUAAGGGCGGCAGCCGGUUGGAGAGGAGGAAGCGCGCUAGGAUAGUUUAAUUUCAAUUCGCUGUAUAGGGUAUAUAUAGUUAACAGAUGUAAUUGCAAUGAAAUGAAUUAGUCUAUUUUCUUCCCCAAAAUUCUUUUCCAAACCUUUCUUCUUCUCCACCAUUUCUCUAUCCCAAUUUUUUAUCCCACUCUUUAUCUCUAAUCUCUAUUCCUAACCCCUUUCUCUCUAAUUCUCAUCAUCUCUAUUGUCUCUAUUUCAUCUUUCUCAAUCCCCCUCUGCUCCUCUCUUAUCCAUUCCGGUAAUCCAUUACAUCACCAUUACCAUAGGGAGCACCAAGAACCUGAUCCGAGCCACAGGGAUAUUACAUCCGCAAACCUUGAAACGCUCCCCUAACUCUCUUCCCCUUCGACUGCUCGAUUCCUCCACUCGGGAAACCCUUAUUAGAGCGAUCAGUUCCUUUCCCCUGCAAUCGCCCGACUCCUCCGAUCGAUAGAUAGAUAAUCUAGCUACGUUGCUCAAUAUCGUACACGGGCGGAAACUCUCGCUUUUCGAGGCUCGGACAGUUCCGUGUUGGAGCUAGGGUUUCUGGUUGGAAGAGGUAAUUUAUCUAAUCCCUUUAAUUUGGCUCGUAGUUUCAUCAUCGGUUUGGCUAAUUCACGAUUUGCUUUUGUUUCUCGUGAUUGUAUGAUGAACCCACUUUCUUGGUGAUUCCGUAUGUAUCUUUUCCGGUUGUUGCUCUUAAAAAUAGAGAACACGAACCCUAGAUUCAUAUGUCGUUGCUUUCUCGCAGAGACCACGAAACCCUAGAGUCAGGUAUCAUUGCUCAACUAGAUCGGAUGGAUCUAAGGUCUACAAUGAGGUUGCCUCGCCAAGACAAUGUCAGAUAGGUGUCCCUUAGAUCCGAUCCUAAUUGCUUCGUGUGGUGUAAUCCAAUUUAUUUUUUUUACUAACAUUACAUGUCUCUUAAUAACCGUUUUGCUUUUAGCAACCAAUUUAUCCAUAUGUGCUCUGCUUAGGGUUCUGCAAGAUGCCGACGAAUUGAUUACCAAAUGAGUCAUUAGGACAGCCGUUGUCUCUUCUUACGGGAAGGUUUACGAUAGGAGCAUAAGAUAUUAAGCUUAGUUAAUUUGGUCUUUUCUAUCUUUCUUCUUCUAUUACUAUAGACACCGUAUAUUGCACAGAUUUUUAACGACUCAGGGAUAGCCGUGGACAAGAAAAGCUACCAUCAAACUAUGAAACUUGAAUCAGAAUUUGAUUUUCACUUCGACCAUUUAGGUAUUGUCUCUUUACUUGUUCUUCAUGUAGUUCUUUAUGUACAUUUUUGUCAAAUUUUCUUUAUUAUUCUUUUUCUUCUUGCUAUCUUUCUAUUCCUUCUUUUUGCCUCUCUUUCUCUUCUUUGUUUUGAUAUUAUCUUUUAUUUUAUUUUGUAUCUCUUAGUUUAACAUAUGCAAGCAUGAUCUUCUAUUUAUUAUAUAGUUUUUAUUUUUUGCAAUACUUUAUUGCUCAUGAUAGUGCCUUUUUGCAAAUUUUUCUUUCAUUUGUACUUUCUGAACUUUGCAGUCCUUAUCAAAAUUUAUUUUCGUUAUUUUUAAAGUGAGUAGUGUUAUCUCCUUUCAUUUUGAUUUUGUAAUUAUACCCUUUCUUUUCUUUCUUUUAUCCCUUCCCUUUGCUUUUAUUAUUAUUUCAAUUCUCUUUAUCUUUUGAUGUCUUAUCAUUUCAAUUGUCUAAGACUUUUAAUAUUUCUUUUUGUACUUUUAUAUUCUAUUUUGAUUUGUACCUUAUUCACCUUUUCAUGUAAAAGUUGUGUAUUCGAAAUUUUCUUAUGAACAAUCAUUUAUACAAUAGACUGUUUACCUUAUAAUGUCCACAUAAAAUUUUCUUCAUUAGCUUUACAAAUGAUUGUCUUUCACUUGAUUUGUUAUACUUCUAAUGUUUCUUAUACUUUCUCUUGCCUUCUGUCUAGUUUCAUGCUAUUGCAUAUCUUACCCUGUAAUGUUUGUAUCAAACCAGUUCCUCUAUUUUUGUUAUUCUAUUUCUAUCUCUUCUUUCUUCUUUUCCUUGUUCAACAAAUUUUCUUUUUCUUCAUUUUAUUGUUAGUUAAUGAUGGGUUUUGCACUACUUGUUUUUUCUGCUCUUUAAUCUUAGCUACUUUUCUUUUAUUUUAACUUGUUCAUACUAUCAUCUUGCAACUUUGCUAUUGUCUUAUUUCUUUUUCUUGUCUUUUGGAACCUUGUUCUUCCGUAUCCUAUACAUUUUCUUACGCAUAGAUUUCUAUUUGUUAAAUAUCCUUAGUCUGAUUGCUUAAUCAAUUAUAGUGCAAAUACUUAUUUGGUUGUUGUUAGAGGUGGCAAUCUUUCACCCAACUUGACCAACCAAUUACGGUCUCACCUAGCCAUAUAUUUAAUUUGGGUUUGGGUCAUCCCAAGUCUAUAAGUUUUUUGGGUCAGAUCUAGAUUUAGCUUAUGACCUCAUUUGAGUUAUGGCACCUCUGCUUUUGAAUGAGGGCAGUAAACGGUUGAUUGUAUCAUGUUGGGCCAAACAUAUAUAUGUGCUAAAAUAAAACAUAUCUCUUUGGCUUAAAUAGGUCAACAACUUAAGGUUAUGUUGUCAUGUGAGUAAUUGUUGCAGAAAUUUUGGGUGACUCAAUGGACAGUUAGGUUUGGAUUUUUCCUUCACUCGAGUCAAAUCAAAUCGGGUUGGGUAUGUUGUCAGGUCUGGAUUUUCCCUUCACUCAAAUCAAAUUGGGUUGGGUAUGUUUUAACCCAUGUACUGGUAUUAUUUGAAAGCAAACCCGCCUUACCCAAUCUAUACCUCCUUUAGGUUUUGUAACUUAUUGAGAUCAGUGUAUAAAAUUGCUAUUUCAACUAGUUCUUUCCAAUAUCUUUGUUUUCUUAGAUUGUCCAAUGUUUGUUGUUUUCACUGGCUAACAAAAUAUAUUUGUGAUUCCCUUCCAUCUUUUUAAGGAGGAUACUCUGCUUCUUGUCUUUCUUCUUCUUCUUCUUUUCAUACACGGCCUUCUUCUCAUACAUGGUUAAUUUUUCCAUUCCUAUAUUAUCUUUUUCUGAUCAUUGUCCUUUUAUUCCUUCCUUUCCCAUUCUUACUCGUCUGUUUUGUAGAUUCUAUCUCUUCAAGUCUUCGAUUUCUAUUUUUUUCAUUGUUUGUUAUCCUUACGGCUUAGAUUGAGUUUGGUUAUAUGUUUUAUAGUCUUUGUUUUCUGUUUUCAUUCUUUGUUAUGUGUGGGGUUUAGAGUGACGAUGGAUGGUGAAUUGUUGGUCACCUGGUGUUAUUGAGUUCAAGUCUCCAGGACUUCCAUUUUUUUGUGUAGUUCUAUUUUAUAUGUUUUGCUAUACGUAACUAAAGUUGUAUGUCUGAUUUAUUUAUAUAAUUAUUACAAUUUUUUUUAAGUUCAUCAAAAUCUUCUUUAAAAUCUUGUAUUCUUGUAUUUGGAACUCUGUGAUAUUCAAGAGAAGAAUUCUUGCCCCAUUUAUUGCAUAAAUGGCCUUCUUUUAGUAUUAGGAUGUGCUUUAACUGUUACCAAGAAUUGAAAAGAAACUUUGGGAUCUAAUGAUUCAGUAAGUCAAUAUUUGAUUCGGUGAUAAACAGCUCUAGGAAUUACUAUUCUUCUCUUAACGGGUUAUUCUGGAAUAACCUGUUAAAAGGGGAGAAUAGUAGUUCCACCCGUUAGGUAGAACAAGCUUUUCUCUCUCUUAUUUCUCUACUAAUUAAGUUAUAAAUAAUUAUACAAAAUUAGUAAUUAAUUCACUUAUUAUUUAAAUAAUUAGUAUUUUAUUUUACUUGAUUAAUGUAUUAACAAAAAAUAUAAUUGAUGAAAUAAUUAAUUAAUAUUAACAUAUUGAUUUAUUUUUUAUAGUUGUUCACUAAUUAACGCCAUUCCUCAUCAUCCCAUAUAAUAUUCCUAUUAAUUAAUUUAUUAACUUGUUAAAAAAUAAUACUAAUAUUUAGAUACUUAUUAUGUAGAUAAAUUAUUUUGUUUUCAAUCAUAAUUACUCUUAUUUCUACUAUUCCAACCAAUCACCAAACCAAAAUUUGUCUUAUUCCUCAGAAUAUCUCUAUUCUCGUCAGUGUUUGAAAAGGCGCGCCUCACGCCUAGGCGUGAGGCGCGGGCCUCAGCGUCUCAGCAAUAGCGAGGCAAGGCGCUAUUGUUGAGGCGCGCGCUUAGGCCCUGAGGCGCGCGCCUCAGGCGAGGCGCGAGGCGCACAUAAGGCGCGCGCCUCAGCAUAUUUAAUAUUUCUUGGAUUUUGGAUUAAGGUUUUCGGGUUGUUGGGUUUCGGGUAUAAAUUUUAUGUUUUAACCCGAUAAGCUUAGUAAAAGAUUCUAUAAGAAACAUAAAAAAAAACCCUAAUGAAAUCAUCUACUGCCCUCUCUUUCUACCACCCUUCUCUCCCUAUCCCUUCUCUGUCCGUGGGCAACUUGGCAUCCAGCAAGCAUCCGCAGUAGGAAGCAGCAAGGAGGAGCAGUGGUCAGCACUCAGCAAGCAUCCAUUGUCAAGAACAGCAUCAGUUUUUUUAUUUGCAGCGGCACUGCAGCAGCAGAAACAGGAGCAGCGGCAGCAAGAAAGCAAGAACAAGCAGCAAUCAAGUAAGUAUUGCCUCUAUACUCCAAUAUUUUUCCUUUGAAUCUAUUUUUUAGUUAUUUUUUUCAGGAUUUGAUGUAUUUUUGAGAUUUUUCUUUUUUUUCCUAUAUGUUUUUACUUUUUUUGUUUCGAUUGCAUAUUUCUUGAUCCAGUUUUUUGUUUUGAACUUGUUUUUAGUUAUUAUUUAUAGGAUUUGAUUCCUUUUAAGAUUUUUUUAUUUUUUCCCAAAUGUUUUUUUUUUUUUUCAUCUAGGGCAGAUGCCAAGUGUUUGGCAAUGAAAACAUUUAGAGUUUCUUGUUGGAAUUGGAAUCUAAAAACGCUGAUGCUGCUAGCUUCAGCCUGGCAAAACAAAUUUCUUUACUUUUUGAUAGUUAUUUUACUUUUGUAUGGUUAUUUUGGAGUUUUUUUAAUGUGGAACAUUAAAUUAAAUUAGAUUUAGUAAAAGUGCGCCUCGCCUUCUUGAGGCGCGCGCCUCGCGCCUAGGCUCCAGAAAGGUCUUGCGCCUUUUUGCGCCUUGCGCCUUUUCAAACACUGAUUCUCGCCUAAAUAAAAAAUUGGCUUAAUUCCUGCUUAUCCCAAAAGUUAUACCUAUUCCAGGAAUAAGUAAGAAUAGCUUAUUAUCUAAAAUCAGAUGAAUAUAAAGCGAUUUUCAAAACACCAAUGAUUAAUUUUCUUUUAGUUCUACAGUUGAUUUGCCUACUUAAGUGGAAUUGCAACGAGAGAUUAUUUUUCAUAAUUAUGCAUGGCUAAGAGGAGUUGAUCCAUGGAUCUCAGAAGCUCUUUUGCUCUUGGUGUUCACGACAACAAUUGUAAGAACCAUCUAGUUGACUCAAUGCUUUAUAAUAUCUUAUCUUUGUUCUAUCCGUCAAAGUAUUUGAUAAUGUGUGCAUAGUUUCUUUAUUAAUUGUCUGGGCUUUUAUAAAAUUAAUGUUAUAUUGAAAUUUAAAAUAUUUUGAAAUGUUAUUAAAAUAAAAAUAUGAUUAAAAUUUUAAUUGACUUCUUCUUCAAAGAAAAAAGGGUACGACACGAUUCACACUAGUCUAGGCUAGUGCCAUGUUGAAUCUUGGGCGGGGAAAGGCAGUUUGGCGUGAUACAACCCUAGUUUGGAUCUUUGUGGUGUCAGACCACCUUCAGGCCCAAGUUGGUCUAGCAUAAUUUGGAUGGUCCGAGGUGAACAUGCAACAUCCUUGAGGGUUGCGCUUCUAGAGAGGUCGGAGGUUUGUCUUGCGGGUAGAAUGUAUGGACUCUCUUUGUACUAUUUAGAACAAAAAUUUAAUAGGAACUGCCUGACUGAAAACAAAUCAAUGUUGAUGAUAUUUUGAAAGUGUGCCUAUUGAAUCCACGUUAAGAUCUAAUUUGCUUGUCAAAUAUUUUAGCAUAGAUCACUACAAUCGAAAGUUGAAACAUAAGCUAGGCCUAAUUGGUUCGAGGCACUGAUCUAAUUUAGUCUGUUUUUGCAGUGUCAUUUGUGGCAUUAUUUUCUAGGUCAUUGAAGGCUGGUCUAGUGCCUAUUCAGCAUAGUGGUGAGACCAAAAUUCUUCAUUAUGUUAGUGCCUAUUCAUAUCAUUGUUAAUUUGUUGUUCGUUUACUUAGUUUUUCUCUAUUUAUGUGCUGAUUCAUGUCAUGCUAUCUGAGCAGUUCAUUUUAUUGUUUAAAACUCUUAAUUCUUUUUGACACGAUGUUUGACUCAAUUCGGAGAUUACAUUUGUAGCAUAAUAGUUAAGUGAUGAUAUGAGUCUAGGGUCCCAGUAUCAUAGGCAUGGAGGCUAGGUUCUUUCCUUGCAGCUGUCAUAUAUUCAUUAAGUACCAUUUCUGUUUCUGCUGGAUUGAAAUUUUAAUAAAUAUAUAAGAGUUGUCGGAUAUUACAUGUUUUUGUUGUUUGUUGUGUUAAUUAUUUAUAAUAUUUUUGUGCCACUAACCAAUACUUUCAAUCUAAAAAACGUACAAAUUGAAAUUGUUAUGGACAUCUAGUGACUACAUUUUGUUUUUGAUUUUAUGCUUUGUUGUUUAUUAUAUUUUGGAUAUUAAUGGUUGUUAUUAAACAGUAGAAGAAUGUUAUAGUGUCCUUACAUGCAAUAACCCUCACAAGUACUUUAUUGUUGUGUAGAUCAUGUACAUCUUGUUAGCCUAUUAUUCAAAAAUAUUUUAUUGCUUAUUUACUAUGUUAAAGUCAAAUUCCUUUUCAAUUAUAUAUAGAAAUAAUAACCAAACAUUUGACGAACAAUUACAAAUCAGCUCAUGCUCAUUACGGAGCAGUUGCUAGUGCAAUCCUUCUCAAUUGGGCAUAGAAUUUACCAUAAACGAAAUAGCUCAUUUCAUCCAAUUCUUCUAAUUUGGCCUCACUACAACAAAAUUGCCUUUUAGCGGCAAUUUAGUAACGACGAUUAUCAAACGGCCACUAUUACUUAUUAUCUAAUUGUACUUUAGCGGCAAUUAUUUUAAACUACUUUUUUUAACGACUAAUAAUUUUAUACUAAAUACAUUUAUUUUGAAUCCAAUACUAUUCUAACCCUAACCCAAACCCGCACCCAACCUCUCCCCCAUCCUGCGGACAAAAAUUUUAUGGACAUUGUGUCCAUCUAAAACAAUUUGGGGAUGCCAUGGAAGGAUGCCGCGUGGCACCUACCUCGGAAAGUAGCUGGAUUUUUUUCUAGUGAACCUGGUGCAUAAUUUUUUUACUUUAAAAUUUUAUUUUUACUUUUUAGUUAUAAUUAAAUAUAAUGUAUAUAUAUUAUAUAUUUUAAAAAUAUAUGUAAAAAAAUUUAUAGUUUAGAAUUUAAAAUUCUUUUACAUAUUAUUUUAAAUAUCAUAAAAUAUAUCUCUAUUAUUAUAUUAAAUUAUAAUUAAAAAUAAAAAAAUAUGAUUUUAGAGUAAAAAACGGUGCACCAGGUGCACCAGAAAAAAUCCCACUGCUCUCCCAAAUGGCGGAGCAGCGGGGGCACGUGGCGGGUCACGCGGCGCCCAUCAGAAAAAUCUGAAUGCCACGUGGCAUUCAUCUACGGCAUCCCCAAAUUAGUUUCUGUGGACAUACUGUCCAUAAAAGUUUUGUCCCCAUCCUGCGCGAGCUCUCCCCCUCUCCUUCACCUCUCCAUCUCACACGAACACCCUCUCUUUAUCUCCCUUCCCCCUACCUCUCCUCCAUCCUGGCGGCGGCGUCCCUUCACCUCUCUUCUCUCCUCCCUCUCUAAGCUCGGAUCCCUAUCAGCGGCGGUGUCGUCGUCGUCGUCCGCGGAGAAGGGUGUAAAAUCAAAAUGGCUCGGGUCCAGGCCGGGCCGGGCGCGGACUCUUCAUCUUAAACCCUUCCCUGCUUCUCCCUCACUCGAUACUCCGACGCAUCAAACCCCUUCCACGGGGCGCCCCACACCCUCCUCCGCCACCGCGCCUCGUGCCAUUCCAGGUACAAAAAUUCAAAGCAUAACAAAAUAAAAUAUGGUUCACAUAUGCAAAUCUAAAUAAUCACAAAGUAUUAUUCUUUUGAUUUCGAUAUUCAGAGGUAGAGGGAAUUACUUCUUGUGCAAGUUCAUAUAUAUAUAUAUAUAUAUAGGCCGGGGCUACUAUACUCUUAUGAGUAUAGACCCCCUUGUACUCAUAAAUUUUUAACCGUUGAUUGAUGGGAUGUGUGGUUAGGAUGAUGGUAGUUCCCACUUAGAAUGAUAGUGAUCCCCUAGGGUUGAGUGGGUAGUUGGUUAAAUAGUAUGAUCUAACGAGUGAAAAUGAUCAAUGGAAUAAAUCUUAGGGCCAAAAACUUAUGAGUAUAAGAGAGCCAAUACUCAUAAAAGUAUAGUAGCCGGACUAUAUAUAUAUAUAUAUAUAUAUAUAUAUGUAUAUAUAUAUAUAUAUAUAUAUAUAUGUAUGUAUAUUUUUUGGUGAUAUAAACCCUAAUUGAAGUCAAUUCAGAAAUUCGCAGCUACCAGGUAGAAACCUGCUUCGAUCAUCAAUUGGAUGCUCUUCAUAUUCACCGCAUAUAAAAAAAGAGAAAGGUAAAAUUUCUAUAUAAUCAUAUAUUCAUAUGUUAUGUUUAGGGCAAUUCAACAAACAUCUUACGAGCGUAAAAUCCAGAGUGUAAGUGCUCUGCAUAAGAGAUCGUUGGAGCUGUUAAUUAGCAUGUUCGAAAUUAUGUGUUGUAGUUAUUAUAAUCUAGUAAAAGUACGAGUUCAUUAUAAUGAGGGAAUAUAAGUAAAAAUUGUAAAUAUCAUGAGUAUUUAUUCAUGUCUUUUUACUAUAUUUUCUUUUUUUCUUUUUACAUUAAUUUACUAAUGUUUUUCGGAAAUCAUAUUAGGUUGGACCUAACAUUUUCUUGGAUAAAUGGAGAUGGCCUCAAAUAAUCCUCAUCCUACUCAGUUUCCUGUUACAGAGAAGUCGAUAUCCUUAGAUAUCAAGGUCUCUCUCUCGCUCUCCGAACUAACUUUUAGUAUAAUUGGACUUAAUAUGUAUAAUAUAUUUAACGUAGUGUAACCUUGUAUAACCUUGUAUUUACAACUGAUUGGCAUGGCAUGUACCUAACAGCACCAGAUUUGGCAUGAUUCAUUCAUAUAUCAUCAUGAUGUAGUUUUGUUUUUGACAACUUAAUGGGUUUGACGAACAUGUAACAGAGUGCAUGGUUGUUUCUUGGUUUAAGUCAUUGACGAAAACAUGCUUGAAAUGUUUAUUUGCCAUCUUAGUCUACCAGGCCAUGUGGUUUAAGAGUAUCAUGCUAAAAUAAGCAGUUAUUGCGACCAAUUAAUUCUGGUGACAUAGCAGACUGGUUACAGAUUGUGUCUGUCAAUGAUAUACACUCCAACUAUAACUACUGCAUGUGUUUGUUGAAUAGCCUAAGUUCAUUAUUAUGCAUUUUUUUUAUUAGAAGCUAGCAUAUUGUGUAUUGCGGAAUGUUCUCUCAGCUCGCUUGGCAUUUCCUACUAAACCCUGUGCCUCCUUCGUCCUACUUUUUCGCUUCCUUCCCGUCUGAAUUGCUGUUAGCAUAACCAUUCCGCUUCUUAGCAAUUUUUUCUAUUCAAAAUUUUUGCGUACUUCAGCCUGAAUUGUUGUUACCUCCUUUCCCUAUCAUCAAACAAGGACAAUGCAUGCACCAAUUUGAGCCUAGGGCUGUGGAGAUGUUAGCGUGAUGAAAUUUAUGUAUAAACUUUUGUGCAUGCAAGGUGACAUGAGAAUCUCUUCAUAGCAUUAUGUGUUUGGCAUUGUAGGGAACUAAGACGGACAUCAUAAUCAGCAAGUAUACAGAUAGUUUUCUGGUGAGUUGCAUCUCAUACUCAGCUCUAUAGCUUUUAAUAUGGACAUGUUUACAUGAAAAUGUUCUUUCAGGUCAUGGUGACUCAAAUAGGAUCUAUGGGUACCAUACUGCAUGCUAGGUCUGUGUUUUCCUUUUUCCUGUAUGCUGUUUCAACUAUGCAUUCACAGAUUCUUUGAUCACAACCUUUUAUGUGCAUGUGCAUCUUCUAUUUAGUCACUAUGUUAUCGACAGUUUGACACCGUUCAAAAAAACAUAUUUUGGACUUAUCUUUGCUUAAAUUGAGGUAGGAUGGCUGAAAUAAAUUUUUAUAUUUGAAUUCUGAUGCACUAAAUGUAAUACAGUGUAUUUAGUUGAUUGGUAGGAUGGGCAGAACCUAUAAAAUAGGCAUAAUUAUGGGCUUCUAAGCAUGUCUCUAUGGUUGAGGUGUCUUCAUAUGGAGAUAACAACAAGCCUUUUAAACCUUCAAGAUUUUGCUUGCCAUUUCAUUUUCUAGUUGGAAUGGUAUUUUACUACAAAAAGACAUUUAAACUUACGGUUCACCAUGGUCGUUGACUUAUCAGCAAUGGAAUAGAAAGCAAAUUGGCAAAUCAAUAGUUACUUAAGCACAAGUGUUUUAGUUUCAAUAAUGCUAUAAUUUAAUAAGAGUUGAGAAAAUUUCAGUGUCUAACACCGAUGUGUUGAUCAAAUUUAUAAUAUUGAUCAGGCCUUAUUUUGUGAGGCCAUAGCAAAUUAUUUUCCUCUUCUGUUUGACUAUAAUGCUGAUUGAAGAUUUAAUUUUUCUGAUGAUAGGAAGGAGGAAGGUGUAUCACUAGAUCCAACUUUUAAUGUUUCUGUGAUAUUUGGCAAGAGAGAUGAGGCAAAUACAACACAUCUAUUCUCUAGUUUGGUCUUUCUUUUCCUAAUGGAUAUUGAUCUUGAGUCUAAAUUGUGAUGGUUGCAGCCACUUUUAGUUGCAUGUGCAAGGCAGAUGAUUGAACAUAUAAGGUAUUUUUACCUCUCUCCGUGGUAGAUAUGGAUAUUUGAUAUUUUGAAAUAAGAGCUUUCUAUCAGUUGAACUUAGUCAAUGAAUUUGUUAGUUCAAGUUAUGCUAAUUUCUGGACUUCAUGCUGUAAAGAAAUCAGAAGUGCUGCUUUAUAGGGGCCUAAAUUUUUUACUUUUGUCUCAUACAAUCAGAUAUUUUAGAUAGUUCUAGAUUAUUUCAAUUUUCUUAUAAUGGAGUUUUGAUUUUGAUUUCCUUUCAGUCUGUUGAAUGACUAAUUCAUAAUCUGCAAAUAUUUUUGGCAAAUUCACUCUGUUGUCGCUGCGUAUUGUCAAUAAUUCCAUCAGAUUAUGUCAUGUCUAUUGUCAUCUGGGAAAUAAUUCUAAAGAUUAGGUAUAUAAGAAACUGGAUUGUGCUAGAAUUUAAAUUUUAUAGAAAUUGGUGAGUUAUAUUUUGUGGAUUGUAAUACCAUACUUUCAAUCUAUAUGUUGCAGCCACUGCAGUUCGUCGAGGGCAUUGAUUCUGUCUCUUGGUCUAAAAGAUCACUCUCAGGUAACAUAUUGAAAAGACCUGGAGAUGUUUAAAUCUUUCAUGGAUUCUGUCUCGUGUUUUAACUUUGAAUACAAGUCACCGAUUUGAAUUAGCAUUUCACCUAGAAUUAAAGUGCUCCUUACCUUUGAUUACAUAAGCCUCUUCAUUUGAUCAAAAUUUCUUUGUUUUUUUCCUCCUUUUACUUUGAUUAGGUUAUUAAGCAUUUGUUCUCACUGUGGUUUUUGGUUUCCACAGGAGAUUUUAAAGGAUAUCAUUUCUGCCGUUAUUGAGAAUCGCCUUUGGUGAAUUUUAAAGGAUAUCAUUUCUGCCGUUGUUCUUUCCGUUCCUUUUUAACAACCUUUUUCCUUUUUAUUUAUUAUCAAUUUUUUUUUAUUAGUUGUAACUAAUGCAUUGACAAAAUGCGCCUUAGCUUUUGUGGCAUUAAUUAUUUACUUGCUCACUUAUACCUUUUGGAGUUUGGUUAUUCUUCCUUGUUAACAACUGAUGUCCUAGUUAUUUGUUCCAAUUUUAGUAUUAAAAGAAAAGGCAAUAAUUGAGUUUCAUCAGGAUUAUUCAAAGCUUAUACUUAUAAAACAUUUCACAAACGGCUGACUUUACCAAUUUUACAUUAGUUCACUCCAUCUUCAUACAAAAGCCACACCUAGUAAAUUAGUUCUAAGAAGCACUUACAGUUUUUCUGAAUAAAACUGUAAGUGCCAACUGUUGAGACUUCAGUGCCAACUGUUGAGUUUAUUGCAGGAGGCCCCAGAUAUGUUAUCUUCACCUGCAGUGCCAACUGUUGCAUAGCUUUUCAAUGCCAAUGUUUGCUACUAUUCUGUGCACAGGGCAUUUAUUGGGAGGAUAUGUACAUUGUGGGGGGGGUACUCAAUUAUUUUUGUCCCGAUAAUUAUUGCCCAGCAGUUGUCAGGAUUGUACUUGGGCGUAAUCUUGCUGUUUUUCGUUCCAUUGUUGAUCUGUUACUAGGACAAUUUCACCACCAGAAGAUGAAGUGUCUGGCAAGUCCUUUCUUUUUCAGCACUCUCCUCUAUAUUAUGCGCAGACAAACUAUGGUUCAAGGAAAACUUGUGAAAUGUUGAACAGUGAAGGAAACCAUCUAAUAUGCUGAGACAUAUUAGUUCUGAUAUAGUAUGAAACUGACAGAAGAUUACUAAUAGUUUCUCCUCGGCUCCUUCCCAGCCGCGCGUUUGAAGUCUUUGGCUGUAUGUGCGCGCGGUGAGCUCCACCUCACAUGUCAGCCUACUUAAUAACCGCAUAGGAUAAGCAAGAAGAAUGAUUGGGUGGGUCAUAGGUGGGUGGAUAGAAUGGCACAACCAAACAAAUUAAAGCAAGUGGGAAAGCCAUAAAAGGAAUUACAAGUAAAGAAAAAUAAUUAACAGAAAUUAUUACCAUGGAUGCUCAUUGCUGGGCGGCUCCACUGUCCCAUUCUUCCUCCCUUCCUCAUUCUCCAGCAAUUACGGGAAUAGUACGUUCCUGCAGCAGUACAAGUACUCUCCAUCUUCUUCCCCCGUGGAAGAAGGCGGUCGCGUCGUCACCCAUCCACCGCCGCAUCCUCCCGAUCUGCAGUACUGUAGGGAGCAGAAAGCCUCGUCUUCCAAUUAGCCGUGCCCGGCCCGCUGCCGCUCCGACUAGAAUCCGUGCCGUUGUCGGUGAAGCCGCUGCUGAUUUUUCGUCGGCCCCCGUUGAGAUCACCUGGCAGAUCGCCGUCGGAGCUGUAGGUACGUAGCCAUCUCUCCUUCUGUGCUAUAUGCAGAAUGAAUCGUACUUCAUCUGUCCACUGCUUGACGUCUCUUCUCUUCUUCUGCCGUGUUUGCUUUUUACGCAUGCAGCUGGAAUUACGCCCUUCCUUGUUGCAGGAAUCGAGUUCAGCAAAAGGAUUGUAAGCUACUCUUAGUGAUUCCUCACUGCAUUAAUCGAUUUCUCUUAGACCCUAUUUGGAUGCAUGAAUACCUUAUUCAGUAUAUCACGUUUGAAUGAUAAGAAAUAAGAUCAAAUGUUUAAAAUUACAUACUACAUUCAACACUCAAGUCAUCUUUUUAACCAGACAAAUCACCUCGUUUAAAUUAGCGUAUAACUUCUUAUCGUUGCUCUAAAGAACUAUCUGCAAGAGAGAAAAUAAAGGCAGAAAAUAAAAAAGAACAGGUAAGAACAAAUGAAAGGAGAAAUAAGAAACAAAACUGACACAAUAAAAAUAUAGGAACAUAAUUUCGUAAAUAAGGUCAACAACAAUCACUUACACAACUAACAAAAGAAAUUGUGUCCAUGGUAAUACAUACUAUCCACUCUUAACUUUAAGAAACAUAAUGUACAUCCAGAAGCAUCAAGAUAAAUAAACAGUAGAUAAGAGCGCGAAAAGUGGCAAGAAGUAUAAACACCACCAAAAGAAAAUCAAACAAUAGAAUGAGGAAAACAAAAAAAACAUAAAUAAUAUGUAAUAGUAUUCAGCAGAAAGUAAAAUAAACUCAACAAGGGAUGAACAAGAGAACAUCCUUCGCUUUGACGUAAGAAAACUUGUAUCCAAGGCCACAACAAGGUAACAAAAGCAACCGAAAAGAAAAAAGCCAGUGUCUCUCUGAGAAAGCUAGUUUUAGGUACACAAUAUUACACUAUGAAACAAUAGGAACAUUAAGAUGCACAGGAAACCAAAUUAAAAUGAAAAAUAAACCAAGGGCAAAACUUUGUAAAGAUAGGAAUACAUUGAUCAGGAAAAAAAAAAAAAAAAAAAGGACAGCCGAAACACCAAAUAACUGGAAAAAGAAAGUGAAAACAAAAGUCCGCCAAAACCUAAACUAAAGGAAUGGGGAAUUUCUCAAUCAGCAAUGCAGAAAUUUAUAUAAUACUAAGGAGGAACUACAAGAAUAUUUUUUUUUAAAAAAAUCAAAAUUUAAAUCGAAUAAAUAAUAAACAACUAUAAUAUAAAAUGUGUAUAAAGUACAGCAAAAUAGAAAAUAAUAACAUAAAAAAACUAUAGGAUGUCUUAGAGACUUAAAAUAAUAAGAAAUUAAAAGAUAACGGAGAAAAUUGAGAAUGAUGAAAGGGAGGUAAAAUAAGGGGAUAAGGAGAAAGAAAGUGAAAUAAACAUAGAAUAUGCAAUGAAAAAAAAAGAACCUAAGUUGAAAGAGAUACCGACAACUUAAAAAUCAACCCAAAAUCAGUGCCAAUCAAUUCAAAUCAUAGAGAAAUAAGUUUGCAAACAAUGGAAGGAAGGAAAAUUGAGGUCGAACCUAACCAGUUUGGUGAUUCGGUCAUUGGCAAAUAGGGUGUAAAACUUCGAAUCACACCAACUAUGAGUUAUUAUGAGUUGUUACCUAUUGUGACCUAACAAAACCAGACAACACAAAAGUUAAGAUUAACUAGGUAAACUAAAUUGAAAGGAACAUGAUUAUCCAAUAGCUCUCCAGAAAGAAAAUUUAAUAUUAAGCCCGUAAAGCCCAAGCAUCCCUGCCUUGGUCCUAUAUUGAGGCCCGGAUUUUCAAAAGGGCCAUGUUAGGACCAACUAGCCGAAGUUAGAACCCGCCCAUGCUGAGCUUGACCAAACUUUGAAGACCAAGGCUUGUAGCUUCCUGGGUUUAGGCCUAUAUUCGGGCCCAGAUUUAAGAGCCUGGCUGGAUCCAGGCGUUAAGUAGUGAAACUGUCCCAUAAACAGGUCAUCCAAUAUUCACACAACAACUAGCGAAAUGUCAGUGACAUACGUGUCAGUGACAUAAGCACCAGAAGACAAAGUCCCAGGUUUUACAGGGCUUUACAGCUGCAGCUAAAACAAAAGCAAAUGUAUGUAUCCUUUCCAAUACAAACAAAGAAAAGAAAAAGAAUUGUUCUGCGAAAUUUUAUGAGGGCAAAACGAAGAAACAUUGUACUCAGAAUCCAGUUAGUCCAACAUUACCCACCAGAACAAUUGCAAUUUUAUAUAUAGAUUCUCCUAAGCAAUAUAAAUCACCUCAUAUGACUAAGCAAAAUGCAAACUAAUAGCGGUUGAAGAGGGUCAGUUUCCUCUCUUUUCUCAUGUCUUUUAAUUGACAAACAUAAUCAAGCACAAUGCACCAACUAAAUAGCAAGUAAUACCAUUACAUUGGUAAAAAAAUCCACUAAACUGAAAUUAUGAGCAUGACUAUUAAGACAUACUAAGCACAGUGCAAACCCCCUUAAUAAUUCAACUCAAUCACAUGAACUCGUAUACAUAUUGUCAAAUUGAGAUUUAAACCGUACAUUAACUCGAAAUCUAAACCAAAUUGAUCCUAAUACUUGAUUGUGUCACUGAAAAACAAAUGCAGAGCGAAAGUACAACUAUUUCAUCUUUGGUGAUGCGGAGCAAAACUAACAACUUUUUCAUCUUUGGUUUUGAAAUAUCUUCCUUUUAUAUUCUUUUUAUUUUUUAUUUUCUAUUCUUUUUGCAAAGUUCAACAUUUUGAGUAACUUGUGCAUUCAUAGCUUUAGAAUCUUGUGAUACUCUUUUACCGACUCGAGGAACUUGGAUUUUUUUUUAUUUUUUUCAUGUGAUGCACAUAUGAAGUGAUGCUGGUGAAUGAUGCAUGUGAAUAUAUCUGCAUGUGACAUGAUACAUGUGAAAUGAUGCAUAUGAAGUGAUGCUGGUGAAAAGAUGCAUUUGAAUACGUAAUGCACGUGAAGUGAUGCAGGUCACAUGAUGCAUGUAAAGUUCUAUACUUCUAUAGUGAUUUCCUCUAUCAAGCUUGAAAUUACCAGAGAAUGUUCAAAUCGUUAAAGACAAAUUAGUCGAAGUUUUUCAAAAAAGAUUACAAAACAUAAAUAGUACCAACAAGUUCAUCAAUUCGGUACUAGAUUUUAAAUCCAAAGUUAGGAAAGGCAUAAAUAUUGCACAACAAAAGAACAAUCAAAACUUAUUUCAACACCAAAGUAAAGCGAUUAUAAGAUAAUCCAGCUGAAUCAUAAGAAAAUGAUUAAACAACGAUUUUAUUUUGGAAUAGGAAUAAUGGAGUAAAUUUGGUUGAUUUGAAUCUCAAUUUCAUAAUUUGUAUUUCAAUUCAUGUAAUCGGGACUGGGUCGAAUUAUUAAAUGGUGUAGCACUAAGUUUAGUAUCUACUAAGAGUUAGCCUUCGUUAUGAAAGAUUAAGGGGGUGAGCACUAAAUUUAGUAUGUAGUAAGAGUUAGCUUGAUUUGUAUAGCUGUAUUAGGUCGGUCAACAUAUCAUAACUUGAAUUUAUUUCAUUAGAUAGUCAGUCUUUUAGAGUUUUGUUUAUUUUGAAAGAUCCGAGGCAUGCAAAAAGAAUCAGAAUGAGUGACUCUCAUUGUUGGUGUUUGAUUUGAGGUAUUCACACAGCGGAAAUUUAACCGCCCAAAUCCCAUAACAGAGGUGCAAGUCAAUUUUGAUUCCAGGGAGGAUUGAGAAAAGAGCUUUUCUUUUUUUAUUACUACUAACAAUUAUUUGAAUUUGAAUAUAAAUUUAAGUUUUAGUUUACACUAGCUAAGGAUAACAGUAAUAGAGUGCUCUCCUGCAACCAUCUACUUAGUAAUAGCUUAUUGGCCGCCCCAUAUUAAGUCAGUUUCAAUUGAAAGCAAAGAUUUCACUAGUAGUGAAAGGAUUAUCAAGUGAGAAACAUUUGUCUAGCCACGAGUAAAGUGUUUUAGGUUGUUUGUAAGACACAUGUAAAAGAAAAUACCGUCCUUUAAAUUAUGAAUUCAAGUUUAAAUUCAAGUUUUAAUUUCUUAAGUUCAAAGUAGGAAUUGGAAUAAUAGUUUGAUUUUUUGAAUUUAGUUCUAGUUUAAAUUUUGAUUUGAACUUGUUCCUCACUGGAUGGUACUUGAAAUCCUCAAGUGUUGCAUCCAUCAUGACUUGAUUAAUGUUUCUUUAAUCAAAGUUUGUUAUAUAUCUGGAUUACUUGUGUUAACGUAGUUAAUUUUUUUUUAUGGUAAAACAGGAGAUGGUUCUUAGUGUGCCCAAAUUCAUUAAUGGGAUAAGAAAAUUAAUGCACAAUGUAAGUUUGCACGUCCAAACAAUCACGGCCAAAAGAUCAGCAGUCAACGAAGCUAACCUAACGUAGAAUGAAAAUACAAGUGAGGAACAACAACUAACCUAAAACCAACUUACAAUAGAAUAAUCACAUAGUUAAUUAAUGAACACAGUAUGCAAAACAAUAAUAACAAUAUGUAACCAACUCAUAAGUGCAGAAUCGACUUGGCCAGCCUAUGUAUGACAAAAAAAGUUCUUAAACGAUUGUGAGUGAAGCUCGAACUGAAGUCACCACUGUUAAUACUUACUUCUGCCUUCUUUAAUUUGGCCUGUUUAACCCCUAGUGGUCAUUGUUCAUUCUGACUUGAACGUACCUUCCCCCCUUCAACAAUAGGUUGCGCAAAGAAGAUGUGAAGUUUGCAAAGGCUCCGGUCUUGUACUAAAAGAUACUUAUUACGUUCGCUGCCCUGGCUGUGGUAUGUUGAUCUUUAUCUGUGCAAACUUUUUAUUUUGUUGAUUCCUUUUUUUUUAAAAAAAACAUGUCCAUCUAAGCUUGAAAUUUGUUUUAAUAUUGAAGUAAAAUUCGCAUCAGUUUGUCCAUCAUUUUUCAGUUUAACAUUUUAAUCUAUUCCAUUUUGUAGGUGGCUUUCUGCCAUGGCAGUCGUGGAAAAGAUUCUUUACUGGUUAGAAAUUAACUAAGAAGUCUGUGGGCUGUUUUAUUUGUCCUACUAAAUUCGAACAAUAUGUAAUAGCAUGAAACUAGACAGAACCCAAGAGAAAGUAUAAGAAAUAUUUGAGGAAGUUUCAUAAAUUAAGUCACAGACAAUCAUUUAUAAAGCUAAUGAAGAGAAUUUUGAUGUAGACAUUAGAAGGUAAACUAUUGGAGUUUGUUGCAAAAAUAAUUGUUUGCAAGAACAUUUCGAAUACAAAACUUUUAAAUGAAGAGGUGAAUAAGGUACAAAUAAAAAAAAUAAUAUAAUAGUACAAUAGAAAUAUUGGAAGUCUUAGACAGUUGAAAUGAUUAGUCAUCGAAAGGUAAAGAGAACUGGAAAAAAAAAAACGAAAGCAAAUUUUAGGGGAUAAAAGAAUGAAAAAAGAAUUAAUCAUUAGAUGCAAUUAAAAAUUUUGGCAAAGGCCGCAAGAGUAUAGAAAGUAUACAUGAAAAAGAAACAGUUGUGAAAAUGCGCCAUUAAAAAUCACGAGCAAUCAAGGAUUGAAAAAAUAAGAACUAUAUAAUAAAUAGAAGACCAUACUUAAGAAUAUUAGACUUAGAUAUACCAAAUACAAUAAAAGAUAAAAUCAAAAACAAAGAAUUCGAUGCCUAGAAGUGUGUUUACCAAUCCUCUACUUGCAGUGUUGCAUAAUUAAAAGUAAAUUCACCUUUGCUUAUUUGAUUAUGACUUUGUAGUUCUAACACAGCCUACAAAUAAUAAGCAUCAGUAGUUCCAACACAGCCGACACAUAAUAAGCAUUUGUAGGUUCAACACGGUCUAUACAUAGUAAGCAUAGUGAAAUGGUGUAGUGGAAAAAAAAAAAAUUAUAAAACAUUUUAAGAAGAGAAACAAAACAAACAUCAUUGGAUAAAAACAAUCUAGAACUAACAUGAAAGAAAACGGAGGAAAAAAAACAAAUGAAACAAAAGCAAAACUAAAAGAUCAGUAAGAACAAACAAGACCAAAAGAGAUACAUAAGAGUAAAAGAGAGGGAAGAAAAAUAUGUGGUGCACAACCCAUCAUUGGCUAAAUAAUGAAAAGGUUGUAGCAUUUCUAGCUUUCGCUCUAAAGAACAACUGAAUAGCUAGAAAGAAAAGAAAAGUACAAGAAAAAUGAGAAGAUAUAAAGAUGAAAUAGCACAUUGGGUUGAUUUGAAGCGUUGAAUAAUAAAAUGCCCAAUAAUAUGUAAGGAAGUAGAAACCAAAAUAAAAUUAUACCAAAUUCAGAAUAGUUCCAUAAAUGAAGUCAAGAAGAAUGACCCAUCCAAGAAACACGAAAUCCCCCGAAAAUAUGCAUAAGUCAGUAGCUAUCGGAAUAUUGUAAAUAAAGAAAAGAAAGUGAGAAACAAUUAAAAAAAAAGGAAUGUAUAGCUAAUUAAGAAACAAGAAAAUUAACAAAGGGCAAGAGAGACCCAUAACUGUGAUAUACGAACUUUCAAGAACACUUUCAAAACCCAACAACCAAAAGCAAAAAAAAAAAAAAAAAAAAAAAAAAAAAAAAAAAAAAAGCGAAAAAGAAGAGUACACCCCUAAAAUGACAAUUUUGAAAGGCACACUUGAGAGAAAAGCAUUAACCUACUAGAAAAAUCAUCAUGAAAGAUAGCAAAAUGAGGAGGAUAUCAUAAGAAAUCAAAUUACGUCAUAGAAAUAUAACAAACUUGAAAGAAAAUCAACACAAAAAACUUCUGGAGAAACAAAGAAAGUAGGAAAUUCGAAUUACACAAAAUAUGAGUUGUUGUGAGUAAUUGCAUAUUUCAAUCUAGAAAACAAAAGUCAAAUUAAUUAGACAAAUUGAAUUACAAAAGAAAAUGAUUACUCUUCAAAAGACCCAACAUUCUUGACAAAGUUCUUGAAACGAAGUAAACCUACAACUUGCAUAGAUAUACCUCAUUCAACUUCAUAGCAAAGUUAGAGAAUUCAUACAUGGCGAUAUUAAAUGAAUAAAUACAGUGAGCAACCAUAAAUGUGUCAUCAUCUGAUGCAAGAAACUCAGCAGUCAUACACUACAUAGUAAUCAAAGUUGGGAAAUACUACUGUGAACCAACACAAUUUCAUUUUGCAAUCAUCUUCACAAAAAGUAAAAGGGUCAAGCAGUUUGCUCAAUCAAAAGCAGUAUAUGAAUCAAACAAUUAUUUUCCCAUGCUUAAAAUAUGCCCUGCAAUGACAAGAAUACUCGUAUUAAAUUAUGAAUAUUUGUAUUACAUUAUGACCAAGGAGGUGUCAUUUUGUAGCAUGAUUAGAUAAAUUUAAUAUAACAAAUCUUACAUAAUUUAUAUCAAAAUUCUUUCUGAGCAAACAAUUUAUCUUAAUUCCACACUCGUUGACAUCUAAAUGUAUUAGAUAUCUGAACUGGGCCGUGCCAAGUAUUUAAGAGCUAGUCCGGAGUAAGCUCCACUGCCAGCCCAUCAGCACGUAUUCAUUUUGUAUAUUUGUUUCAGUGGUCCAGGGAUUGGGGUCCAACAAAGUUGGGUUAAGCUCCUUAAGAAAAAAGACUCGAACAUAUACAAUUUAAUAUGUACAUUUGAAAAUAUAAUGGCCUUGACCAAUUGAUGCAUUGGUUUUGAAUCUGAGCCAACUUGCUUCUCACCGACCUAAUAGAAAUCAGCCCAAGAAAGUUUGAUUGUACCACUACCCGAGCUUUGUUAGCAAUUAUGCUCUAAAGACUUUGAAUAGGCCAGCAUAGCCUGUGGGCCUUAGAAACUAAUCAGAGAGAGCAGUUUCAUGUCCACCUUGUUCUUAACCGAAACUUAUUAUGCCUUCAAUUUUUUUUGCUUUCAUUAGAUCGAGCCAAGAAUGAUUUAAUCGGCCAAAAAUUAGAAGAAUUGGAUCGGAUGAGCUAUUUCGAUUAUGGUAGAUCUAUGCCCAAUUGAGAAGGAUUGCACCAGCAACUACUUCGUAAUGAGCAUAAGUUGGUGUCUAAUUGUUCAUCAAAGAUUUGAGCUAUUAUUUCUACACAUAAUUGGAAAGAAAUUUAACUUUAACAUAGAAGAAAAGCAAAAAAAUAUUUUUGAAUAACACGCUAACAAGAUGUACAUGAUGGCAACAUGAUAAAAGAAAAUAGUCGCCAAAUAGGAUAUAUAUCUCAAUAUAGGUCAAUAAAUUACUUUACGAUGAUAAAUUACUUACAAGGGUUAUUGUAUGCAGUGACACUACAACAUUCUUCUACUGUUUAACGACAACCAUUAAUAUCCUAAAUAUAAAAACAGCAAAGCAUAAAACCAAAAACAAAAUGUAGUCACUAGAUGUCCACAGCAAUUUCAAUUUUGUACAUUUUUAGAUUGAAAGUAUUGGUUAGUGGCACAAAAAAAGUAUAAAUAACUAAUACAACAAACAACAAAAACAUGUAAUAUUCAACAGCUCUUAUAUAUUUAUUAAAACUUCAAUCCUGCAGAAACAAAAAUGGUGCGUAAUGAAUAUAUGAUGGCUGCAAGGAAAAAUUCUAGCCUCCAUGCCUAUGAUACUGGGACCCCAAACUCAUAUCAUCACUUAAUUAUUAUGCUGCAAAUGUAACCUCAGAAUUGAGUCAAACAUUGUGUCAAAAAGAAUUAGAGUUGUACAGCAAUAAAUUGAACUACCCAGAUAGCAUGACAUGAGUCAGCAUAAACAGAAAAAAUUUAAGUGAACGAACAACAAAUUAACAAUGACACUGAUAGGCGCAAGCAUAAAGAAGAAUUUAGGUCUCACUACUAUGCCAAAUAGGCACUAGACCAAGCUUCACUAAUCUGGAAAAUAAUGCCACACAUGACACUGCUAAAACCAAGAAUUUAAGUAUCCAUCGGCACGGGCCGUUUCUUUUGUGCCGUAUCGUGCUGAUAAGAUACCAGUACGGUACAGUCUCCGUGCCGAUAGCACAGUUCAAAACCCUUUUUACUUUAAAUUAGGAAGUAUUUUUUUCAAUAAAGUUCAAAAGAUUUGAUAAAGACAUAUACUAAGCAAUUAGAAAAUUUUGUUGAUAAAGAAAAUAAAUUUUGCAUAUCAUUAAGUAUCGGCACACAUGUAUUUUUUGUGACCAGUACACAUCGGUACAGUCCGAUACGCACCAUGCCAUACCAUGCUAGUAAGUUUACAGCACGAUCGCAUGCCACGAUACUUAAAUCCUUGGCUAAAACAGACCGAAUUAGAUCAAUACCUAGAACCCAUUAGGCCUAGCUACUGUUCCGGAUGUAGUGACCUAUGCUAAAACAUUUGACAAAUGAAAUAGUUUAGAUCGUUUUCUAUGUUUGAAAGUUGUGAUGUGCUUGCAAGCCUCAAAAGUAGAAAACACACUAAAAAGGGUUCUAACAAAGGAUGAGGGGUUUUAACAAGAAAACAGUUAGUGCUUCUCCAAAUAUCAUUGCUCAAUAGGCACAUCGUCGAAAUACACUAAACAUUGAAAUCCGGAAAAAAAAAUCCCAUAUCUCUCGGCAUCCUUUGAUACCGCAAUGUCAAUUUUCAUCCUCCAAACCUAAAUUAUUCCCAUUCCCAAAAUUGUCAAUACCAAAGUUGUUAGAUAUUCAUACGUGUAAUUCAUUUCCAUUUAUCACAUUUCAAAUAUUAACAUUCACACAUACAACUACAUAGGAAAUUAUGUUCAAACAACUGAAUUCUUAAAAUACAUUGUUCUCUAUAAGAGAAUACUCAAUGAAGACAUCUUUAUCAAUAAACAAGCCUUUUGAUUCACCUCUGCAGGGUCGCCUAAAAGAAAACCAAUUCUUGUACUUGCAAUCUUUUGGGCAAGAUUCUUUGCUGAAUUAAAUGCCAUCAAGUCUAUUCUCAUUGCUUUGUGUAAUGUUAAUUAUCAAUUCUACUCUCUGAAGGCACAUUCUAUUUAAACAAAGAAACUUAUCUUCAUGAUGUGCCAUAUGGGUCCUAUUCCUAAACUCCACAAUUUAAAAUUGCAAGGCUGCCAAGGAUAAUAUUUAGAAACAUGUAGCAUAUUAUCAACACAUUGUCAACAGUUUGUUCAUUUAUUGCUCCUUUCUUGCUAUCAAAAAUGAAAAAUAUCAGGUAAGAGAGGAAAAUUACGAAAAAGAAAAACCUGAAGUGGCUAGACCAUUCAAAGAGUAUUCAUGUUUGGUUAGCUUAUUUUCUAGACAAUUAAGAGUAUUCGAAGUUAUCAAAACUAUUGUGCACUUUGAAAGAGCGUUAGCAUACCGCUUGAUUAAGUUGCCGUAGUGUAUUAAACCUCGAAAACAUUAUAACCAAGAAUCCUUCAAGAUGUACAAGUUUAAUCAAUUUCCAUUAGUAUGUUGUGUUGUCUAAUAUAAUGUUCACAAUAGCAACUAAAUGCAAUAACUAAUAUAUACACAAAGAAAUUGGCAAUACGGCAAUACCAACCAAUAAAUCUCAAAAAAUCAAGUUUCAAACCUAAAAACACCAAAACCAGGGCAUCCAUAAAUCAAAUAUGAAGAACCAAAGAGAUCUUCCCAAACUUCAAGCAAGUCCAAGCAAUUUCGGGGGAGAAAUCAAGAGUUGGGAAGUAUGGAAGAAAAACAAACACUCGAGAAAAUGAUUUGACCAAUUGAGAAAACUACCACUACAUAUAGAAAAUAGCUACCACCCCAGGCGUCCGAUAAGUGUGUGAAGUUACCACAUAUUCCAAUCCAUGAAGCUAAGGUCCAAUAGUACAUCAAUCUUACUCAAAAGCUGAGCUAACAGUACAUCAAAAUGAAUUAACAGUACAUCAAAAACUUAUUUAGCAAAUAACCAGGUAAUUGAAAAAUAGAUGUUUAGGAAUUAGGAUAAUAAACUGAACUAGCAGAACUAGCACGACAGUACAGUAAGGUUUCAGCAGAUAACCACCUUAUAUGCUCAUCAAGCUCAAAAAGAGAUAACUAGAAUGACAAACUGAACUAGCAAGAUAGCAAAUAAGAUUUAGCAAACAAACAUUGUAUAUGCUUAUCAACCUAACUCAAAAAUAGAUGUCUAGAAUGGCAAACUGACCUAGUAGGACAACAAAGUAAGAUUCAACAAUAACCAGCUUAUAUGCUCGCUAAUCCAACUGAAAAAUAGAUGUCUAAAAUGAGAAACUUAUAAGAUUGUAAAAAAAGAUUCAACAAUAGAGCCAAAAUUUAAUCAAGUGGUAUGUUACGAUGUCUUUGAAAGAGCGUUAACAUGCCACUUGAUUAAAGAUUGUUAUACAACAUAAAUUUGGCCAAUAAACUCUAAAAUUUGAAGAUUGCAAAACUCGAGUACCCGGGGUGGCUCUUUGAGCCUCUUUUAAGCAUAACCAACAACAUAUCACCAAAAAAAUUGUCUUUUUUUUUUUAUUUUAGAAGCAUCAAAAACAUGUGAUAGCUUAACACACCUACCGAAUGACCAGGGCGGUAACCCUUUCCUACAUGUGGUAAUAAUUUUCACACUCAUUUGGGACGUAACUCUUUCCAUAUCUUUUUAUGCAUAUAAUAUUUUAUUUUCAUGAUCACUCCCCCCUAAAUAUGCAACCCUAACUAAAAAGCAUACAAACUGAGUUUAUUAUCAUAUAUAGAUAAUUUUCAUUUAUUAUCUUCAACAACGCACAAACAAGAUAGUAUAAAUAACAAGUGAUUAUUAUGAGAUGAACGAAAUCUGAUAAAGACAAGAAAAAAGUAGAUAAAGAGAGAUACAUCAGGAAAAAUGAUGAAAUCGGUCAUAAUGGUAAAACUUUAAAACUUAAUAAGGAGGAGAUGAAACAACAUGAACAGCUCAUCACUAGCAAAUAGAAUAAUUAGCUUCUUGUUCUCAAAAAUCGCAAACAUCUUAUGCUAAAGAAACAUCAUCCUUGUUUCAGAUAAUGGAAAGCAUUACUUGUUGAAAAAGAAACAAAAAGCUAAUCCUAUAAGUGUUGACUUUAAGAUGUACAAGGAAUGACGAAAGAUAAUUUCCCAUGCAAUAAGCGAGUUGGAAAGAGGUUACCGAUUUCCCAUUUGGACAAUCCUUUUUGUCCUUAUAAGCUAAACUUCUUCUCUAAAGAAUAAAUAAAAAGGUAGUGAAAGCAAAAAUUAAUGGAAAAGUGAGUAUUCAUCUAGAUGGUAGCUGAAAGCCAACCACUUCUCUCGUCACUUAAGUCUACUGAUAUCAGGUUGCCUAAAAAGGAAGUGCCAAAGUGCUGCGCGGUAAUAAAGCAUUUAGCUGAACUUUCGACAACCUUGCACGUAUGAACAUUAAUAAGAAGACUAACAUGACGGACACAAAUAAGACCAAAAAGCAACUUAAGAGCGUUAUCAGCCGAAAGUCAAUAGAUCUCCCCCGAACUCCGACAUGAGAUUUUUAUGAGGAACAAAAGUAAUGACAAGACAAAUAUAAGAAAAAAAGGAGGAAAAAGAAAAAGGAAUGCGUGGUAUGUGAAUCCUAUGCCUACUUAAUCCACCAAAGGUAACGUGCAUGAGGUACCGCGUGCACAAGCAAGUCCAAAAUUUAAACACUUACUUUAAUGAAAAAAUUAAUUAAGAAUAUGGGCACUUGUACUUAGUUCAUAGUCUUCUCGCUAACGGCCAAUUUGAACACAGAUCUUGUAAUGGCAUACAUGUAUAUAUGACAAACAAGUAGCAAAGGGCAGAUGAAAUUGUUGUGUGAGACGCACAAAAGCUUACCGCCAGAAGGGCAUCAUCGAUGAAAUUGCCGUGUAUGGUACCCGGCGGGCGGGCGGGCGGGGAUGCAGACGGCCGCCAGGUUGAUCAUCUGUGUUACGCAAACGAGAGAGAGUUAGGAGUGGAAACGGAUGGAUGCUUCGCUUCCGCCAAACCCUAAGGAAUCCAUCGAAACAACGCUAUAGGUAUACGAAGGGCGAAGAAGAAGUAGAAGGCAAAAGAAACCACCAGAAAGAUCGCAGGAGGGAAGAAACGAGGUACAGGUGAGGAAGCAACUAAGGAUUAGGAGUCGGGAGCCGUUCUUGAUGUUGAGUCGGCGGAGCUGGAUCCGACGGGGCCUCCGGCAGGGGUUCUUGAUCUUACUUUUCGCUGCAGACGUCCAGAUCCGACCUCGUCGUCGCCGUUCCGAUCGGCUUCCUCUACUUGAGAUCAACCUGCCAGGAUCCUCGGCCGAGGAUUCGCAAUGGAGAUGGAAGGGAAAAGAAAGAAGAGGAGCGGCUCCCGCCUACACGAUUCGUUACGUUCGAUCGCGUGGCAAUGCCGAUCAAUCAAAAAUCCGACCGUUAGCAGGACCCAAUCCUUAUUCUGACUAAGACUAGAAAUGCCUGGUGCAUGGCUCGUAGAAAUUAGUUUGAAAAUCGAAUAGAAUCCAAAGUUCGACUGGCCGAAUCAUAAUCCAAUCUAUUAAACUAUUUGGUUCAACCAACCUCUUACUGAUAAGUUAGAAAAUUACUUUAAACCCUUUAAACUAUUCGAAUUGGUAGUGCAACUAUCAGCCGGCCUAAUUUUUUUUAUCAAGUUAUAUUAAAAUCCAACGGCAAAAAAUCAAUUUUAGUUAGAUCUACAUUAUGAAAAAGUAAUUUCAGUAGAACAGGAUUAGCUUUUAAUCCGGUCGAAAAGCUCUUUUUUUGAAAUAAUUUUAUAAAAUUAUUUGGCGAAAUGUUUUUUAUUGUUUGCAAAAUAAUAUUGUUUUUGCUAAAUUUUAUUCAAACAUGAAAUUCAAAAUUUUGAAUUAGACUCUAAACGUUUUAAAUUUUAAUAUCUUAAGCAGAAUUUAAACUUUGAUAUUGAAUUUAAAAUUUAAAAUAUAAAAAUUUUAAAAACUAAAUCUAAAUUUCAAAUUUUAAAAUUCAAGUUUAAGAUAAAAUUCAAAUUAUGAAAUCUAAAAUCAAAAUUUGAAAUUUGAAAUUUGAAAUUUGAAAUUUAGAAAUUUAGAAAUUUAAUUUUAAAUUUUAAAUUUUAAGUUCGAAUUUUUGAAUUUACAUGAGUUUUUAAAAUUUUUAUAUUUUAAAUUUUAAAUUAAAUUUAAGAAUUUAGAAAUUUAAAACAUAAAAUUUUAUAUUUUAAAUUUCAUGAAUCAAAUUUUAUCUUAAACUUGAAAUUUGAAAUUUAAAAUUUUCAAAUUUGAGUUUUAAAAUUUAACAUCUAAAUUUAAAAUUUUGAAGUUUAUAAUAUAUAACUAAAAUUAAAAAUUAAAAAUUUAAAAUUUAAAAUUUAAAAUUUAAACUUAAAAAUCUAAAUUUUAUUAUAUUUUUAAAAUUAAAUUUUGAAAUUUGAGUUCAAAAUCGGAAUCAGAUUUUAAGAAGCAAAUUUUUGUUACUUCUACUUUUGGACCUCUAAAAUAAAAAAAUCAAUUUAAGAAUCAGAAUCAGAUUUUGAAAAAUAAUUUACCAAAUAAUCGCUUGAAAGAGAAUUCAUCUUUGAAUCUAAAAUGACGUUUCAGAAUCUAGGCCAAAUACCUCCUUUUAUUAUUUUCUAUUAGCACCGAUUAGUCUUAUAUCCACUUAAUUUAAUCCAUAAAUUAAUAUUUUAAAUUAAAUAUGAUACUAAAUAAUAAUAUAUACAUAUUUUAUUAUACAAUAAAAUUAAAAAUAAUAAUUCAAUAUUUAUAAUGUUAUGUUUGAUGCCAUUAGUUCAUCCGGAGCUCUUGACCCAAAAAUAUUUUUGAAUCACUAUUUUUAUCUGAUUUUUAAAAUAUUGGUAGCAAUUUUUUCAAUUUAAGUUUGACCAUCAGCAGUAUUCCAGUCUGAUUCCGGCCAAGACUCGAGAUGUUCAGACGUGGGCCCCGUGAAAUCUCCUUCAAAGUUAAUCUAAUCAUCAUUUGCAGAACCUCACUUUUUUUUUUUUAGAGAGAUAGGUAGCAUGCUACCCGCUUCGUUUAUUUCAUUUUAGAUAAAAAUAAAUUUAGCUGAAAAUGUGAAUCAACUAGAAUUCGAAUUUGAGAUCUUGAAUAUCAAUCACCAAAUUUUUUGUCAUUUACUUGGCAGGUCGAACCCCAGUUUUAUUAAUUUACGAUAAUUUAGGUCCAACAAUUUUUAAAAUACGAAAGAGAGCGCAAAGAGCUCCUCCGUUUCUCCUUAUUAACUAAGGUACGAUCCUUCCUACCAACUCCAGAGGAGAAAGCCCCAUCUGCGACUCCCCUCCCCUCUCGUUUCUCGGCCGACACCUUUCCUACACUUGCACGUGACUGAGAGACGAGUAUUCUAUUCUACUAUUAUUAUUACUAGUGAAGAUAUCUGCGUGUUACGGCCAGUCGAUUUCGUAGAAACAAAUAAAGCUAAAAAAAUUUAAAAACAGUAACUACUAUAGUAAAAUAUAAGAAUAAAAAUAUAAGAAGGAUAAAAAAGAAUAAGAAAAAAAUUUAUAAGAAUAAUAAAUUAUAUUUAUAAUAGUAAUAGUUCAAAUCUAUAAUUGCAAUUUAUUUAAAUUUGAGAACUACACAUACCUCAUACUUUGAGCAAGAAAAUAUACCCUAUUAAAAUUCAAGAAUUAAAGUUUCAUGUCUAUUAUUGUUUGAGGAUCAAAAGUGUAAUUUAUCUUUUUCAUAUUUUAAUUUUAUUCCAGACAAAGACAGAAUUAAGCAUCGAUCAGUUUUAUUCAAUUAGUAAUUUUAUUUGAGGAAAGAAUAUGUUAAAUUAUCUAAUAAAUUUUAAAAUAUGAAAAAGAUAAAUUACGAACCAUUUUGAAUUAGCUGUCCAACCUUUCAAAAUUUUAUUUUUAUUAUCUAACUUUUUUAUAUGUUAGACUUGAAUUAGUUAAUGAUACUUUGACUUCAAAAUUUAAAUUUAUCGUUUAGAUUUACAUAUUUAAUUAGUACUUCCUAUAGUUUUCACAACUAAAUUUAUUAAAUAAGUAAUUAACUUAAGCUUCAUCCACUGCUCUUUUAUUUUUUAUUAUAUAAUUUCUAUCUAAGUGAUCAAUAUAAUAAAAUUAAAUUUAUAUUUAAUAAUGCAAUCUAAACUUUUCUAGAGUGAAAUAAUGGAGAGAAACUUCUUACCAAAGGAAGUGAAUAUUGGGGAAAAAAAUUUUGCCAAUUUCUUUAGAGCUUUGUAUAAUUAUAGAUCACCACCUAAACUUUUGAAAUACAAAGAAACGUACUUCAAAGUUGGGGAUUUUCGUAACAAUUAAGAACAAUACUACACGUACACUUAUAAUGAAGAUAUAAAUCUUACACCAUAACAUUUAAAAGGCCAAUGUUUACUCAUUUGUCUUAUAAUUUUUUUUUUUAAUACUGCAAAUCCAAAAGAUUUUAGACCCUAGAAUUAUAGGUGUAAGAAGUACAGAACAUUUUUCUAAAAUUAAUGGGAGCUUGAAAUAAAAAUCACAUACAACGCAUUCCAUUAGGCCCAUUGUGGGUAUUGGGCCUCUGCAGGCUCUACAUAAACAACUGUGGAGUUGUCCAAACACGGGCCAAGAAGGCCCAGUUUUGACAAUAUAACUAUUCGGCCCAAUUUAUUGGACCAAAAUGGCCUUUUCUUCGUUUGGAUUCGCCUUGGACUUGAGAUUUAACUUUUAACCCCUCGGGUCGAUUCAUAGUAGGCCUGGUUUUGGGUUCACGUGAAAUUGGAACUAAUUAAAGUUUGAGGAUGAAAGUGUCACAUGCCUCAUUAUUUAAAUUAUAAUAUAUUAAAAUUCGAGGAUUAAAGUGUUACUCGUCUUAUAGUUUUAAGGACGAAAAGUGUAAAUCCAAUUUUUCAAAAUUUUAUUUUUAUUAUCUAAUUUUUUUUAUAUAUUAGAUUUUGAUCAAUCAAUGAUAUUUUGACUUUAAAAAUUUAAAUACAUCGCAUAGCUUUAUAAAUCAAUAAUUAGUAUAUUUUAUAUAAUUCUCGCAACUAAAUUUUAUCAAAUAUAAAAUUAAUUUAAACUCUAUUAAUUUUUUUUAUUUUUUAAUGUACAAUCUAGCCAUAUCUAAAUGCUCAAUAUUGUAAAAUUAAAAUUUAUAUUUAAUACAAACAAUCUAAAUUAUUUAAAAAUUAUUUAUAUAUUUUAAAUUUUUAUAGUAUAAAUAAAAAAUAGAUUGGACUAAAAAAUAUAUAUAUAUUUUUACAAGUACAUGAAAGAAAAAAAUUUGAAACCAGAGGAGGAAAAAAGAAAACUCCUCCCUCUCUCCCGGCUGGCCCCCUCGCACUGGCCAGCGCGAGUGCCCACGCCGCGCAAGCGCCCGCACAAGCUCGGCUCGCGCCGGCUCGGACCCGCACGCGCGCCUCGCCGGCGCCAGCUCCCACUCGCCCACGCCGCUCCCACGCCCUCGCCUGCACGUGCUGCUCGCGCCGUGCCCAUGCUCGCGCCCAAGCUUGCCCCUCCCCACUCUUCCGCCAGCGCGUCAAAAAACCUGAGCUUUCAUUUAUUUAUUAGUGAAAUAGCCGCGCGAUGUGCGGAUAUAAAAUUAUUUUUAUAAUAAAUUUUAUUUUUUUAAUAUUUUUAUAUAAUUUUAUAAGUCUAAUUAUUAAUUAAAUAAAAGUUAUAUAAAAAUAAUUUAAUAGUUAAAUCUAUUUAAAUAAAAGUCAUUAAAAUUGAUAUAUGCGCAAAGUAAAUUUAUAUAAUAAUUUAUUUUAUAAAGAUACAUAUGAAAAGGAUUUGAGAUAAAUCUAUCAAAAUAAUUUUAAAAAAUCAAUAAAUAGAAGGAAAAUAAAAUUGUAAAUGAAAUUGUUUAAUAAAAUUAAUUAUAUAUACACAGAAAUAUACUAUAUUUUUAAAAUUUUACUCCUAAAAUUUAAAAACUAUAUUUUUUUUAUACAACAAUAUUUUACGUGAUUUAAAUUAUAUCUAUCAGGUUAGAUUUUAUUACGUGAUUUAUUAUGCGUAUUAUUAAUAAAAUUAAUUAAUUAUAUUAUAAUUUAAUUAAUGUCACGUCCCGGAUUACACGUUUUCCGGGCACGCCGACAAAUCCACCGUAUACAAAAAAAAUUUUCCUGUAUACGAAGCGAUAGCUGUACUUGUAAAUCAUACAAUACUACAAACAGUAGUAUAGAGCUGCUAGAAGAAUCAGAAUUAAAACAAACCGAGUUCCAUAUACAUACGCCAAAAUUCAAGAAACAAAACUACUCGCAUUGGCGAGUUAAAUAAAUGUAUGUACAUGAACUCCAACAAAACAACUACCACCUGUAGGGGCACCUCUAGCUCGGCUCGUCGGGUAGGGCUCUAACUCGCGACGCCUUUGCCUCGAUCCUGAUCAGCAACAGCAGCAGCCGAAGAUGAUGGCUCUGCAAAAACGGGGUAACAAUAGAGCGUGAGAACUACUGUAAAACAAGUAGUCCUCAGUGGGUGCCGCCCUCAAUAUCAUUGGUCCACCCACUAAGUCUACAGAAGGGAGCAAAGGUAAUAGUAAAUACCGGAAUAAAAUCUACGGUUACCAUUUAUUACACUAUCAUGCUCUAAGCUAACCUACUGUAGAACUGUCAAUUCUGACCCAAUCUCUUUAGGGACUGUAAACAUACCCGUCCCAAGGACUGUGAAUAUACCCGUCCCGCCCAGUUGAGACUAUCCAGCUACCUCCAUACUAACUAGUCCGUGGAGAGCAAGUCUAACCGGCAUACACGACACCAACGCAAAAGCACAGCGCCCGUCUCCGGAGUGGCAUUCGUAGGAGCUACCCAACCGAGUAUGCAGCGUAUCUCUGUCGAGCUCAAUCAGGCUCUCUCAAGCCAAAGUCCAAGUAACCAACACUAACGACCAACUCACAGUCACGUGCCAUAGGCACAAUCCGACGCCAAAAAGGCGAUAUAGGUUCACCGUCAACCCCGACGGCACCCAACAGUCUGGAACAGCCUGAACGCUACUGUAAAAAUACACUCGGCAUCCCAGCACGAGCGUAACAUAAAACUAAACUAUCUGGGGUAUCCGUCGCCUUGAUACUGCGACAAUACAAAAUUACAACGGCUCCUAGAGCUAAAUCAGGUAGUGUAAACAAGUGACAGGUCCAAAACGCUGAUUUUCUCCUAAGUCAAAUUCCAAGUCCAACAUGUAUAUUUUAUUGUUGCCAAUCAUGUCCUCAAUGUUGAUUUCAUCCAUGAUACAAUCAACAAAAAUGAAUUACAACAUGAUUUACAAAACUGAAAAUCAUACAUGUCGACUAAUACUGUGCUUAGAAAUAAACCGAUGUAACCCACCUCAAAACCUAAACCCUGGCAGUGAAUGAGGUCGCCGGAGUCCCUGCCAAGCUCGGCGCAACCCAACGAACCAGCGAUAACAACACUCCACGAAUCUAGACAUAGAAACCCAUAAUAAGCAUCAAUUCUGCCCAAAACAACAGCAGCAGAGUGGAACAGGAUUUCGACUAAGCUAACCUUCACCAAAAUCGACAAUCUUGGGCUUAGUGGAAUCCUCUCGAAGUCCUGAAUCCAACGAACCAAGUCUCGCUGCAAUCCGACGCUCCUACGUCGCGUACGAGUCGAAAUGCCAACGGUCGACACAGAAAAUCUGCGAAACAGCAUCCUGGAGCUCGGAAGUGAUAAAGACUUGCCAUGGUUGGAGAAAUAGAUGAACAUCUCACCUCAGCAGUGAUUCUAGCACCGGCGCGACGUCAAGAACGGCGAAAAUGCACCCUUGCCCGGCUUCCUCGCGAUGCAACGGCAACAAACGCGCGCUCGAAUGGCUCCACGGCGCGACGUCGGCGACGGAACUACCCCACCCGAGCUCCUCCACCACGCUCGGUCACGCACAAGGAGAGGAGAGAGAGAGUGCUGAAGUCCUCUCCUCUCUGCUCUCUCUCUCUAUCCUAUAUAGGAGGGAGAAGGAGUGGGUGAAAACAACGAGGGAAGGAAAGACCAAAAAGCCCCUUACCUAACCUGGCGUACCGGUACACGAGCCCACGUACCGGUACUAGAAGCCAACCCGAGAGCAGUUUGCGCGCAGCCUGUGCAGUGUACCGGUAUACCGUGAUGGCUAUACCGGUACAGCAAGCAGAAAAACAACUAUUUGCAGAUUUUUCUUGCUAAAUGCUGCUCUCGCGUCGCACAGAGUUCGUUUUGCGUCUAUUUCACGCCAACGCGAUUCAGACUUGUCUCGACACUCUCGAGAGCUGUCGACAAGCCUCAACCGCCAAACACCAGAGAUCUCACAAUUAAUUAUUAUAAUUUAUAAUUUAAAAUUAAAAUUAUGAAUAUUAUAAGUUAAAAUUAAAAUUUAGAAUUUAAAAUUUAGAAUUUAGAAUUUAGAAUUUAAAAUUUAAAAUUUUAAAACUUGAAAGUAUCAAAACUUUAAAUUUUCAUAUCAAAAUUUAAUUACUAAUAAGCUGUUAUACAAUUUAUUAAUAAAAUUAAUUAUAUAUAUAUAUAUAUGUGUGUGUGUGUGUGUCUGAGUGAGAGAGAGAGAGAGAGAGAGAGCAUGAAGUGGAGGGUUGGGGGACAGGUGUCAACCUAAGGUUCCCCCAACCCUCCUUUAAUGUAAUAUAUAUAUAUAUAUAUACUAGUGCAGAAACCCGCGUGAUGUUGCGGGUAGAUAAUAAAAAUAAAACUUUAAACUUUUUUAGUUAAAAAGUAAUAAUAAUAAUUAAAAUUUUAAAAUGUAUAUGGUAACGUAAUAACAUAAAAUAGCAAGUAAGUAUAUUUUACCGUUGAAAAAAGAUUGAUUGUUAUCUUUUUGAAUUGAAGGUGAUACCAUAUUUUUAUAAUUGCAACAUCUCUCUCAUAAUUGUACUAAAAGCCAACAUUUAGAAAGAUAACAAAAAAGUAUUACCUAUUCCUUCAUAAAUUGGAUUGCUGUAUUAUUCAAUUCAAGAAGGAAAAAAACACUUAAAAAUGUCACCCUCCUUUUUUUUUCCCAUUGCCUUUUCAUUACAAACCUUGAGACGGAGAGAAAAUAAAUAACAUCAAAACUAUUAUAAAGAGUUUCUUUUUUCGAAAAAAGUUAAAGUGGAUAGCUUAAGUUUUUUUGAACCUAUCUUUUAAUGAAACUCAUAACUUUUAACCAACAAUGAAGCAAAUAAAAAAAAGUAACUCAUAAACUUAUAAGAAUUUAGCGAGAAGUGAAGCAAAAAUAAAUAAAAAAAGAAAAAAGCAAAAGGAAGCAGGGUAAAAAAAACUAAAAAUGCACGCACCUCACAAAUAUACAUAGACUCAUCAACCUUUUCUAUAAAACCUAGUUUGAUUAAACUCCCCUCUUUUGCAAACUUAUUUCUCUAUUUUUUCUAAAAAAAAAAAGGGAGAAAAAAAAAACUCUGUAAGUUUUCUAUUACCUCGUUAUAUUAUUUCAUCUAAUAGGCGAUGUUGAUGGUGCCGGCAACGACGACAGGGCUGAUGAUGUUAAUUUAAAGUUAUUAUAAUCUUCAUUAAGCUCAUCAUUCUCCUAAAUCUUGUAUCUACAUUUCUCCUUCCUAUCAUAUCACAAAAAUGAAAUAAAAUAGAGAAAAAACAACACUUUAGCCAAUUCAAAAAAAAUAAAAAAAAAGAAAGCUCAAUAAUUUUUAUUUUAAAAUAAUAUUACCUUGAAAAUCUAAAUAUUAUUUUGCGGAUGAUAACCAAAAAGGAAAAAAAGGGAGAAAAAAAAAACUCUGUAAGUUUUCUAUUACCUCGUUAUAUCAUUUCAUCUAAUGGGCGAUGUUGAUGUGCCAGCAAUGACGAUGGGGUUGAUGAUGUUAAUUUAAAGUUGUUACAAUCUUCAUUAAGCUCACAAUUCUCCUAAAUCUUGUAUCUACAUUUUUCCUUCCUAUCAUAUCACAAAAAUGAAAUAAAAUAGAGAAAAAAUAACACUUUAGCCAAUUCAAAAAAAAUAAAAAAAGAAAGCUCAAUAAUUUUUAUUUUAAAAUAAUAUUACCUUGAAAAUCUAAAUAUCAUUUUGUGGAUGAUAACCAAUAAAUGAGAGUUGGGAUGAUAAUAGUGAGCAAAGCCCAAAAGAAGAAGAUGAGAACAUCAACUUUUGGAGGCAUAUUUUUUUAUUUUGAAUUUUAUUAAUGAAAAAAUUUAAAAAGUAAUAGAAAUUAUUAUAGUUUAUUAGACAAUUAAUUAUUAGAGUUUAUAAUAAUUUAUCAAUUGCAAUUAUGAAGAACCGUUUCCUAAUUUAGAAAAUUAAUUGCUAAAAAAAGGUUAGUAUGAAAUGUAGAAUGUAAAGGGUUAUGUGGAAUUAAUAAAAAGUAAUAAAUUUGACAAUUAAUUAUUAUAGUUUAUAAUAAUUUAUCAAUUGCAAUUAUGAAGAACCGUUUCCAAAUUUAGAAAAUUAAUUGCUAAAAUAACAGUUAGUAUGAAAUGUAGAAUGUAGAGGGUUAUAUGGAAUUUAAAAAAUAAAAAAAUCAGAAAAAUUUAAAAAAAGAGGUCAUGCCACUCAGCUUUUGUUAUUGGGAUUAAUAGAAAGUAAUAGAUAAUAUAUAUAUAUAAUAUAUAUAUAUAUAUAUAUAUAUAUAUUAUAUAUAUAAUUAAUAUAUAUAUAUAUAUUAUCUACUAUAAAAUAAAAUAAUAAAUAACAAUAAAGAAAAAAAAAAUAGAUUAUUUAUUUAUUAUUUAUAGAUUAUAGAUUAUUUAUAUGCUCUAAACUAGCUAAUUGAUGGCCGCUCCGAAGCUUAUUUUUCUUUUCUUUUUUGGGAAAAGAAAUGGGCUAAACUUUGUGACUUUCUCUUGAAUCUACGUACGGGUUUGUGAUUUAAUCCUACCCAGGAAGUAUAGAUUUCUGUUUUUGUAUAUAGUCGCCGGUUGUUUUUCUUCCUUCCCUACUGCUCGGGGUGCUUUCGGCUACAUGAUUUUUGUUUUUCUGUAGAUGGUCGUACGGGUUUGCGCUUUUGCAAAAGUUGGCCACCUUUUUUGAUUUUGCAGAUUUAGGCCGGAUUUUCAGGCGUCUUAUCAAAAUGCCCCUCGUCUACAUCCGCCGCUCGCGUAUUCCCUAAGAUACGUAUAUCCUAACAUACGAUCCUGGCGGGCAUUAAAUGCACUCCUUUCGUUUCACGCAACCUUGCUCUUAUCAUAACUCGGACCAAAUCGGCACUGUUAUUCGCCAGCACCGCUGUUUGCUGUUCGGCUUUAAGAAAUUAAAUUUGCUGAAGCUACAAGAUAAGAACAACGCGGUCCGCAAAAGAAAUAAUAGUGCAACGCCACGAAGCAAUGCGAAGACAAAUGGUGCAACAACCUUUUUAAGAGUGCAUCCCUCUGCUGCUAGUAGUGCGACGCUGGCGUGUAGUCUUCUCCCUCACCAGGGCAACCUCCCAUUCUCUUGGAAGGCAAUCAGGCAGUUUUCUUCCCAAACCGUAAAAAGCGUAGAGGAGUUUAUUCCAGUACUCAUUUGCAGAGGAGAAGUGGAAGAAGCGUGGCCGAGAGACAUGGCUUUAGGGUCUGGAAGUGGAGGAGGGAGAAGGAAGGAGGUGGUUCCGCGGUGUAACAGCCACCUAAUUAGUGCAAUAGUUUUAGCCAUGUCUAAAAAAGAGUAUAUUGUUAUCUGUAUAUUGUGCUACCGCGAAGGUAGUAGUGCAACAAAAGGCUGUAAAUGGUGUAACAUAUUUCUAAGUAGUGCAACAGUUUAAAGAAAAUGGUGCAACGAGCAUAUAACCAGAGAGAAAAUUUUCUUAAAUUAGAUGUAAUAAUUAAAAUUAAUGGUGUAAUAUUUGCAUUAAUGUAAAUUUUUAAUUAGAGGAAAUGCUGCAACGAGUUCAUAACCAGUGUAAAUUUUUCUCCCUAAAUGGUGACAACAUGAAGUUAAUAGUAAAAUUAGUAUAUAAAUUGUUUAACGAUGACCAAAACAGUGCAACAUUCUUUCCUAACUAGUAUAACAAAUCCCUAAGCAGUGCAAAAUUUUUCCUCUUUUGUUGCUACAAUGAAAACUUGCACUAAUUAAAACUGCAUAUUGCACUAUUUUAUAUUGGGUUGCACUAAUAAGUUUAAAAAGAACAAUCCAGCCAGUGUUCUAUUGUUCUGUUACACUGGUUGGAACUGCAUUGCACUGUUACGGUGAAUGUUGCACUUUUAUUACGACCGCAUUGCACUCUUAUAAGGUUAGUUACACUUUUUUAUCCCGCGUUGUAUUAUUUUUCACGAUUCACGUUGCACUAUUAUUGUACGGUCUUCUUUAAUCGUUUAGACAUUAUGUUGCACCUCUCAAACGCCGCCCCCUCCGCCGACCUGCCUGCCCUGCCGCCACUUCACCUACGUUUGGAGGGGACACCGUUCGUCGCCGUAGAAAAAUUUAAGAAAUUAUUUGCACUAUUAUCUUCAAAUUAUAUCACCAAAUACAAAAAAAAAUUGACUGGUUAUGGACUCAUUGCACCAUUUGCGUUAAAACAUUGAAUAGAUUGCACCAUUUUCUUUUAUUUAUUGCACAUAUUAGAUGAAUGUUACACUACGUCGAGUAUUUUGUUAAACUACUUCCUUCGAACCUUUUGUUGAACUACUAUUUUACGGGGGAGUGGGAGGUUGCCCUGGUGAGGGAGAAGAUUGAACGCCAGCGUCGCUCAUCUGAGUGGCGGAGAUUGCACUGGUGUGAGCCGAAAGAUGCACUGUUAGAAGAGCUGUUGCACCAUUUCUCGUCGUGUUGCUCCGUGGCGUUGUAUUAUUAUUCUUGUUGCGGGCUGCGUAGUUCUUGUCUUCUAGCUUCAGCAAAUUUAAUUUUUUAAAGUCGAACAGCAAACAGCGGUGCUGCCGAAUAGCGGGGCCGAUUUGGUCCGGAUUCCGAUGUGAGUAAGGUUGCGUGAAGCGAAUGGGGCACAUUUAAUGCCCAGCAGGACCGUAUGUUAGGUAUACGAAUCUCAGGAAAUACGCGAGCGGCGGAUGUAGACGAGGGGCAUUUUGAUCAGGCGGCUGAAAAUCCGCUCCGAAUAUGCAAAAUCGAAAAAAAUGGUCCACUUUUGCAAAAGCGCAAAACUAGUGGACCACUUUUGCAAAAGCGCAAAACUAGUGAAUUUUUUUAUGCAAAUUGGCCUAAAAAGUUUUUAUAAUAUAAUUGUUAUUCGGCCAAGUGAAUUUCUCUCUUAUUGUCAUAUAUUGUUGGUUAACUUAAUUAGAACGCAUCGAGAUUGAAUGAAGAUGACAACUCCUUUAAAAAAAGUCAAAUAACUGGAGAAAGAAAGAUACUUACAUGUUAUUUAUUUUUUGCUGCAAAAAUAAAUAACUUAGAAGUAAUUAAUUCAUCACCCACUUCUACACUCCUCUAUAUAGAAAUCUUAUUUAAAAAACAAAAAGGACAAUAAUUCCAAGCAACGCCUUCCGGUUUUAUUUCUUUUUUUAGUAAUUGGAUUACAUGCAUAAAUAGUGACAGUAAGUGUGCGAAGAUAGCAGAUCAAGUGGUUAAAAAUGGGACUAAAAGUAGAUAAUAUUGUUGUGUAUAUAUUCCAUUAGUGGCUUGGUUUAGUGAGUAGUAGCUCAAUUUGUUUUGCUCAUGGGAGCAAGAUGUACCGUGUAUUUUGUGGAGAAAAUGUAUUGAAUGAAAUUUUCUUUACUAACAAAUUUCUCUCCUAUUUAAGAAUUAAUUUGUUCAAUAAUACUUUUCAAGUUUUGAAUUAAAAAUUUGCUUCUUCUGCUUUAAAAUUAUUCCUUGUGUUAUAGUAGAAUAGUAUUAUGUGUUCACAAACAUAUGUUAAAAUGUGAGCUUCAUUUUCUACCAGCAUAAAGUAGGUACUGAAAGGAGGCAUAAACUCAACAACUAGACUAAGUCAGAUGUUUCUUUAUCUUUUUUGUUCUUUUUUCUGUGACUGACGGGUUGGGGGUUAAGCUAUAUAAAUAACUCUUGAACUUUAGUUUUUUUUUUUUUUAUAUAUAAAUAGCUAUAUAAACUUCUAAUUUUGCUAAUAAAAUCUUCUAAAGCUUAUGAGAUAGUUCAAUAGGCCCUCCUCAAUCGCAGUCGGUGGCUGAGCUCGGCCCACCCCUAAUUGUUUUUUUGAUAAAAAUUAGUAUAUGCACCUUAUGCAUGCAUAGAAAUUGUGCACCAUCCUCCUUUUCUCCCUCAUAAAAUAUAAAAAAUUAAAUGUAAAAUAAAUAGAAAACUUCAAAAAACCCCCUGUGGUUUCAUACGUUCUCACUUUAGUACCCUAUGGUUUAAAAUGUAUCAAUUUGCCCCCAUAUGGUUUUGUUUUUAUCUUUUCGGCAACUUUUUUCUUAAUAUUUCAUUAAAUUAUAUACAAAAAACUUCAGAUACCCACCUAGAUUUAUCGAAUAAUUACUUUAGUAUCCUUUAAUUUUAACUUUGUCACUGAUUGAAGAAAAAAAAAAUGAUAAUAAAAAGAGAAAAACGAAACCACAGGAGGGCAAAUUGAUACAAUUUAAGCUACAGGGUACUAAAGUGAGAAAGUGCGAAACAACGGAAGGGUUUUUGAAGUUAUCCCCAAAAUAAAUAAUUUUAUUUUUUAUAUAUAUACUUAGAUAUUUAUAAUUUAUAAUUUUUUAUAUAUUUAGAUACUUAUCUACUUAUCUAUCGUGCCCCUUUCUAUCUUUUCUUUCUCGCUCCGCCGCUGUUAAAGUUACUAAUUAUAUGACUGUUUUGAUCACAUGUUAUGAACAUAAUCUUGUAUUAUUUCAAAAUAUAAAGAAACUAACAGUUUUUUUUUUAUUUUGAUAAUUAAAAUGGCGAUUAAAGAAUAGAGUGAACAAAUAUUCAAUUUUCUUCACUUUUCUUUGAUAUGUUAGAGUAGGAGAAAUAAAUAUCUUCGUGUUUUAAAGCUUUAUAAAGUUACUAGCAAAGGUACGCAUGCAAUCAAAAUAAUUGUAUAAUUACUAAUUUUAGUAAAAACAAAGAGGCCUAUAUAUUAAUACUAUACUCCCUUAUAUAGAGAUUUUAUUUAAAAAAUAAAUAAAACAACAAUGCCGAAGAAGGCCUUUCUGUUUCUUUCUUUUUCUCAGUAAAUUGGAGUAAAAUGUGUAGCAAGUUACAGAGAAAAAUGAGAUAUGUUAAAUGGAGCUAGUUUUCUUCACUUGCAAAUUUUCUGCUUUUUUUAAAGUUUUUUGUAGCAAUACUAUUUAGCUGUGAAAAUUGUCAUAUUUUGAUUGACAUAUUAUAAGAUUACAACUCAAUAAGUAUUGUAGAUGUAGCAUUGCUCUUAUAUUUUUGCUAUUAGGUCCUAACCUUUAUAUUUUGUUGCAGUUUGGUCCAAAGCAUUAAAAUAUUUGUUAAUUUUGUCAAAAUAGGUCAUGUCAACUCCGACAAAGCCCUACUUAUUGCUUAUAUAUAUAGAUCACGACAAUGGUUGGGUAGCUGUUAAUCAAUCUCAACAUCAAUUUUUUUCAAAUUUGUGAAUUUGAAAAAGUCUGCUGAGAUGCCUAACUCAACAUCAAGGAUGCUGAAAACUCCAAUUAAUUAGUAGGCAUUAUUAAUUUGUGAGGUUGAGGUGAUUGUAUACAGACCGGCCAGAGGACAAUGUUAUUAAGGGCGUGAGAUUGAGUGCAUAUGGAAGAAGAGGUUAAUUAGAGAUCAAAGUGGAAAAUAAAAAAAAGAAGAAGAUAAACGUGAGAGGCCAAUGGUUCAAUUAAUCCUAUAGGUUAACAAUGGUGCAACAAUUGAUCCUUUCAAUUAAGUAACCUUCGUCUUCUACCAAUAUAAAACCAUUUUUGAGGCAGGAGGCAUGAGUGGGACGUGAACAGGGUGGCGCACAAGCAUAUAUAUAAUUCAUUAAUCAGGUCAAAGGCAACCAAUAUUAAUUGGACUCGGCCGUCUAUAGAUAAUUAAACACGUAUCUUGCACCAAUAGAUAUCAACUUCAAAAUUAAUUAAUACAUUCCAUAAACUUAAUUUAUCCUUGAACCAACUUGAUGAGUUAAUUAAUUUGACUUAACCCAAGUUCAAAAGAAGGCGCCAAGUUGACAACAAGUGCAUGAUUUUAAAACUGUUUGAUGAUUUUUUAGAUGCUUAUUUAUACUAUAGACCUGUGCCAAGGUCACAGAAACCUAGUUUUGGGGUUCUUCAUUGGAUCAGAAUAUUUUCAUGUGACUUAACGUGCUGUGUUGAGCCUCACCCAAGUUGACUUGAACUCAUGGUAUCAUUAAAUUGUAUAUGAGUUAUUCCUGAUUCAAUGAAUACCCUCUUUUUUUUUUUUUUGCGUUAAAAUAAGCUGUUUCUAUCUGAUCUCCGGCUUCAUUCAAUCAGGAAAAAUAGAUCAAAAAUAAAUAAAUUUUUUAGUUAUUGUUUGAUAUGUUGUCACAUACCCCAUCGGUAUGUUUAUGAGUAAUUAUUGUAUUGGUGCACUUCAGUAAGUAGGGUUUUUCCUAGAAUCAUAUCAGAUAGAACCUGAAUCUGGGCUUUUGUUCUUUAAUUUUAAAUUUCUUUUGACCCUGAAACUGGUAUAGUUUUUGGAUGAACAUUUUGAAAUGAUGAUCGAAUUUGUUUGGGAGAGGCUAGUUCUGCAGUUUCUCGAAUGCCGUUUAAAACCCGCAAAAGAUUUAAAGUUGAGGAGACUCAUGUCCCGAUGGUCAGGGUACUUACGGAUUGAGCUACUUAAUAAUAAUAAAGUUUUAAUGAGCCGAUUUUUAAUCUGUAACUUAAAACCAUAGAUAUCUUUACAUGAAUUGAAUUCUUUCCUUUUUUUUCAUUUUUAAUCUUAUUGUUAUUGUUUAAGAACAAGAGGAGCUUAGAAGAUGUCAGAGGAACACACGCAAAAGAAAUUUUUGUGCCAGUUCUCUCACGCCUGUUUGGACCAAUAAAAAGUUGGAACUGAAGCAUGCAUAGGUAUUACUAAAUUAUUUUCUGUACUAUUUUUUUUUUUCCAAAUACAUUAUUCUAUUAAUUAUUAUAUUGUAUUAAUUUCACACUGUAUUUUAGAUUUAUUUUUAGUUUUCUAUUUUGUACUAUUUUUUUCAUAGAUAUUACUAAAUUAUUAUUAAUUUUUCUUGCCACACUAUAAGCAAAAGUGAAUGUAGAGACGUAUAGAGUGUAACGAAAUAACGAGACCCACCAAUUCCAAACUCACUACCUCAAAUAAUGGAUCAAGAAACCACUAGCCUAAGAUCAUACCACACUAGAGAAGAAGAACAAGAACAAUGAAAAACAAGAAACAACUUUCUAUUCAUUAAAAUAAAAGAAUUCUCACACAUAAUUAGUAUAUUUUUUUUGAGAACGGUAGCACGCUAUCUGUUUCAUUUAUUACACAAAUAAAUUUAGCUACAUGGAGUGAGGCAGUUGGGACCUUAGAAGGGCGAAAAAGAAAAGGGACUGAAGAUCUCAAAAGAAAGACAAAAGAAAACCAAGACAAGCGUCACAACAAAGAACCUACCCAAUUAGUUUUUUUUUUUUUUUUUUUUUUUUUUUUUUUUUUUUUUUUUUUUGAGAGAGAGAUAGGUAGCACGCUACCUGCUUCGUUUAUUUCAUUUAGAAAUAAACUUAGCGGAAAAUGUGAAUCAACUAGGAUUCGAAUUUGGGUCUCGGAUACCAACCACCAAGUCCUUUGUCACUUGCUUUAAGGAUGGUCGGCAACCUACCCAAUUAGUUAAGUCCAAAAGAUGGUGAAAUACUUUUUUUUUUUUCUUUUUUUCUUUUUUUUGAGAGAGAUAGGUAGCAUGCUACCCGUUUCGUUUAUUUCAUAUAGAAAUAAACUUAGCUGGAAAUGUGAAUCAACUAGGAUUCGAACUUGGGUCUCGGGUACCAACCACCAUGCCCUUUUGCCACUUGCGUUAGGAACGGUCGGUAUGGUGAAAUACUAUUAAAUUCAUAUGUUCUCAUAAAGUGCAUACAUGCUACUCAUAUAAACUAGGCUAAAUUACAUAAAAUUUUCCUGUCAAAACUCGAUUUUUCACUUUCCCCCCCUGUCAUUUAAAAAUCUACACUUUACCCUCUUGUAAAAUGAAAAAUGUUCACUUCACCACCUGCCGUUGGUGAUUUGUUAAGGUUUCGUUUAUAAAAUAUUAUUAUAUAUUUUUUUAUACCAAAAAUGUCCUCAGUCUUCUCUUCUGUUGUCAAAAAUAGUGAGGGGCAAAAUGGUCAUUUUGUCAUUACAGUUUACACCGUACCCCCUGUGAUCAUUUUUCAUUCUACAAGGGGGCAAAAUGUAGGUUUUUAAAUGACAGGAGGAAAAAGUGAAAAAUCAGAUUUUGAUAGAGAUGUUUUAUAUAAUUUAGCCUAUAAACUAAGAUAAUUGGUGGGUUUAAGAGAUUAGCUCCUGAGUCCAGAAUAUAAAUGUGAAAGGGUGUAAAUUAAAGGUUGAAAAGUGUAAUAUAUUUUUGAAUAGUUGUUAAGAGUUGGAAGGUGUAGAUGAAGGUCAACAUAUGUGCAGGAAUGGUUUUGGACUAUGUGAGUUGCAUGAGAAAAUUAUAAGGACACAUGCAAAAAUAUAAUUUAUUUAAACAAAAGAAAAAUAAAAAAUUUAUUUUAAAAUUUAACAUAGAGGUGCAUGUUUCUUGACGUCACCUCUGCAUUAUCAUGUUAGAGACAGUUUAGAAGUAAUUUUUAAAGGCCACCUCUAAAUCUGUUUAAAAAGAAAGGGAAAACUUCAAAUACACCUUCUGUGGUUUUGCACAUUUUCAUUUUAGUAUCAUGUGCAUUAAAGUGUAUCAAGUUAGUACCCUGUGGUUUCGCACUUUCUCACUUUAUGUAGUAACCUAUGGUUUUAAGUGUAUCAAGUUAGUAUCCUAUGGUUUCGCACUUUCUCACUUUAUUACCUUGUGGUUUAAUAUUUCGUUAAAUUAUAUGCCUCGAAAUGGAUAAUAAAAAGAAAAAAUUGAAACCACAGAAUACUAAUUUAAUACAAAAAUGAAACCAUAGGGUACUAACUUGAUACACUUGAAACCACAAGGUACUAAAGUGAGAAAUUGCGAAACCACAGAAUAUUAACUUAUUUUAAACCACAGAAUAUUAAAGUGAGAAAGUACGAAACCACAUGAGGUAUUUGCAGUUACCCUCAAUAAGAAAAAAGCAAAAGACAAAAAAAAAUUCUAAACCCUACUAAACCCUCUCUUUUUUUAACCCCACGGGCUGCCUAAUCCCAAUCUGCCCCAGACACUACCACACCGAGGCCGCACCUCCCCUUCCCCCUCAUUGUCUUCGUGUGCUGAAGAAGCAAGUGAUAAGGUCAAUCUUAAUUACUGGCACUUUGAUCCAGUUAGUUAGUUUCCGUUUCAGCUUCAAGGCUCCGGAAGAUCGAAGUCAGAUAUUUACAAUGGCCGCUGCAGUUGCAGGCGAGGAGAGCGGCGAACAACAACGUUUGGACUAUAAGUUGCUCAAGGCAUUGCAGAGAGGGGACAAGAGAACCGUCGAAAGCUUCUUCCCGCAAGAGGCAUCAACGGCCAUUGAUCUUCGUGGUGCAGAUAAUAAUAAUGUUAUCGAUGAUGGGGCAGGACGCGGGAGUUCGCGGGGAGUUACCAAAGGCGGAAACUCAGCCCUCCAUAUCGCGGCUGAUUUUGGGCACAUAGAAUUGGCGGAGUUGAUCUGCUCCAGAGAUAUCUCCCUCCUAGAGGGACGCAAUGCAACGCUCGAGACGCCGCUGCACUGCGCUGCAAGGGCCGGGGCAGAUCAAAUUAUAGAAUUCUUUAUCUCGAAAGCCCACCAAUUGGGGGUGGUGGAGGCGGUGCUGCGUGCCACAGAUCAGGAAGGGAAAACUGCAUUACAUGUGGCGGCCGAAGAAGGUCGUGUGGCGGCUGCAACAAAAUUGAUGUCUGAACUUCCUGGGCUGGCAGCUAUCGUCGACGACAAUGGUGUAUCUCCACUUUAUGCUGCCGUGCUGUCAAAAUCGCUCGAAAUUGUUCAGAUCUUGAUAGGAUCCAGAUCGGAGGCAUCCUAUGCCGGACCGAACGGGCAAACUGCACUGCAUGCAGCCGCCAUCAUCGAAAGCCAGGGUAAUCGACCUGCAACUCAUGCCCUAUUUUAUAUAUAUAUAUAGUCCGGCUGGAUACUAUUGAUAGUACCAAGGAUUUGGUGCUAUCGAGUUUUCCACCGUUAAUUAGAUUUAACCCUCUAAUUAUUUUUACUUUUUAGAUUAUACUAUUCAACCAACCACACACUCAACCCUAAAGGGCCCACAUCGUUCUAACCGCACAUCUUUUAAUCUAAGGGCGAAAAACUUAAUAACACCAAUUCAUUGGUACUAUUAAUAAUAUUCCAGCCUAGUUCUAUAUAUAUAUAUAUAUAUAUAUAUAUAUAUAUAUAUAUAUAUAUGUGUGUGUGUGUGUGUGUGUGUGUGUGUGUGUAUUGAGUUGAGCUGGAAUACUAUCGGUAGCAAACGAGCUCUGUUGCCAUCCAUUCAUUUUCGAUGAUUGAGCUUUCAAAUCGACGAUUGACGCCAUUGAAUAUGAUCUAUACCACUUAAAGUAUCUAAAAACCAAAUUUCAAAUAUUUUCGACAUUAUUAACCUAAUGAUUAAAGGGUUUCAAAAAUUGUAAUUUUAAUGGUAAAUAUAAGGCAUUUUUCGUUUAACGGUAUAAAACUAUUCAAAUCAAUUGAAUUUUCGUUAGAAAAUUCUUUAAACUAUUUAGAAUAAGGUCUAUACUCUCGAUCUUUAUUAUAAAAUUUCUAUCAUUACUUUUUAGAGAAUAUUCAUUUUCAGCCGUUCAUUUUUAUGCCCACUUGAUGAACAAUAGAACAAUAUCGAAAAAGCAUGAAAUUUGAUUUCUAAAUACUUCAAGUGUUGUAGAUCAUUUUCAACGGUGUCGAUCGUCGAUUUGGAGGCUCCAUCAUCGAAAACAAAUAGGUGGCAACGGAGCCCGUUUGCUACCGAUAGCAUUCCAGCUCAACUCUCUCUCUCUCUC
rnacentral:lncRNA from 1 species